CUACCAGCCGGAGCCGGAGAGGAUCAUAGGGCCGCCGGGGGUACUGGUUCAUGAGAAGCACCCGGCCAUGUUUAAGAAGUGCCUGGUCCAGACCUUGGCCGAUGGAUAUUGGGAUGCAUUUGCAGCGGGAGAUCGCACCGUCGACUUCCUCAAUGUCAGGAUCAAUGCUGAGGCUGACGCCGAACUAGAGGCGCAUGCAGUGGUUGUAAACAACUAAAUAAUUUGCAGUAGGGAGUGAGUGCAUGAUGUUCCUCUCCCACUCGCAUAAGUGUAAUGUGAAUAGGAGUUGAUCGAUGUACCUCAUAUAUGAUCACCUCCCUGGAAUAAAAUAAAGAGUCAACUACAUCAUUGGUACUUCAACUUGAUUGAAAUGGUCACUUUAAUACUAAAACUUGCGGUACAUAUCGAACUAGUGGGCGUGGUAAUACAGUGCUAAUCACGGUCGGAUACGAAAUCAAGGAUGACUAGGCGCCAAGCGAGGCUUGGGGCUGUUUUUCUUUUUGUGUGACCCUCUAUAUGUUUGCGAGCGUGCGUAGCCAUCCCAACCAUUGCCGUUUGUUGUCUAAUAUGGAUACAGCUUCUUUAUAUCCUUAUGGAGUGAAAUAGUGAAUAAGAAUUUCAUUCAAAAUGAAAGCCUGCCACUUAACCGUGAACGUUUCAUGCCUAUAAAUGAUAAUUAAUCUUUCUGUAUGUACAUUAUAAUCAUACCUUAUAAAUACAUACAUAAAAAUAAAAUGAAUUUCAGAAAUGUUCGUGUAAUUUCAGAAAAAAUCACUUGUUAACUUUAAUUACAUCCAUAUAAUUAAUCUAUGAAAUAUAAUAAUUGGUUGCAGUCGGCCCGACCCAUUUUCCACAAGUUAGUCUUUUUUUAGAAAAUUUUAAAAAGGAUAUAAAUUAUCAUAGUAAUAAAAUUCAAGUUAGAUUAUUUGUGCAUUCUAAAUAAUAUACAUACAAAUAAGUUAAAUCAAAAUUUUCCAUGUUUUUAAAAGUCAUGUAUUAUUAUAAAACAUAUUUAUAUAAUUAAGAAAAUAUUUGUACUCUCUCCGAUCCAUAUUGCUUGUUGCUGAAAUGUAUGUAUUUAGACAUAUUUCAGUGUUAGAUGUUUGGGCGACAAGUAAUAUGGAUCGGAGGGAGUAUAAUUUAGAUAAUAUUUAUUUGAGGAUCGGCACUCUUGUGGGACACUAGGCUAAUAUUUAUUUAUUCAUACAUAUUUUUUAUUCAGUAUUCUUUAUAAUAUAUAUUUUUAGGAAACAUACAAACUUUUAUUAAAAUAACAUUUUAAAGCAGCAUUAUUUUUUCUAAAAUCAUGAAUAUUUUUAUUAAAAUUUUGAACACUGUUAGACUUAUAUGAGCAUAUAUUUAAAUAUAUAAGUACUUUUUGAAAUUAUUUGUACAAAUAUUUUGUUUAUAUAAUUUAUUUGUAAUUAUUUAUAAUACAAAAUUUCAUAUAUGUAUAUAAUUAACAUUAAUAAGUGAACAGUUACGAAAUUACGUGAACAUUUUAAAAUGUAUUUUAUUUUAUUUUUAACCAGAGCUCCCAACUUAUUACAGCUACUAACUUCCAGUUCNNNNNNNNNNNNNNNNNNNNNNNNNNNNNNNNNNNNNNNNNNNNNNNNNNNNNNNNNNNNNNNNNNNNNNNNNNNNNNNNNNNNNNNNNNNNNNNNNNNNNNNNNNNNNNNNNNNNNNNNNNNNNNNNNNNNNNNNNNNNNNNNNNNNNNNNNNNNNNNNNNNNNNNNNNNNNNNNNNNNNNNNNNNNNNUUUAAACUUAUAAGUUGAUAUAAACACCGUUUCAUGGUUCACCCAUAUCAGUUUUCAUUUAUCUUCGAUUUGGUAGGUACUUGGGUAUAUUCGAGUUUUUAUUCGUCAAGUUAUUUUAUUCUAGUUUAUACCGGCCGGAGUGGAUAUGCUAGAUUGCACGCAUAUAGCUAGCCUGACUAAUGAGGAAAACCGAACGGGUUGCUUAUGUCUUUGUCAGGUAAAGCAUCCCUUUCGCUUUUUCAUUAUUAAAUUUUGUGUAUGUGAUGUAAAUAGAGAAAUGGGAAAGUAAAUAUUAAUAUGAUUCUGAUUUUCCACCAAACAGAGAGGAAAAACCAUAAGCUGGUGUUGUCAGUAAUAAGACGCCUUGAUGUAUAAUUUAAGAUGGCGAAGAAGUUAUAUCACACACCUAGUUGAAAACAUUCUGCAAACCUCAGAUAAACUGCUACUGAAGCUACCAGCUAGAGUUCUCUGAGCAGAUAUGUUAUCAUCAGUGGAACAACACCAUCUGUCUGGACAAACUACAACAAACGCGCUGCCUAAGAAACUACCAAAACCGUGGAGCAGUUCGGCUGAUAAAACUGAUGUGACAUACAUCUGAUCUGAGAUACUCCAAUGACUACGUCCUCAGCGAGAAACUUCUCUCCUUUUGUUAAGACUCCCAUCAUUUCACUGUACGGUUGGAAGUUCACAUCGACAUCUUCAUCAUACUCAAGACCAAGUUCUUCCUGCAGACACAAAGAUUAUUCAUCAAUACGGUGGUUAGUACAUACAAAUAUAGCUCGCCUCAGUAAUGAUGAGAAGUGAAUGGGUUUCUUGUGUCUGUCAGUUUUUUAUAGCAAAAGGGGUCUUGGGACCUAGCUCAAAAUACCAUCUAGGCAACUAGAGAUAAACAGUGUCUUUGUCAGGUAAAACAUUGUUUUCUACUCCGUAUUUAAUUAGUUCUUCUAUUUCCUAAGCAUCAAAACCAACCUCUAAAACUGUACGUUGGAUGAAGCAUGUCCCAUCGAUCUACAAGAAUGGAGACAGUGAAGUGUAAGCUCCAUUUUUCUUGAAAAGUGCCAGCUAUCCUGUCAGUUAUUCCACCGAUGCAAACAUGGAUACUGUGAUAUCUCUCACAUAGUUCUUCCGAAGAAUGCUUCUCGAGAGAAUGACCUCCAUUGUGGAAAUUGCUUAUGUAUUUGUUCAGAUAUGCAAGGGCCUGUUUCUUGCAUUUUGUGUGGAUGCUAAAGGUGUUACAGUGACAAUGAAUGCAAGUUCAUCCAAACAAGCACCAUUUCCCCUCAAACAUUUCUAUUUCUAUUUCUCGUUGACAUUCUUAUCAAAGAGCUAUCCAUUAUACGGAUCGGUGCCCCUUGAGGUGGGCAGGCUCAUGUACUGUGGCCGGAUAUACUGCAGUUUUCUUGCCAAGCAGGAAAACUGAACUAUAUGUUCCAGCAAAACUGAACUAGAACAAACACAACAGCACACACACACACUCCUCAAUUUUACGGCCAUUCUUAUCCUGGUUUCUGAUUGUACAACUUGAUAUGCCACGCAAAGAAGAGCAAGCUAAGCAACUUACAAAUUAUCGAGAUAUCAUUGCUAAGACUAAAGACUCCCAUAUCAAACAUAGGAUAAGACUCAAAAUGGAAAUCAGCACCAAAAGAUCAAACUGAACUUCCAUGCUUCUAUGACUUACUCUCGAUUCAAACUGUCGCAUCGCCAUGACCUACUUCACUGGCUGAUCUGGCUUUCUUUGGCCACCUCCAUAACACCUGCCACCGCUGAAUGAAGGAAACAGUUUCAGAGGAUGAGUCACUAGGAUGAGAAUUUAUUUAUGCAACUUGGCGAUUUUCUUAAGGAAACUUAGCAUUGGUGGUGAAUAAAACACAUCAUAAAAACCAUAUAUGAUAAUUAAAAAGAGGUUAGAGUAAACAUAUAUACCAGGUGGAUUGUUGAAGCUCGUGUAGAGAAAGAAACUCUCAAACCUAUCAGCCACGCAUAUCAACAUAUGUCCUCGAACGGCUUACUCGACAACUUCCUUGAUCUCAAGGACUUGAGAUCAAUUGUGAAUGCACCAAUAUCUGUGGCCACAACAAGGAUAUCAGUGCCCUCCACACAGCCAACAAGCCAUAAAGAAUCUGAGCUCCUGGUAUUGCCAAGGGAGAGAAGCAUCCCGAAGUCCAUUUCUCUGAGUUUGAUCCAUGACGCUACUCCAUCAACGCUCACCUCCACCGACCACAUAUGGCAUAGCCCAUGCUCGUCUAAGUCUACAACCCCUAGCCUACCGUCUUCUGACAAAAUGAGGAGAGGGUUUCGCAUAAACACACACAGAGUGAUAGGCGAUGACUACCCAAGUCACACUUGAUAAUACAACCGUCCCCCUCAUAACGAUCAAUGAGGAAGUGGAGCGCUUGUCCAACGAGGACACCAGGCCUUCCCACCUCAAGAUGGCAAUGGGGUCCCGAAACCCGCGUCCCCGCGGGUUUUUACCCUAUUAGGGGACGGGGAUGGGCGGCUUUUCAUCCCCGCAGGGCUGUUGUUGGGCACAUUAUACAACCCGACACGUUUCAUGGGUUUGCACCCAUUUCGAUAGUCCCCGGACCUGAAACCCGGCAAAGCCGGCAAAAUACAUUUUUUUACCAAGCUUGAGCGUAUUUUGAUCUUCUCUAGGACUUGGCACUUUGAUUUGGAUUUGGAAGCUUUGAAGAUAGUCUUUUGGAGGCUUGGAGAUGUGAAAGAUGCUAUGAUGAUUCCUACUUUAAAGUGACUUGUGAACUAUGAAUUCUAUUUCAAAACUUAUGUAUUGGACUAUUUCGUCUUAUUUGUGCUUUUGAUUUGUGAAUCAAGAAUUAUAUUUUAGAACUUGUGUAAUUGGACAUCUUGUUUAACCAUGUAUGGCUGAAAUAUGCUCCUGUUUGUUGCUGAAAUCUGAUUAUCUAUAUUGCUGAAAUGUGGUAUCGUUUUGUUGUCAAAAUAUUAUUCUUUGUUGGUUUUAUGUUUCCUUAUAUAUGUCGAUUUCCCCGCGGGUUCUCCGUGGGUUUAGAAAACCCGAUGGGUUUAGGGGACAGGUGAAAAACUAGCUCCACGCACGGUGACGGAGACGGGGACGGGUUUACGAUUUUCUCGUGGGAAUGGGUUUGAGAAGGCAAAACCCGAUGUGUUUCAUCCCCGUUGCCAUCUUGAUUCCCACCAUACCGGCUCCAAGUGUUCCAACAGAGCCGACGUGAAUAGAGGCCGGUGAGGUCCACUCCUGGGUCUCUGAUGAGUAUACAGACGCCCACACGGCCUUCUUUCGGUCACUUUGUAGUCAAGGACAACAAAAGCCACCAAAAAUGGGGCCAAGUUGCAGGCGUCAUGGUUGCAGCCAUCUGCCGCGCAGAGCACCGUGGCCGAAUAGUUUGUCCCGUUGAUGAGGGGGUUGAAGAUGUCAGGAUUGUGCAACUUAGUUCGUCUCCCAGACAAGGGGUCCCAGACUACCAUCGCUUCAUAUUCCUCGUAAUAAUCUUCCUCCUCAUUCUCAUCCGCAUCCGCAUACCCAUCGUAGUAACACAUAAGAAGAACGCGGCCAUGGCGGCAACCGAGCACAGAACUGUCCAACGGCUUGCAAUUGCGGGGACGGAAUCUUGUGGUGGGGACGAAGCGCUGGCCUUCCUCCUCCCAGCUCUGUAGGAAGCCUAGGAUGGGAGGUGUUUUGUGGAAGACGCGGUAGUGGCUGCGAAAGGCGUGGCCGGAGACGAGGCCGCACCAAGCCUUGCAGACGAGGGAGGCGCGGAUGAGGCCCGCGGGGUCGUCCGGCGGGAUGCGGAUCAGGACCUCCUCCACGAGCUCGUACAUCUCCCCCGGCUCCCGCACACGCGGCGGCGCCAUGGCCAGUGCUUGCAGGCGAGGAACUCAGAUCGGGAGGCCAACGCGUCGGAAUCGGCCAGAUCUGCCGCUGCCCGAUGGAGGACGAAGCAGCCGCCGCCUUCAAGCUCGCGCGCCUUGCUGGACCCAUCUCCGGACGCAGCCGGCAUUGGUUGAUUUUGUCUUUCUGAGUGGGGUUUUCGGUGGCUGGCUGGACGAAAGGAGGAAGAGCCAGAGGGGUUGAGGAUGAUGAGGGCGAGGCGCAGUAGACCGCAAUGGGCCUGAGUAAGCAACGGCAACGCGUCCGCGCAGUGGGCUGUCAGAAGACUGAGGCCCAUCUGAGCCCAUAAUACAACUUCAUUUCUGCUUUACACCCAAUUCGUGCCCUGUUUUGGAACAGAGUUUUUGCCGCUAUCACGACAGAAGGAUCAGAGACAAGUCAAACGGAGGCCACGAUCAGCGAUAUAUAAAUAUCAAAAAGUACAGAUGCCAAAUGACAAUUCAGGGUUUUAAAUUAGAGUGAAUUCUACUCCCUCCAUCCCGUAAAACGAUUUUUAACACUACACUAGAGUCAAAAAACAUCUAGGGUUUAGGAUUUAGGGCGAGGACGAAACGAAGAUAUAACUCUACCACCGCUUUGUCCGACACAAGAAUUGCUAUAGGAGCAAUCCUCAGCUUAAAAUACUUUAGAAGGGGGUAAAGACCAACAAAACUUUUGUGAAAUUCGAUGCUACGGAUGAAAAGUUGUUUAAUGUGGUAAUUAGCAUCGAAAAUACUAAAAUAGAGGGGAAAACUAAAUUAAAUUAUUCAGAUGAAAAAGUUAACUGCUAGCAUUCAGAAAAUCUCAUAGCUCGCACAAUUAGGAAGAGAUGUCCUUGGGAAAGAUCUAUAAGAGAAAUCAAAACAGAUGUGGAAAACAAAUGAAAAGAAAAGAAAAGAUGAGCCGACGGGACAUCUUCCUCAACUAAACCAUGAAAAACAAACGAAUAGUGUUUCUGUUGACCAUAGCCAACAUGAGCGAAGAAAUGGGUUGGGGGGGGAGGGUAUGUUUGGGCCAUCUCAUCGGGCUUCAAUGGCUUGAUAUUGCUGGUCUACCAAGUUUACUUAUGCAGCGCUUGGGGAUGACUGAUUACCUCCGAUUCAGUUUUGGAUGUAGUAAUAGCCUUCUUCUUUGUACGACCUAAGAUUUCUCGAAUCCAGCAAAUGAUUAAGCUUCGCAACAAAAUUUCUCUAAGCCUUUGUGAUUGCAAAUCAUUUCCGUUUUAUAUAACAAUAAAGAAAAUAGGCUAGAGGGAAGGUUUCACUUGCAGCUAUGUACACACACUUGGAUUAUAAUUAGAUAGAACAACAAUGCACCGGUAAGUAAUUGGAGACUCUGUAGAUCCUCUCCCCGAGGCUCUCACCCCGACCUCUCUCCCCCGAGGUGGCGGCGCCGCGCCGCCGCCGGGGAGUCCCCGUCCACACCGCCCUCAGCCCUUCCCCUCCAUCGCCUCCCACUACCGUCGCCGUCGCUGAGGACGCCGCGGGGCGAAGCCCCUGAGGUGAGGCGGCGGCGGCGCAAUCCUCGGUCGGCGGUAACGCGUGGGGGCAGCAGCGUCCAUCUCCCUCCUCCAACGGCAAUGUGCAGCGGGUUGGCGGUGGCCAGGAGAUCUUCGGUGGUCGUUUGGCGGAUGAGAUUUUGGCUGCGAUGAGAUCUGAUCUGGGCCCGAGGGGUUUAGAUCGAGAUCCACUGCAGCUGCGCCUCAUCUCGACAACGGCAAGAGGAGAUCCCCCUUGGGUACUCUUCGCGGCACGAGGACGUCCGGGUCUCUUGGCCCGGGCAUGGUGGUGGUGGCUGCUUUCUCCAUCGAAGGCGGUUGACCAGGCUGGUAGUGAUGGAUCUUGGAUCCCACUAUUAGCACCGGCGGCUAGUUGGGGAGACAUAGUCGCCGGUGAAAUCCGAGCCGACUCCGGUCAUGGCGGGCGAUGGCGGCGUCUACGUCGUUACCUUGAUGAAGGCAUCGUCAAGCAACUAUCGUCAACCUGCUUGUGCCGCUCCGGGAGAAAUCCUAAGAUCACUGGAUCGGACGAUGGUGGCGCUGCGGGUGUCGUGUUCCAUAUUGGGGGCAUCGUUUGUGGAGCGGCGCCGGAUGGAAGAGGCGUGAGAUGGUGUGGCGUGCCUUCUCUCGCGUUGACGACGGCGGGUCUCGGCGGCAUGGAGCAGUGGGCUCUCGCCGGUGGGUGUGUGAGGAUGGACGAGCGUAGGAUGGUGGCAUUGUCUGGCGUCAUGGUGGUGUCGACGGCAGCUAGACCAGGCAAGAUAGAUUCAACAGUACAUCACUGAAGAUGGAUUGGUGGCAGGUGGCUGCGGCGGCCUCAUACCCGGCAGGCGUCCUGGUUGAGGAGUACGCCGGACUGGUGGGUGCCCCAUACCCGGCAGGCAUCCUGAUUGGGACCUCAGGUCUUAGAUGUUAGGUUUGGCUGCAAGGUAUGUUUGGUAUUAGGCCCAGACUAUCAGCAUCUCUACAUCAACUGGAUAGGAGUAGCGACAUAUGUUGCCUAGACGGUGGCUUUAAUCUUACUGUUGUAUGACUUUUUAAGGUCUUGUGUGAAUAAUUAAUAAAGUGGCUGCAUGCAUCGUUCAAAUGCAGAGGCCGGAGGUCCUCCUCCAUUUCAAAAAAAGGUAAUAAUAUAUGCGUUGUGAAACUAAUAAGUGGGCAAUGCGUCCUUGUGAUAGCAUGACCUACUACCGCCACUUCGAGGAUUACAUUGUCCAACCUUGGCCCUAUCCGACUUAUUAAGUUACCUCGGUUAUUAAGGAUAGAGCAUACCGACACAUUAGCGUUUUUUUCUUUUUUGCGUAGCGUUUGAUGAGUGCAUCAUUGCCACCACCAUGGAAUUGGUUCUUGCUACCACACUGACCUUAUUGUCACUAGCUUUCAACAUAGCCUUCCAAUCUCACCUGCAGUNNNNNNNNNNNNNNNNNNNNNNNNNNNNNNNNNNNNNNNNNNNNNNNNNNNNNNNNNNNNNNNNNNNNNNNNNNNNNNNNNNNNNNNNNNNNNNNNNNNNNNNNNNNNNNNNNNNNNNNNNNNNNNNNNNNNNNNNNNNNNNNNNNNNNNNNNNNNNNNNNNNNNNNNNNNNNNNNNNNNNNNNNNNNNNNNNNNNNNNNNNNNNNNNNNNNNNNNNNNNNNNNNNNNNNNNNNNNNNNNNNNNNNNNNNNNNNNNNNNNNNNNNNNNNNNNNNNNNNNNNNNNNNNNNNNNNNNNNNNNNNNNNNNNNNNNNNNNNNNNNNNNNNNNNNNNNNNNNNNNNNNNNNNNNNNNNNNNNNNNNNNNNNGAUGAUCCCUCGGAUCGAGGUAGAGACAAGAGACAAAUAAUACCACAAAAAUAUAAAUAAAGUACAUAUCUUCAAUCCCUUCUUGUGCAUACAUGGGGGUUGCAAGGCUACGCCUCGGUCCUUAGCCCGAGGUGAUUACUCACACAUCAUGAGCGAACCGGCCACAAGCAAAUUUCAUUGUAUAAAAAGUUAAUUGGAGAUGAAUGAUUGAUAGUCUUACAAUGUCGUUGAUCGCAAUUGAAUCUUGAUUACAAGUAGUUAGUCUAAUGGAGAUGGAGGUUAUGGAGAUGGAGAUGUGAUGUUGAUGACAGAGGUGUAGAUGGAUGUCUCAAAGGGUAAAGCAAAGAGAUGAGCCAUCGGGUCUUCCUAUGUUUUAUACUCCCUCCGUCCCAAAAUAUAAGACCAUUUUUGAUAGUGUAAAAAAUGAUCAUAUAUUCUAGGACGGAGGGAGUAUAGUGCAGGCAAGCGGGAUAAGGUUGCAGGGCUUCUCUGUUGUGAAUUUGGCUCAGGCCCCUUCAUUAAAGUUGUUUGGAAUGAUGCCACGGAGCAAAGUUUAAUAUCUCUAUUGUCAAAUAAUAAAGUAUAAGAGUCCUAUCUCGUAAUUUGUACCACAUACAACCACCUCCCUCCCAAUCCUAGACAAUUGUCACUGCUUCAGUCACUCCCAACCGACUAGGCUACGGGUCCACUCCUUCGUCUGCUGUUCCGACGGUGGGAGGGGUGGGGACUCUAGAUUUGUGUUGCAGUGUAGUUAGGUCUCUUAGGUUUAGAUAGAGUUUGGUUCCUCGACGAUGGAUUGUGGUGGCGAUGGCAGUGCCAUGCAGAUCAUGAACAAUGUUUACUUGGCCCCUGGUCUAUCUCGUCAGUGGCUACUUCAUCGGCGACAUAGAGGAUGGUGGGGUUCGCCUUGUUGCUGCUCUACUGGAGUGGUUGUGCUAUGCAGGUGGUCUUCGAAUACGUUUACAAAUGGGGUGGACGACGGUGCCUUGUGUCUUAGUUUCCUUCUUCAACUGAUGACAUCUAGCCAACUUUGAUGCCACCAAGGAGCUUUUGAGGUUAGGCCACCCUGAUUUCUCUAGGCGGAUUUGGGGUUGUCGUCCAACCCUUGCAAUAUUCAGCCAUUUCCAAUAUUUACCGGAACAACAUUUUUCUGUCUCUGGUAGUGUUUCUGAGGUUAGGGGCGACAUCGAGCUUUGCUCAUAGUACACACAGAUAUUGUUGUAAAGAUGAUCUUACAAAGCUUCGAGGUCAGAGGAAAAUGUCGUCUAUUUCACUGUUGUAACGAUGAUGAGUUGGUCGAUUUUUAACAUAUACAUAUGGCAUUACAAAUUAUAUAAUAAAUAAUAAAGUAUAUAAGAUCCUUAAAUACAGGAAAAGAAGACGCUAAAAAUAACCUUCACCACGUGCCCUCCUCGGGGUCUUUGUGAAAGGAGCACGGAGGCAGCGCAUCCGUCUGGUCGCCUUGGAACAGGUACGUCUUGCAGCGGAGGUGGCUCAGUCCAGGAACGCUCCCUUCCACGUCGAACUCGGCCCUCCCGAUAGCAUAGGUUUCGGCGCAUAUCUUGUUCCGCAGCUCCUGCUGCAACACAAGCCCCUCCGCCGUGGCCACCACGGUCGCCACGCUGGCGCUCGGCCCCUGCAGGCACCUGCCGUCGACGCAGAACCGCGGAACGCCGCCCCACGCCAGGAUCUUCCCGCGGUACGAGACCCGCAGCAUCGCGUCGCCACCUCCGGCGCAGGGCCCCCGCCUGCUUUCCGACACCCGGCCGACGUCCACGGCCAGCUCGAAGGUCGGGGAACGCACCUCGGUCUCCGGGAUGCACGGGUCCAGCCCCUGGACCUCGACCAGCCGGAUGAACAGCCGGGGCUUCGGGUCAUAGUUGGCAGCCGGCAAGAAGAGGGCCAGGGCGGUGCCUAAGAUGACUAUGGUGAGAAGGAGGGCGUAGAAAAAGUCCAUGAUCGGCGAACUAGCUGACGAGCUAUGGUAGGCUCCUGCAGCCAUCGCCGCAAGCUCGGCUACUCCCUGGAGCUUCUGUACGGUAAGAUGAAUACGGCCGGCGAAUAUGUAUUGAUCAUCGUGUCGUGGGCGAUGUAUAUUCUAUUCUACACUGUGACUUGGAUCUCAAGCAAUCCUAUGUAGAGAUAGAGGUAGAAACUAGUCCUGCCGUAUCAUAACAAGCAGUUGUUGUUUUUUUAUCUUUUGGAUUUGGAGGUAGGUUAGUUCUUGCUUAUUCAUAUUUUUAUUUAGCUAUAUCCAAUUUAGGCCAGUAUGUUAACAAUUUGCAUUAUCAAGCUUAUUGUACUAAGUCUCUGGUGAUAUCAAGACGGAUGAUGCGCACGCGGUGUCAGUGAUGAUGCUAUUGGAUCCCAGUAGCUUUACCAUCAUCAUCUAGUAUAGUUCAGGGUGGUUAUGAAUCGUGUGAGGUGCAAUCAUUCUAUCAAGUCGUUGUAAACCAUCUCAAAACUGACUAACUUGAAGUUACAUAAUUCACGAGGAAAUUAUCUCCCUCCAAAAUGACUACCAUGGUAAUCUGUCUGAGAGGUAGGUGUGACGUUCCCACUAUGAGCCCAUGGAAUGACUUCAAAUCUGGUUUGAUCUCUACUCGCGGGAUCUACAUCUGGUCUAGGGUCUUUGUUGUGAUGAUGACGAAGGAGCUCCCUCAGGACUUGGUGAACCCGCACGCUCCGAUGAUUGGGGACACUACUGGUGGAAGCUGUCAUGGAUGGGACAACUUGGCAGGCAAUCCUUCUCCUCAAAGUUUAUAGGCGCCUUGGCCCAUCUCAACCUCACUGCCUGACUCACAUUGGGGGAUGCCAAGACUUCCUACACGAUUGUCUUUGCCUUGGUAUGAGACCUAUAAAGUGGCCAUCCCUCCCCAUAAGCGAUUCACCUACAUCAUGGCCCUUAAGGGUGUGUCCUCGCCGUCUCCACUCGAUGGCUUCGAGGCUGAAGUCCCUCCCAGUGUCUGUUCCUCCUUCACGAGGACCAAGAGAGUUUGGCACUCAGAUCUUCCAUGAGAAUCAAUCAUUUGGAACUCGCACGAGUUGUGGCAAGCGCUUGCCGUGGAUGUCGGCUCUGGUGGUUGUCACUUCUUCAACCAUGACUUGAGUUUCCCAAAUGAGUCUCCCUGCAUGAGCAGAUUGUCCCGUCCGAACCCACCUAGCAUGUUCAAGCUGCCCAUAUGCUGCUUUUGUGGGCACUUGGCAUCCCGCAAGUGUACGGUAUCAAUUUUAGAUCUUUUUGAUAAGUAAAAGUAUCAAUCCCACGAGAAGCAAAAUGAAUUGGUAAGUGCAAAAUAACAAUAAUUCACCGUGUGGGCUCAAAGGUGUAAGAGCAAGUACAAUAGUGGGCUUAUAGCCCGCAUACAUGGCAAUUUUGCCUAUGUGAUGGAGAGAGACAUGAAAAAGUGAGGGGAGUGGACUCACAUGCAAGAGCCUAGCUAUAUGUGUGCUCCUAGGCAGAUACAACAAAUACGAAGAAAGAAAUAGAGAGAAGGUGGAGAAAAGUACUACUCUUAUAGCCACUUAUAGCUUAUUUUACUGUAUAAGUGACUAGAAGUGAUGACUAUAUAUGACAUGACAAUGUCAUAUAAGCAGCAGUUCACUAUACUAUUAACUAUGCUCUAAUGGUGUAAUUGUCUGUGAUGAUGGAGUUGCUGUUGGGGAACGUUGCAUGGAAAACAAAAAAAUUCUACGCUCACGCAAGAUCUAUCCAUGGAGAUGCAUAGCAACAAGAGGGGAGAGUGUGUCUAUGUACUCUCGUAAACCGUAAGCGGUAGCGUUUAUUAACGCAGUUGAUGUAGUCGAACUUCUUCGCGAUCCAACCGAUCUAGUACGGAACAUAUGGCACCUCCGCGUUCAGUACACGUUUAGCUCGGUGACAUCCUCGCCUUCUUGAUCCACCAAGACGAGCGAAGUAGUGGAUGAGUUCCGACAGCAUGACGGCGCGGCGACGGUGGUGGUGAUGCUAUCUCCACAGGGAUUCGCGUAAGCACUCAGAAAAUAUGACCGAGGGACGAAACUGUGGAGAGGGGUGCCGCACACAACAAAGAGAUUGGUGUAGUCUUCUGUGGCGCCCCCCUCAUAUAUAUAGGCGGAGGCGAGGAGGCAGCCAAGGAAGCGCCCCAAGGGAGGCCGAAUACCCCUUGGGCUCUUGCCCUUGGCCGCCCCCCUUCCCUGUUUGUGCGCGGGAGGAAGGCAGGGGGAGGUAGCGCCCCCUUUCCUUUCUCUCAUGAGAAGGGACAGGCAGGACUGGCCAACCCUCCCCCUUUCCUUCCCCUAAGGCCGGCGGCCAGGGAGAGGGGCGCACCAGCCCCUUGUGGGCUGGUGUGUUCCCUAUUUGGCCCAUUAAGCCCAUAUAGCCUCCCGGGGCUUUCCGGAACCCCUUCCGGUGAUCCGAUGACUACCCACUACCUCCCAAAACUCUUCCAGUGUCCAAAUAGUAUCGUUCUAUAUAACAAUCUUUACCUCCGGACCAUUCUGGAGCUCCUCGUCAUAUCCGUGAUCUCAUCCGGGACUCCGAACAACAUUCGGUCACCAAAUCACAUAACUCAUAUAACACUAUAUCGUCAACGAACAUUAAGCGUGCGGACCCUACGGGUUCGUGAACUAUGUAGACAUGACCGAGACACCUCUACGGUCAAUAGCCAAUAGCGGAACCUGGAUGUUCGUAUUGGUUCCUACAUAUUCUACGAAGAUCUUUAUCGAUCGAACCUUAUGACAACAUACUUGUUUCCCUUUGUCCAUCGGUAUGUUACUUGCCCGAGAUUCGAUCGUCGGUAUAUUCAUACCUAGUUCAAUCUCGUUACCGGCAAGUCUCUUUACUCAUUCUGUAAUACAUAAUCUCGUAUUUAACUCCUUAGUUACUUUUCUUGCAAGCUUCUUGUGAUGUAUAUUACUGAGAGGGCCUAAAGAUACCUCUCUGAUACACGGAGUGACAAAUCCUAAUCUCGAUCCAUGCCAACUCAACAGACACCUUCGGAGAUACCUGUAGAGCAUCUUUAUGAUCACCCGAUUACGUUGUGACAUUUGAUAGCAAACAAGGUAUUCCUCCGGUAUCCAGGAGUUGCAUGAUCUCAUAGUUGAAGGAAUAUGUAUUUGACAUUAAGAAAGCAAUAACAAUAAACUGAACGAUCAUAUGCUAAGCUAACAGAUGGGUCUUGUCCAUCACAUCAUUCUCCUAAUGAUGUGAUCCCGCUACCAAGUGACAACACAUGUCUAUGGUUAGGAAACCUCAACCAUUUUUUAUCAACGAGCUAGUCUAGUAGAGGCUUACUAGGGACACGGUAUUUGUUUAUGUAUCCACACAUGUAUUUAAGUUUCCGAUCAAUACAAUUCUAGCAUGAAUAAUAAACCUUUAUCAUGAAUAAGGAAAUAUAAAAUAACAACUUUAUUAUUGCCUUUAUCAUGAGUAAGGAAAUAUAAAAUAACAACUUUAUUAUUGCCUCUAGGGCAUAUUUCUUUAGUCUCCCACUUGCACUAGAGUCAAUAAUUUAGAUUGCAUUGUAAUGAAUCUAACACCCAUGGAGUCUUGGUGCUGAUCAUGUUUUGCUCGCGUAAGAGGCUUAGUCAACGGGUCUGCUAAAUUCAGAUCCGUAUGCAUUUUGCAAAUCUCUAUGUCUACAUCCUUGACCUUUUCACAAAUGGAGUUGAAGUGUCUGUUGAUGUGUUUGGUUCUCUUGUGAAACCUGGAUUCCUUCGCCAAGGCAAUUGCUCCAGUGUUGUCACAAAAUAUUUUCAUUGGACCGAUGCACUGGGUAUUACACCCAGAUCGGAUAUGAACUCCUUCAUCCAGAACCCUUCAUGCGUUGCUUCUGAAGCAGCUAUGUACUCCGCUUCACACGUAGAUCCUGACACGAUGCUCUGCUUGGAACUGCACCAACUGAAAGCUCCACCAUUCAAUAUAAAUACGUAUCCGGUUUGUGACUUAGAGUCAUCCGGAUCAGUGUCGAAGCUAGCAUCAACGUAACCAUUUACGACGAGCUCUUCGUCACCUCCAUAAACGAGAAACAUAUUCUUGGUCCUUUUCAGGUACUUUAGGAUGUUCUUGACCGCUGUCCAGUGAUCCACUCCUGGAUUACUUUGGUACCUCCCUACAAAACUUAUGGCAAGGCAUAAAUCAAGUCUGGUACACAACAUAGUAUACAUAAUAGAACCUAUGGUUGAGGCAUAGGAAAUGACUUUCAUUUUCUCUCUAUCUUCUGCAGUGGUCGGGCUUUGAGUCUGACUCAGUUUCACACCUUGUAGCAUAGGCAAGAACCCUUUCUUUGAUUGAUCCAUUUUGAACUUUUUCAAAACAUUGUCAAGGUAUGUGCUUUGUGAAAGUCCUAUUAAGCGUCUCGAUCUAUCCCUAUAGAUCUUGAUGCCCAAUAUAUAAGCAGAUUCACCGAGGUAUUUCAUUCAAAAAUUCUUAUUCAAGUAUCCUUUUAUGCUAUCCAGAAAUUCUAUAUCAUUUCCAAUCAACAAUAUGUCAUCCACAUAUAAUAUCAGAAAUGGUACAGAGCUCCCACUCACUUUCUUGUAAAUACAGGCUUCAGCAUAAGUCUGUAUAAAACCAUAUGCUUUGAUCACCUCAUCAAAGCGUAUAUUCCAACUCCGAGAUGCUUGCAUGAGUCCAUAGAUGGAUCGCUGGAGCUUGCACUCUUUGUUAGCACCUUUAGGAUCAACAAAACCUUCUGGUUGCAUCAUAUACAACUCUUCUUUAAGAAAUCCAUUAAGGAAUGUAGUUUUGACGUCCAUUUGCCAGAUUUCAUAAUUAUAAAAUGCGGCAAUUGCUAACAUGACUCAGAUAGACUUAAGCAUCACAACGGGUGAGAAAGUCUCAUCGUAGUCAACUCCUUGAACUUGUCAAAAAUCUUUCGCGACAAGUCGAGCUUUGUAGACAGUAGUAUUACCAUCAUCGUCGGUCUUCUUGAAGAUCCAUUUAUUCUCAAUGGCUUGUCGAUCAUUGGGCAAGUCCACCAAAGUCCAUACUUUGUUCUCAUACAUGGAUCCUAUCACAGAUUUCAUGGCCUCAAGCCAUCUAUCAAAAUCUGGGCUCAUCAUAGCUUCUUCAUAGUUUGUAGGUUCACCAUGGUCUAAUAACAUAACUUCCAGGAUAGGAUUACCGUACCACUCUAGUGCGGAUCGUGCUCUAGUCGACCUACGAGGUUCAGUAGUAACUUGAACUAAAGUUUCAUGAUCAUUAUCAUUUCCUUCCUCUCUAAUUGGUGUAGGCAUCACGGGAACGGUUUUCUGUGAUUUGCUACUUUCCAAUUCGAGAGAAGGUACAAUUACCUCAUCAAGUUCUACUUUCCUCCCGUUCACUUCUUUCGAGAGAAACUCCUUCUCUAGAAAGGACCCAUUCUUAGCAACAAAUAUCUUGCCUUCGGAUCUGUGGUAGAAGGUGUACCCAAUAGUUUCCUUAGGUUAUCCUAUGAAGACGCACUUCUCCGAUUUAGGUUCGAGCUUAUCAGGUUGAAGCCUUUUGACAUAAGCGUCGCAUCCCCAAACUUUAAGAAACGAUAGCUCAGGUUUCUUGCCAAACCACAUUUCAUACAGUGUCGUCUCAACGGAUUUAGAUGGUGCCCUAUGUAACGUGAAUGCGGCCGUCUCUAAUGCAUAACCCCCAAAAGAUAGUGGUAUAUCAUUAAGAGACAUAAUAGAACACACCAUUCUAAUAAAGUACGGUUACAAUGUUUGGACACACCAUUACGUUGUGCUGUUCCAGGUGGCGUGAGUUGUGAAACAAUUCCACAUUGUUUUAAAUAAAGGCCAAACUCGUAAUUCAAAUAUUCGCCUCUGCGAUCAGAUCGUAGAAACUUUAUUUUCUUGUUUCAAUGCUUCUCCACUUCACUCUGAAAUUCUUUGAACUUUUCAAAUGUUUCAGACUUGUGUUUCAUCAAGUAGCUAUAUCCAUACCUACUCAAUCAUCUGUGAAGGUCAGAAAAUAACGAUACCUGCCGCGUGCUUCAACACUCAACGGACCGCAUACAUUGGUAUGUAUUAUUUCCAAUAAAGCUUGCUCCAUUGUUCCGGAGAACGGAGUUUUAGUCAUCUUGCCCAUAAGGCAUGGUUUGCAAGUAUCAAAUGAUUCAUAAUCAAGUGAUUCGAAAGUCCAUCCGCAUGAAGUUUCUUCAUGCGCUUUACACCAAUAUGAUCUAAACGGCAGUGCCACAAGUAUGUUGCACUAUCAUUAUCAACUUUAAAUCUUUUGGCAUCAAUAUUAUUAAUACUAGUAGAAUGCCCAUGCAUUGCCACGGGCAUUUUAAAAAUUAGAAAUCUUACUGGCUCAUCAUGAUCAUGUUCUGUUGAAAAAGUAUCUGAGUUUUAUGGAUAUAUGAUAUUCCUCAUUGCAAUUAAUGUCACUAAAUUUCUUGACUCGUCAACCAUGGGUAAGUGCAAAAGUAAAUGAAUCUAAGUUGAGUGAAAUAAGGGAGGAUCUAAUGAAGGAACAAAUGAAUCGUGCACAUGCCUUAAUCACUUCUUCUCCACCUGAAAAUGGAACCCAAUACGUUGUUGCUGUAACAUUGCAUUACUCCACCGGAACCGAUCAGCCUGCUCACUCGCACCGAGGAACCCCAUUUGGCCAUUUCUUCCGCCGCCGGCCUCAACAUCACCCCUGAUAUCUCUCCGCCAGCUCCAUCAUGAAGCAUGUCCACAAUGUUUCGGUGUAUCUUACAUUACUCCUCAGGUAACAUAAGUACUAUUGUUCAAGCAUGCAUACCAAUCUUUGAUCGAGCACAUCCAAACAUUUGCGAUCCACCAGUUUUUCACCCUCCCCUCUCUCCAUGUGAUGUCUCCCGUACCACGUCAAUGACACUCCCCUCAUGCACGCGUCCAGCAUGGGUCGCCGCCCCUCAUGGGAAUCAACUCAAUAUUAUGAGGGAAAAAGUAAAAGCCUGGAAACAUAAACAAAUUCAUCCAUCCACAAAAUAAGCUCUACUUCAUGACAACCAAUGAUUAAAAAAAGAAUUACUAUGAUCACAUCAAGUCUAACAGGAUAUUAUAUGGGAUGCAAAAUGCACACAUCAUCACACAAGGCAUUCUAAAUUUUUAAAUACCACCAUUAUCAUAACAAUGAAAAUAAAGCUAGGAUAUUGAAAAAUUUAAGACAGUAGCGCUUUAUCUCUCCGGUAUUAUUCAAUCGACGGGGAUGCUCCCGUGCAUUUUUGUUAUCUUGAAGGAAAAUCUGGCUUGAAUGACUUCUUUGGUCAUAGAAAGCAUUGGAGCUCCUUGAACCAACAUAUUGCACCCUUUGUGUUAGUCAAGAUCCAAAAAUAGCUAGCCAUUGGUAAUCAGGAAUGUACCUUCUAAUCAAGUUAUUUUCUCCAUUGAUGUCUGGGUUGAAGUAUUAUCCGACACUUCUUAGUCAUAAAAGUAUUAGCAUCUGAAAUUCAGUGUGAUAAAGCCUUCAAUGUAUUAGUGAACAACAUUAAACACAAUAGCAAGAAGCCAAAAGCAAAAUAGUUAAGUGCAUACAAUCAGAGGCAUGUUGCCUCCAGAAAUCACUAGCAAGAGACAUUGGUCUUCUGCCCAACAUUACAUAUGUCAAAAGAUACUACGCAUAAUAUUAAGUCAUUUAGUUAUCGAGCUGACUAGAUCAAUUGUAAGCAUUACGUGGUUCUUAUUUCAGCGAAAAUGAAUUUUGUUGAAUAGUGAACUUAACUGGUAUAAAAGAACUAUAAUGUGGGUUGCGCUUAAACCGCAAAAGAUUUUUUUAGAAGAUCAGAAUAAAAUACGUGCAAUAACUCCGUAAAAAUCUUCUCUGUUCUUACUUUUUGGGGAUACCAACUCUUUGAGUAACAAAGUAAUAAUAGGACAUUGCACAGUCUAAUUCAUAUGAGCUAGAUUGACACACUUCUACUGCAGCAAGAGGUGAUAUUCAAAGCAAUAGAUGGGAUGCAAUUCUUGACAACAACCUGCAAUCAGGUAAUGAAGGACCAUUGAAUGACUAUAAACAUGAUAGUAAAGACAUCUUUCAACCUUUAAAAAAAUUAGAUACGGAUCAAAAGAGCUGAGGGAGUCUUGGACUAUGGGGUCCUCGGGGAGCCGGCUUAUGUGACAUGGGCCGGACUGAUGGGCCGUGAAGAUACGAGAUAGAAGGCCUUCUCCCAUGUCCAGAUGGGACUCUCCUUUGUGUGGAUGGCAAGCUUGGCGUCCGGAUGUGUAGUUUCCUUCAUUUGUAAACCGACUUUGUACGACCCUAGUCCCCUCCGGUGUCUAUAUAAACCAGAGGGUUUAGUACGUAGAGGCAAUCACAAUCGUACAGGCUAGACAUCUAGGGUUUAGCCAUUACGAUCUCGAGGUAGAUCAACUCUUGUAACCCCUAUACUCAUCAAAGUCAAUCAAGCAGGAAGUAGGGUAUUACCUCCAGUAAGAGGGCCCGAACCUGGGUAAACAUCAUGUGUCCCCUACCUCCUGUUACCUUCGAUCCUUAGACGCACAGUUCGGGAACCCCUACCCAAGAUCUGCCGGUUUUGACACCAAAAUUGGUGCUUUCAUUGAGAGUUCCACUGUGUCAUCGCUAGAAGGCUCGAUGUCUCCAUCGAUCAUCUACAACAACACCGCCUUGAGGGAUACCUUUCUCACUGACCAAAUCUUUGUAUUCGGCGGCUUCGCACUACGCGCCAACUCGAUUGGCCAUCUGGAGCAGAUCGACAGCUACGCCCCUGGUCAUCAGAUCAGUUUUGGAAAUCUGAACUACAUCGCUGAUAUCCAGGAGACUUUAUCUUCCAAGGGUUCGCGGCCCCAAUCACCGCUCUGGCCCUUGAUGUGGAGCGCACCACCAGGUCCGGAGACAGGAGUUUAAAGCCCUCCGGACUCCCUGCAGCUAUAGAGCCUGACACCGGAGAAUCGGAGGGGAUUGCAUCACCGACAGACCAGGAAUCACGCCAGGCUCCCUCUAUCCUCAUGGAGCCGGAGUCGCCUCCGGACACCAACUCCGGACUCUCGAGGUCCGCAUCAUAUGAGCUUGGACAGUGAACUUCUGUCCCGCCCUGCUCCACGGACUCUCGCUUCCCUUUCCAAAUCUCACUCUUAAACGAGGCCCUGGACUUAAUGCGAUCUCUCGCCAUUACAGAAGAAUCGCUGCCAAACUACGCCAAGCCCACACUAGGGGCUGAGAGCGGGGAAUUUUACGUCCCACCCACCACCCACUUCGUAGCCACUGUUGAGGACCCGACAUGCUUGAUUACGCUUCUGAAGACACCGACAGCAUGGACGACGAUGCCAGAGAAGAGAAAAGCCAGAACCCGCCGUCUACCGGACGCUGGACGGCCACUUCCACAUAUGACGUGUACAUGGUGGACACACCCAAAGAGGAUGGCGGUGAUGGUGGUAAGGAUCCAAUCGAGGACAAGCCCCCCGUGGCACCACCAAAGCAUCGACGUCAGCGGCGCCGCUCGAAAUCGCGUCGCGAAAAAGACAGUGAUACCAGCACCGGAGACAACAAUACUCCGGAUAACGCCAAAGACCAAGAAGCCCCUAUCGAACCAACAUCUGAGCAUGAUGAAUGGGAGGAUGGGCAAGUCAACCCCGACGACCCUAUCGGGAAUGAGGGAUCGGAGGAUAGUAAUUACUUAUCGAUCUCCAAAGAGGAUGAGAGCCUCGGCAAUGAAGAUUUCAUCGUGCCAGAGGAACCCCUUGAACAAGAGCGCUUUAAGCGCCAGCUGAUAGGCAUGGCAAGAAGCCUGAAAAAGAAGCGACAGCAGCUUCAAGCUGAUCAGGAUCUGCUCAAUGAUAGAUGGACUAAUGUCCUGGCAGCCAAGGAAUACAGCCUCGAACGCCCAACUAAGAGUUACCCGAAGCGCAAGCUACUACCCCAAUUCAACAAUGAGGCCCCAGAUCCUAUACCACCAAUGUGUAACACUGCCGACGGACCUAACCGACCACCACGUGGCCGGGACAAAGCGGUAACUCAAGCCGAACACCAUCCUGCACCACCUCGCCAUAAAGGCAGAGAGACAGCGGCUGCAGGAUACACUUAUGACCUACGACAGGACCUGGAUAAUAGAGACGGUCAGACCAGAUCAAUCUAUGGAUCAAGGGGGCGUGCCCCAGCGCGAGAAGAUGACCAUCAGGCCUGGCACAACAAGCACACCUUCACCCGGGUCGAAAACCACAUACGGACUCCAUCCGAACUACGUCGUGACGUUGCCCGAUACAGAGGCGCCGCACACCCCCUAUGCUUCACCGAUGAGGUAAUGGAGCACUAGUUCCUAGAAGGGUUUAAACCUGUGAACAUUGAAUCAUACGAUGGCACAAUGGAUCCCGUAGUAUGGAUUGAAGACUUUCUUCUCCACAUUCACAUGGCUCGCGGUGACGAUCUACAUGCCAUCAAAUACCUCCCACUCAAACUUAAGGGAACAGCUCGGCACUGGUUAAACAACCUCCUAGAAAACUCUAUUGGAAGCUGGGAAGACCUGGAGGAUGCCUUUAGAGACAACUUCCAAGGCACUUAUAUCCGGCCUCCGGACGCCGAUGACCUUAGUCACAUAGUCCAGCAGCCUGGAGAGUCAGCCAGGAAAUUCUGGACCCGGUUCCUAAUUAAAAAGAACCAAAUCAUUGAUUGUCCAGACGCCGAGGCUCUAGCAGCCUUUAAACACAUCAUUCGUGACGAAUGGCUUGCCCGACACCUCGGCCAAGAAAAGUCGAAGUCCAUGGCAGCCCUCACAUCACUCAUGACCCUCUUUUGCGUAGGCGAAGAUAGCUGGCUAGACUGUAGCAGCAACAGUACCAGCGACCCUAGCACUUCCGAAGCCAGAAACAACAACGUCAGGCCCCGACGCAACAAAAACAAACGCCGGAGCAACACUGACAAUGUCGAAAACACGGCGGUUAACACCGGAUUCAGUGGCUCCAAACCCAGUCAGCGGAAGAAGCCAUUCAAAAGAAACAAAGACAGUUCAUCUAGCCUGGACUGAAUACUCGAUCGACCUUGCCAGACCCGCGACACCCCUGACAAGCCUGCCAACCAUACCAACAGAAGAUGUUGGGUCUUUAAACAGGCCGGUAAGUUAAACACCGAGCACGCGGGGAAAGGGUCGCCCAGCGAGGAUGACGACGAGGAGCCUCGCCCACCGAACACAGGGGGACAGAAGAAAUUUCCCCCCGAGGUCAAAACAGUGAACGUGAUAUACAUUAAUCGCAUCCCCAAGAGGGAGCGCAAGCGCGCGUUAAGGGACGUCUAUGCGAUAGAGCCAAUCGCCCCAAAAUUCAACCCAUGGUCAGCAUGCCCGAUCACUUUCGAUCGCAGAGACCAUAAGACCAGUAUCCGUCAUGGAGGUUCAGCCGCGUUGGUCCUCGACCCAAUUAUCGAUGGAUUCCACCUCACAAGGGUCCUCAUGGAUGGCAGCAGCAGUCUUAACCUGCUCUAUCAGGACACAGUCCAGAAAAUGAUUAUUGACUCGUCAAGAAUCAAACCCACCAAAACUACCUUCAAAGGAGUAAUACCUAGUGUAGCCGCUGCAUGGGCUCCAUCACAUUGGAAGUCAUCUUCGGUAUGCCAGACAACUUUCGAAGCGAAGACUUGAUCUUUGACAUCGUCCCUUUCCGCAGUGGCUAUCACGCACUGCUCGGCCGAACUGCGUUUGCCCGCUUCAAUGCGAUCCCGCACUAUACUUAUUUAAAACUCAAGAUGCCAGCACCACGCGGUGUUAUAACAGUCCAUGGAAACAUGGAUCGCUCCCUCCGUACUGAGGAACACACCGCGGCCCUCAUAGCGGAAGUGCAGGUUGGCCUCAUCAAUGUUGGGGAACGCGGUAAUUUCAAAAAAAUUCCUACGAUCACGCAAGAUCUAUCUAUGUGAUGCAUAGCAACGGAGAGGAGAGUGUGUCCAUGUACCCUCGUAGACCGAAAGCGGAAGCGUUUAGUUAAUGCGGUUGAUGUAGUCGAACGUCUUCACGAUCCGGCCGAUCCAAGCACCGAACGUACGGUACCUCCGCGUUCAGCACAUGUUCAGCUCAGAGACGUCCCUCGUACUCUUGAUCUAGUUGAGGCCGAGGGAGAGUUUCAUUAGCAUGACGGCGUGGUGACGGUGAUGAUGAAGUUACCGGUGCAGGGCUUCGCCUAAGCACUACGACGAUAUGACCGAGGUGUGUAACUGUGGAGGGGGGCACCGCAUGCUGCUAAAACAAUUGUCAACUUGUGUCUAUGGGGUGCCCCCCUCCCACAUAUAUAAAGGAGGGUGGGAGGAGGAGGCCGGCCAAGGGGUGGCGCGCCCAAGGGGGGGAGUCCUACUCCAAGUAGGUUUGCCCCCCCCCUUUCCUAUUCCUAUUAGNNNNNNNNNNNNNNNNNNNNNNNNNNNNNNNNNNNNNNNNNNNNNNNNNNNNNNNNNNNNNNNNNNNNNNNNNNNNNNNNNNNNNNNNNNNNNNNNNNNNNNNNNNNNNNNNNNNNNNNNNNNNNNNNNNNNNNNNNNNNNNNNNNNNNNNNNNNNNNNNNNNNNNNNNNNNNNNNNNNNNNNNNNNNNNNNNNNNNNNNNNNNNNNNNNNNNNNNNNNNNNNNNNNNNNNNNNNNNNNNNNNNNNNNNNNNNNNNNAAACCCUAAACCAAUUCGGUUUGGGCCUAGAGGGGGCGCGCCCCACAAUUUGCCCGCUGCCUCCUAUCUCCACUAGGGCCCAUUAAGGCCCAUUGACUCCUUGGGGGGUUCCGGUAACCUCCCGGUACUCCGAAAAAUAUCUGAUACACUUCGGAACCCUUCCGGUGUCCGAAUAUAACUUUCCAAUAUAUCAAUCUUUAUGUCUCGACCAUUUCUAGACUCGUCGUCAUGUCCGUGAUCUCAUCUGGGACUCCGAACAACUUUCAGUACAUCAUAUCACAUAAACUCAUAAUACCAAUCGUCAUCGAACAUUAAGCGUCCGGACCCUACGGGUUCGAGAACUAUGUAGUCAUGACCGAGACACGUCUCCGGUCAAUAACCAAUAGUGAAAGCUGGAUGCUCAUAUUGGUUCCUACAUAUUGUAGGAAGAUCUUUAUCGGCCAAACCGCAUAACAACAUACAUUGUUUCCUUUGUCAUCGGUAUGUUACUUGCCCGAGAUUCGAUCGUCGUUAUCUCAAUACAUAGUUCAAUCUCGUUGCCGGCAAGUCUAUUUACUCGUUUCGUAAUACUUCAUCCUGCAACUAACUCAUUAGUCACAAUGCUUGCAAGGCUUAUAAUGAUGAGUAUUACCGAGAGGGCCCAGAGAUACCUCUCUGAAACACGGAGUGACAAAUCCUAAUCUCGAUCUAUGCCAACCCAACAAACACCUUUGGAGACACCUAUAGAGCACCUUUAUAAUCACCCUUUUACGUUGUGACGUUUGGUAGCACACCGUGGGGCUCGCGCACGGUGGUGUUGAGUUUCUGGAGAGAUCUCUCUCAGGGAUCAAGAAGCUCGUGAUAUGUUGGAUGAAAAAGAGCCGGCGCAGAAGACGUCAUCAUCGACGAACAGUCAAAACAACAUAUACAAGAUCAAGAGAUAUUAGGGUUGCACGUUCAUCGUCCGCUACACACGCCGUGGUAAACGCUGAGUCCCAUGGAAAAGAGAGGUUUAUCCAGGAGCAGUUUCCUUUGCAAUUCAACAAUUACAGCAAAGCUUGAUCACAGAAAAAGGAAGAGUCGCCGCCUGUUCUGCCUUCACCGGAGUCACCUCGUUCCCGCGGCUUUGCGCUAAGUCGCCGCCGCCUCACCUCAUCUUCGGCACGUCGUCUCCACCUCUGACGGCACGAACUUCGAGCCGCCGCCUUGACCCGUAGCUGAUUUGGAAUCUGCCUCCCCUGAAUCACCAUCGCGAGUCAUCUCCGGACUCCGGUCCGAGUCACCGAUGCGCCUCGCCUCCCGUUCGGGUUACCAUCGGAAUUCGCCGGCUUUUUCCGCGUCCGUCUAUGUUGGGACUCCUCUCGAGUGCCCCUGCUUCGCUGAGUUAUCCGCGCCUGCGAGCUGCCUUCUCCAUCGCGGCAUGAGCCGCCUCAAGCUGCCCUCGCAUGGACCUUGUGUCAAGUCGCCGGCCGCCUUCAUUGACACAGCCGCAGGCCCUGCCUCGUCGACCCCACGCCUCCACUCUAAAUCAUUGAACCGCUGACUUGCUGACCCCGCGUCGCGCCGCUUCUACCGUGGCCACCUCCAAGCGCCCUCGCUUCCUCUGUCAGGCCGCUGCUCUGCCUUGAGCCGCCGACCGCCGUCACCUCGCUUUAAGCCAGUCCAGCUCCGCCCAGCUACCUCCGACGCCGUGGCAUGCUUCGGGCCGUUGAGCCGCCUGCUACCGCCACACCACGAGCCGGCUGUCCCGCCUCACUUCAGCGCAGCAACCUGCCACGCCUCCCGCCGUUGCGGCCCCGAGACGGCGCUCCUGCCUGCAAGCCGGCUUGCUGCAUCCACUAGCGUCCUACGGUCUGCAUCGCGCUGAGCGGCCUCGCAGAAGACGCCUUGAGUCGCCAGCAGCCGCCACCGCCUGCCGGCCACAGCCUUCGCUUGAUUUUGGUUCGACUGCGGUUUCAUCCCCCGACCGCUAACGACGUAGCAGUCUGUUUUGCUGCAAUCCGACAAAGUGGAGGGCUCUGCCGAACUUUCUUUUAUGUCUGAACAAGCAUCGGUGUAUUUGGGAUCAGUUGGAUUGUUGGGAAAGUACUCUCAUGCAACAAAGAAAAGGCAUAAGCUUGUGCUCCCCUGCGUGCAUCAAGGGCUCAUUAGUAUCUGCCCCGGAAAGAUUCUCUCAAGAUUGUGCUUGUUUUGGACAAGGAUGAUUGUCUCUACAGGAAUAAGAUGCCCAGACUGUUGUCCAAAACUGAAGGCCGUGGUAGUGGUAUCAAGACCAGUAUUGAGCCGCCUCCGCUGCUAUUGAGCCGCUGCGGCCGCCCGGUGGCCUUUGCCACUGCCAUGAUAGGCCCCGAGCCGCUGAGUCACCGGCCUUGCCUCAAGCCGCCAGGACCGACAGCAAGUUGGAUUGAAUGCCCUCAAAAUCUCCUGCAAAAAACCGGCCUCGUUGCCGAAGAUGAGUUUGCUGGUCUUACACGGCUGCAACUGCAGAAUACAAGUUUUGGAGAAUCAGACGUACUCAAAGGCAUCGGGAGCAAGUUGCAAGCACAAUCCAAGAUCAGUAUUUUCAAUGUGGCGACUAGUACUGGUACUCUGUAUUGGAUUAAAUUUUCUUCGAAGAGCAGUCUGUGUAAAUUGGAUGAAGCACACAUACGUGGAGACCAAUUGCGCACUAAAUGGCCGCACCCGCAUUCAUCCAAAAUAAAUAAAUCAGGUGCUAUUUCUCCUAUUUUCUUAGUACAAUUUAAAUUACUCCGAGCACAGUUACUCUGCUCUAUGGUAUUUUUUAUACGCAUGGUAACUAUUUACUACAAAGGUGGCAUUAUACCGCGGAUACGGACCGCACCGGCUUACAAUGCCAUGACUGACUCAUCUCUCCGAGCCGCCUCUGAUGAUGCAGUCGUUUUACUGUCCGCCCUGUGGUCCGGCCUAUCCAAAGUGCCGGGUUGACUAACGGACUUUACGCAUAGAUCAUCUGCAGUUCACAAACGUUAGGUGAUAUCCAUCUAAAUUUAUCUAUUAAACACUUAUUGUUUUUUGUCAAAGAACAAUUACUCUGCCCUGUAACAUUUUUACACAGGACAAUUGUUUAUGCCAUUAUACCGAGAUGGGGUUGCAAACUCUCUGUUUCCCUUUCGUAACUUUUCGGUCCCACCGAAAGAGCGAAUCGGUCCCAUCGAGAUUGCAAUGUAAACUCAGUGUUUCCCCUUUGUAACUUUUCGGUCUCACCGAGUUCCACUUGGUCUCACCGAAAGAGCAAAUCGGUCCCACCGAGUUUGCCUGACCAACUCUCUGGUUAGCUAAUUACCAAAUUCGGUCUCACCGAGUUUGUGUAAUCGGUCUCACCGAGAUUGCGUUAUGCCCAAACCCUAACCACAUCGGUCCUACCGAGUUGCAUGUCAGUCCCACCGAAAAUCACUAACGGUCACUAGGUUUACAUUUUCGGUCCGACCGAGUUUAUUGAUUCGGUCCCACCGAGAUUGGAAAACUGUGUAACGGUUGGAUUUUGUGUGGAGGCUAUAUAUACCCCUCCACCUUCUUCUCAUUUAGAGAGAGAGCCAUCAGAACACACACACCAUUCCAACUCAUAUGUUCUGAGAGAGAACCACCUACUCAUGUGUUGAGAUCAAGACAUUCCAUUCCUACCAUAUGAAUCUUGAUCUCUAGCCUUCCCAAGUUACUUUCCACUCAAACCCUCUUUCCACCAAAUCCAAAUCCUAUGAGAGAGAGUUGAGUGUUGGGGAGACUAUCAUUUGAAGCACAAGAGCAAGGAGUUCAUUACCUACACACCAUUUGUUACUUCUUGGAGAGUGGUGUCUCCUAGAUUGGCUAGGUGUCACUUGGGAGCCUCCAACAAGAUUGUGGAGUUGAACCAAGGAGUUUGUAAGGGCAAGGAGAUCGCCUACUUCGUGAAGAUCUACCGCUAGUGAGGCAAGUCCUGUGUGGGCGAUGGCCAUGGUGGGAUAGACAAGGUUGCUUCUUCGUGGACCCUUUGUGGGUGAUUGCUUCUUGGUGGACCCUUCGUGGGUGGAGCCCUAUGUGGACUCGUGCAACCGUUGCCCUUGGGUGGAGCCCUGUGUGGACUCGCGCAACCGUUACCAUUUGUGGGUUGAAGUCUCCAUCAACGUGGAUGUAGGAUAGCACCACCUAUCCGAACCACGGGAAAAAUAUCCGUGUCUCUAAUAGUGUUUGAAUUCUCCAAACCCUUCCCUUUACAUUCUUGCAAGUUGCAUGCUUUACUUUCCGCUGCCCAUAUACACUUUGCAUGCUUGCUUGAAUUAUGUGAUGAUUGCUUGACUUGUCCUAAAUUAGCUAAAAUCUGCCAAGAACUAAAAUUGGGAAAAGGUUAAGUUUUUAUUUGGUCAAGUAGUCUAAUCACCCCCCCUCUAGACAUACUUUCGAUCCUACAAGUGGUAUCAGAGCUUUGGUCUCCAUUUGCUUGAUCUCCAUAGCUUUUGGUGGUCAUAGCCUUGGUUUCACAACCUAGGAGAGUAUGGCGUCUAGCGAGGGAAAUUAUCACCGUAGAGGUCCUUACUUUGAUGGUACUAAUUUUGCUAGUUGGAAGCAUAAAAUGAAAAUGCAUAUUCUUGGACAUAACCCCGCCGUUUGGGCUAUUGUGUGUGUUGGUUUGCAAGGUGACUUCUUUGAUGGGAGAGAACCGAACCGUGAAGCUACCGCAGAUGAGUUGAAGAUGUUGCAAUACAAUGCUCAAGCUUGUGAUAUUCUCUUCAACGGAUUGUGCCCCGAAGAAUUCAACAAAAUCAGCCGCCUUGAGAAUGCAAAGGAAAUUUGGGACACUUUGAUUGAUAUGCAUGAAGGUACCGACUCUGUCAAGGAAUCCAAGUUGGAUGUGCUUCAAAGCCAACUUGAUAAGUUCAAGAUGAAGGAUGGUGAAGGUGUCGCCGAAAUGUACUCUAGGCUUGCUCUCAUCACAAAUGAGAUUGCCGGCUUAGGAAGUGAAGAGAUGACCGACAAAUUCAUCAUCAAGAAGAUUCUAAGAGCCUUGGAUGGAAAAUAUGAUACCAUAUGCACAUUGAUCCAAAUGAUGCCCAAUUACAAAGAUCUCAAGCCAAUGGAGGUGAUUGGAAGAAUUGUUGCUCAUGAGAUGUCACUUAAGGAUAAAGAGGAACUUCACAACAAAUCAAGUGGUGCCUAUAAAGCCUCAUGUGAAGACCCUACAUCAUCAAGUGAGAAACAAGACUUCAAUGAAGGAUUGAGCUUAAUGGUGAAGAACUUCAACAAGUUCUACAAGAGUAGAAGCAAAGAUAGAAGCUCCAAGUCAAGGUCCUACAAUGACAAAAGAUCUUCUAGUCGAGAGCGAAACUUUUACAAUUGUGGAAGACCCGGACACUAUUCCAAUGAGUGUACGGCUCCCUACAAGAGAAGAGAAGAUUCUCCAAAAAGAAGAAGCAAAGGAUCACCACCAAGAGAGAGAAGGAGUAGAGAUGAUCGUUAUGAACGAAGAUACUCACGGAGAAGCAAGGAUUCGGAAAGGAAGGAAAAAUCAUCAAGGAGCUACACAAGAAGAAGACAUCAAGCUCAUGUUGGUGAAUGGGUAUCCGGCUCCGACUCCGACAGCCACUCCGAGAGAAGUUAUCACUCCGACUCUGAAGAUACUCAAGAUGAAGGUGUUGCCGGUCUAGCACUUGUGUCAACCAACCCCUACGACAUAUUUGACUCACCAAAUGAAGGAAUUGGAAGAUGCUUCAUGGCCAAAGGUCCUAAGGUAACACACCCCGAGUAUGUUGAUUUCAAUAGUGAUGAAGAUGACUUGUUAGGUGAUGAUUUGCUUGGUGACAACUCUAGUGAUGAAUACUAUGAUGAAAUGUCAUUUAAACAUGCUAAUCAAGAUAAAACAAAUGACAAUGAUAAGGAGAAGAUUGAGGCCCUAACUAAAGAACUAAACACUCUUAAGUUAGCUCAUGAAACCAUCUUUGAAGAUCAUCGAGAACUUUUAAGAGCUCAUAAAAAAAUACGCUUUGAGAAGCUCAAUCUUGAGCAAGAGCAUCAGUUCUUAAAAGCAAUCAAUGAUGAUCUCCACAAGAAAAGUUCUUCUUACAUUGCCAAGCAUUUACUCUUAUCUACUUACAUGCCUCAAGUCAAGUCUAGUAACAAGAAAGAUUCUUCCUCUAGCAGUAACAAUGAUCAUGUUAAAUCCAAUAUUGUUGCUUCUAGUAGUUCUUUUGAUUCCACUAAUGAUUCUCUUAGCCAAGUUACACUUGAGCAAGAAAAUAGCUUAUUGAAGGGAAUUAUAGAGAAAGGAGUGUACAAAAGCCUUGCCGGGAGUAAGCAAUUCGAAGAAAUUGUGCGCAAGCAAGGAAUGCACCGGAAGAAUCAUGGUGUUGGUUUUGAACGAAAGUUCAAUGCCAAUGGAAUUGAGUGGGAAGAAGAUCAAUACCCCAAGACAAAGUUUGUCCCUCAACAAGAAAAGUAUGCUUCUUUCAAGGGGACACAAGCUCAAGAUGAUCUUCCACCACAAGACUACGAGCAAAAAGGCAAGGACAAGCUUCAAGAGGAAAUUGAUGCAUUUGAAGAAGCUCCUAAGACCUUAGUCAAGUGGAUUCCCAAGACUACUUCAAGUUCCACUUCAUCAAGUACGACUACAACUCCAAGGAUUCCCAUCAAGAUGAUGUGGAUCCAAAAGAAGAAGAACUAGAGAGUUCUUGAGGGUGACUCCGCCAACAUACUUCACUCUUAUCAUUUUGGCAAGAACAAGUGCAAUCAACUUCCACAUCUUGCACUAGUUCAAGGAGUCACAAACCCUCUUGUUGGUAAGACAAGGGACAAGGUAACCUAAAAGUUUCCAUGGACAUCAUCUUUUGUGUGCAUCACUCUAUGUCUAUGGAUAUCCUUGCUUGUUCCUUGUGGGACUAACCCAUGUAGGUAUUGAAAGUCCAAUUCACUCGAAUGGAUAGCUCCAAGAGAUCUACAUCAACAUUGAGCAUCCACAUCUUCAACAUCUACAUGAAGUCAUCAUCGACAAAACCCAAGGUUAGUUCAUCCCUCUAAGGGGGGAUAUCACAUCUAGGGGGAGUUCUACUCUAAGACUUGAGCUAAAGCAACUCUAAAGAUGUGAAAACAUGAGCCCACGGACAAACGGGUGGAGAGGAAAACCCAGUCCGCGGAGGAAGUGGGGAAGAAAUGCUACCCUCUCAUGGGGCCUUGGGGUGGGGAGAAGAUGCCCCUCCUCAGGAAGCCAGUGCGUGAUGUCUUUGGACAAGUAUCCGGCCUUCCUUAACCUUUUGACAUGGCCCUCCGUGACGAAGGAGACCAUCCACUUGCCUCCCGCUCCAGACAUUGUUGGAGAGGGUUGAGGUAGGAAGUGCGGGCUUGGGCGCUGGAGCUCGGGUGCGCAGAAGAUGGAUAGGUAAAGGAGGAAGAAGGCGUAGGUAAAAAGGUGGAUCCUUAUCCCCUUAUAUGGGCGGAUGCGACUAUGCGUCCCCACCAGCCUAGUAAAACUCGCUUGCCUCCCAAGCGCCGUGAUAAGUGGCGUGGUUGGGUUACCCACGUCCGUAUUAACGAGAAUCCCGUAAACAAAGGGGGCACGAUCUCUGCUUUGACAAGACGUGCCAAGGAAACCGCCUCGCAAAACACGCUGAGGUGGAGAAGUGAAAACGAUUCGAAUAAAGGCUUUGCCGUAGUGUGAUGUCAUGCUGCGGAAUACGUCAGCAGAUUAGAUUUGUGUUAAUAUUAUUCUCUCUAUGGCAAUACGUGGAAGCUUAUUUUGCAGAGCCGGACACUACUCUUGGUGUUUACAAACUUUUAUGAAGAAUUUGGAGGAGGCACUGCAAGGAAAUCGGUCUAUUGCAACGGAAAUAUUGCCACAAAAUAGUUUUCGUUGCAAAAAUCUCAUUCUAUCACCACAUUUUCAUUUUUGUGGCGACUAGCACGUCAUAAUGCAACAUUAUUUUAUUGUUGCAAUAAGUGCCAUGAUCAUUGCAAAAAGGCUAGCCUUAUCGGGACGAACAAAAAAUCGUUGCAAAAAUCUAGGCUUAUGGCAACAAAAAAAAAUAACGUUGCAUUAAGUAUUGCUAUUACCACAAUUUAUAUAUCGUGGCAAUAUUUUUACUUCCCCCACUCCACACCGGUUGCCUUUGGACUUUGGCGGUAAAGAGACUUCUCGUUUCCCACCAAAAUUUUUAGCCGGUUGCUUUAUUUCCCACGAAGAGACCUUCUUGUUCCCGGCAAAAAUUACUUUUCCCGCACGGAUACGGUGAGGUGCUCCACGAACUCCUUAUAACUUCUUUCAAUCUGGAUUAAACAGGACUAUAAUCUGAUUUCACCCUAUUAGGAAAUCAGGUUUACUUCUCUCUGUCAUGGCAGCUUCACGGCGUUUGUAGACGAGAUCGGCGACUUCGCGGCGUUGGUCGAUGAGAAGAUUCUUAUGCGUACAUCGCUAAUUCCUUUCUCUACCUCUCUCUUGUUCCGUGAUGGGGUUCCCCACUUGACCUUCUCCCUGCUAGUCGCCGUUGUUGCCUAAUCUUCAUCCCAUCUACUUGGGGGCCAUGACCCUCUCACCUGCACAAAGGGGAAUUUUCACUGCUUCCAAUAAAGAUGGGGAGGGAGGGCCGCGCGCCGCAGGGACUGUGAGUAGCGCCGCUGCCUCUUGCGCACGUCGGAAGGAAUAGGUUGAUGGCCGCUGCACCACAGCUAGCUGUGCCGGUGGGAGCAGCUCAGGGAAAACGGUUGCCUCGGCGCUGGGGCUUGCCGUGCGGCUCCGACAGGAGCAGCUUCAGGGCCGACAGUCGGCGGCACGCUGGAGGUCGCCUCCGGACCGGGGCUUGCCGCGCGGCACCGACCAGAUCAACUUCAGGGCCGGCGGUCACCAACCCACUGGGGCUCGCCAUGUCGCGUCGUCGGAUGGCCGUGACCUGUCGGAAGGGUGGGAUUGCCGCCGCUCCCGUGGACAGCCCAUGGCGUGCUUUCCAGAUCUAGAACUAUUUCGGUCUCAUCUCAUCUGCUCUGUUUUCCUCUCUUCUACUGUAUGCCUCUGUUCCGUCAGGUAUUUUUCUUCUUUUAUUCGGAACUUGCAGCUACAUCAUACAGCACAAUCAGGCAUCAACCUUUGAAUGCACAUAUCAAUUGUAUGAUGAUAAGCCACAUGGUUGGACGAACUACAAGAAUAUAUGCAUGCCCAUGGCAUGUAGUUUUAAACAUUCAGCCGUCAAUCCCGCUUUAGCCUGAAUCAGCUCUACCUUUCAACACUUUUUCCCAAGUACAUCAAAUGCAGGGACCAUGUCAUCAUAUAGUGCCUUGUGGCCUGCAGCAAGAAUAGCCAGUUGUCCAUCUUCAUCUGGCUUCUUGUUCCCUCAAACCGGAGCUUCAGCAAAAGCUCCACCCUUUUGUUUAACUACCUCUUCUCUCUCUCGUCCCCUCAUCCCUAACAGAGGCAAACGCACUCACACCUGCCGCUAGCGAUACACACUUUUGCUCCUCUGGUGGGCAGCCGCAGGCUUCAGGUAAAAUUGUUGAUAGCCUGCUAGAGUGAAAGGUAAACAGGAAUAUGGAUUUAACCCCCAAAAAUAGUCUUCAAAGCUUUGAUCAGGAAGUGGCACUGGAUAUGAUCUAAUUCCGAUUGAGACCUUCACCCUAUGCUCCCCAGUUAAAUUUUCUCUUUCAGUUAUAGUAAAUGUAGUUAUCAAACAAUUGUUUGAUGCCAUGUACCUAUGCAUUUAGUAUUUUUUCUGUCUAGUUUUUAGUUAUGAGGCUUCGUUCCAUUGUGUUCUUUGCAUACCCAGCCUUGCUUUGGAUUUCAUAACAUGAUUCCCAUACCAAAAUUUAUUGAGUUAUCUCGUCAGAUUUGGGCUCACAUAAAAGCUGAUACAUAAUUCUUGUAUGCAGCAAAUGGUAUUACAUUGUAUUAUGGUUCACCUUUUACUCAUCCUUAGAAAAAUUGUAUGCAGGAAAGGUCGAAGUCAGGAUAAGGAAGAAGCCAGUUCUUUGUUGCGUCAAGGACGACCUGUGAGAAGGUUUGUUUCUGUUAUGUCAAUAUUCUUAAAUUUUCAUUUUUUAUUCAAUCUAAAUGAAAUAAGUUACUUUCAGUACACAUUUUCUCGUUUUGCUAAUACCUAUAUGCAUAGCGUUUAAUGUUAAAUUUGAUAAGGUUUGUUUGGGUUAUGUCAACAUUCUCAAAUUUUCAUCUUUUUCUCAGUCUGAAUGAAAUAAGUUACAUUCAGUACUGUGUUCUCUUGUUUUGCUAAUACCUAAUAUGCAUAUGUUGUAAUCCUAUUCUAUAAACAAAUAUAACUACUAUGCCAAAUUUCGUGUAGUACGAGUAUCUAUGAGGCUCAAAAGUUAUCUGUAUUAUUUUGAGAAAAAUAGCUCAUGUCCUAAACGGACUACUAUUCUGUUCUACAUACUAUUUCCAUAUUUCGGAUUCACUUUCCUGACAAGUGUGUAAAUCCUUUAUCUAAUUUUCUAGUUUAAAAUCAGCUAGAUAGCUCGAGAUAGGAGUUGGGUGGAUAUGAAUAGGGAUUCCGCGGAGUGGCAGAGUGGCAUUAUGGAAUUUUUAGAUUUGGCUUUUGACGGUAGUCCUGGAAGAUCAAUCGCUUUAUGCCCAUGUAGAAGAUGUCUCAAUGCUAUUUACAAGGAAAGGGACGAAGUACACCUUGACAUGCUCAUGAAUGGGAUGGAUCCCAGUUAUACUUGCUGGAAAUACCAUGGAGAGGAUUCAGAUGACGAAAGUACAGCUGAAGGAUCUGAAGGUGAAGUGGUGAGAGGUGAUGACUUUGCAGUUCGUGAUUUGCUCAACACUCUCAUACGUAGCACCGAGCCAGAAAGUAGCAAAACCACAGGUGAAGGUACUAGUGAAGAGAUGUUGCAUGAUGGUAAUAUCCCAGAAGGGUCUGCAGAAGGUAGAAGUAACGAAGAGGCAGGUGGAUGUGCCAAGGCUUUCUUUGCUUUGUUGAAGGAUGUUGAAAAGGAGUUGUACCUUGGUUGCAAGGAGCUCACAAAGCUUUCUUUCAUUGUGAGACUCUACCAGAUAAAGUGCUUGUUUGGGUUGAGCAACAGGGCAUGUGAGGCAGUACUUCAAUUGUUCACAGAAGCGCUUCCAAAAGGUCAUUGUAUUCCAAAUUCUCUCGAGAAAGUUCAGAAGAUAAUCCGGGAUCUUGGGCUUGACUACCAAAAGAUACAUGCUUGCAUUAAUGAUUAUGUGCUAUUCCGGAAAGAGUAUGCUGACAUGGAUUACUGUCCGACCUGUAAGGAAUGUAGAUGGAAAGCUGCUGCCGCUGAUGAAUCAGAUGUCGAGAGGACAAACCAUAAAGGGAAGAAGCAAGUGGCUCGUAAAGUUCUAAGAUAUUUCCCACUCACUCCAUGGCUACAACGUCUAUUUAUGACCAAGGCUACAUCAUCAUAUAUGAGAUGGCAUAAGGACGACCGUGUGGAUGAUGGUAUAAUGCGGCACCCUGCAGAUUCUUUGGCAUGGAAGCAUUUUGAUAAUAUUUAUUCUAAAGGAUUCUCUUCGGAUGCACGAAAUGUAAGGCUUGGGCUUGCAUCUGAUGGGUUCAACCCAUAUGGGAUAAUGAAUGUGUCAUACUCUUGUUGAACAGUGAUUCUAAUUCCAUAUAACUUGCCUCCUUGGUUGUGUUUGAAACAACCAUAUUGGUUAAUGUUUAUGUGCCAAAAUAAAAAGAGGCAAAUAUCUUCUUUCGUGAAUGCCCUCAACGAGGAAACCUGAUGUAUUUCAUUGAAAUUCGGUCAUUCAUGUUAGAAUAGAAACUUUUGUAUUCGUUUCUCGCUAAUCAUCUAUUUACAGACCUUGUAUCUGUGUAAACAACACCUAUCUUUUCUUGCUAAAUGACUGUACAGAAGUAGCCAUAGUAAUAUGUCAGAAGUGCUAAUGAAUAAAUAUUACAGUACAUUCUUGAUAUGGAUUAUAAAUAUGGAAUCCAUCCCAUGUAGAAUCAUCAACCCUUAUUUAUAAUCAUUUUUAUUGUGUAUUGUCUUUACUGUCUUAACUAACUAUAAGCUUCAAAUUUUGUUUUUGCCUUAUAGGAUGGUUUUCUCUAAAUGAAGAAGAAAGAUCCCAACAAGAUUUAUUACCAGUUUAGGAGGCGCCUUGUAGGACGGUUUUUCUGCGUGAAGUGAAGAAAAGUGAUGUCUUGAAAAAUGCUUGUUGACUAGAUGAAGUCAUAUGUAUCUUGUUUGUUUGAAUAUUUAGAUUUCCUUUCAGACUUUGUAGAACAUGUAUCUGACUUGGAUGUUUUAUUCUUGAACUUGUUAAUGAAUGAAUGAAUGCUUUGGACAUGUACUCACGAUUUUCUUCUACCAUUAUCAACAUGUGAGCAUUGUUCUGUACUUGUAAAUGGUGCUUGGAUCAUUAUUAGUGUAAUAUAUAAUACAUGCAAUAGGUUAUCACCAUGGAAUUACACCCGCCACAAAAAUAUAUUGCCACGAAACCUGCCUGUUGCGAUAAUGUAUCACCACAAAAUUCGCAUGUUGCAAUAAGUUUUUGCUACAAAUCCUUGGUCGUUGCAACAAGUGUGUUGCCACAAAAUUAUGUCGUUGCGAGAGGGUCUUGCCACGAAAUCUCAUUCGUUGCGCUAGGUUAUUGCCACAAAGAAUAUUUUGUGGCCAUAUGUGGGUGCCGCAACGGUGGGGCUCGUGGCAAUAUAAUUCAAAUGCCACGAGAAAAAUCGUUGCGAUACCAUUCCAUGUUGCCACGAUACCAAAAAAUGUUGCAUUAUCCUAUUGCCACGGAGUUUAUUGUGACGCUUGGCAACAAUUUCUACUUUGUUGCGAUAGAUACAUAUUGCAACAGUUUGUUACUUAUUGCAACAAAAAAAUUCAUUGCAAUAGACCGUUUUCCCUGUAGUGAGGAACCCGCCUUGCAAUGCCGAAGACAAUCUGCGCGCCGAACUCGUUGUCAUUGAAGCCUGGUUCAGGGGCUACUGAGGGAGUCCUGGAUUAGGGGGUGUUCGGGUAGCCGGACUAUACCUUCAGCCAAACUCCAGGACUAUAAAGAUACAAGAUUGAAGACUCCGUCCCGUGUCCGGAUGGGACUUUCCUUGGCGUGGAAGGCAAGCUUGGCGAUGCGGAUAUUCAAGAUCUCCUACCAUUGUAACCGACUUUGUGUAACCCUAACCCUCUCCGGUGUCUAUAUAAACCGAAGGGCUUUAGUCCGUAGGACAACUUCAUCAUACAACAAUCAUACCAUAGGUUAGCUUCUAGGGUUUAGCCUCCUUGAUCUCGUGGUAGAUCUACUCUUGUACUACCCAUAUCAUCAAUAUUAAUCAAGUAGGACAUAAGGUUUUACCUCCAUCAAGAGGGCCCGAACCUGGGUAAAACGUUGUGUCCCUUGUCUCCUGUUACCAUCCGGCCUAGACGCACAGUUCGGGACCCCCUACCCGAGAUCCGCCGGUUUUGACACCGACACCCGGUUUAGAACUUUGGACAUCGGGCCGGUAGGUUUCAUGGGUCGGAGUUAUUAGAAAAGUAAUUUCCUUGUACUACCAAACAUUGGUCUCACGCGGUUUCGGGCGAGUAGAGGCUAUUUUGGCGCUUCAUUCGAAAUUUUGAAACACAAGCAUUCACGUUUAGAGUACUCUUGAACUAUGAGGAUUGACCUAAAUAUACAACAUUAUAUUUGACCUUGUAUGUUUGAAAACCUCAUUAAAUUAUCCGCUUCUUUUUGAAAUUUUGACACUUGAAAAUCCUAUAACUACGAUUAUUUUGGAAUGGAGGAGCUAAAUUUGAAUCUAUUUUGUACACGACUACAUAUGCUAUUAUGUACAAAAUCAGAGCAAAGAUUGGUGCCCCCAUAAUUUAGGUAUGGUUUACAAAUGCCAUGAUAUCAAAUUCAAAUAAUUGAAUGGACUUCAUGUUGAAUUCGAUUUUUUAAACCACCUUAAGUUGAAUUCAAAUGUAUGCUAGUUCAUAGGUAGUAGCUAUUUAUAAUGUCCAUUGUGUAACUUUCGUAUGUAUAAUGUGCUUUACACACACAACAUGAACUAUACUCACGUUUAUAUUCAAUUGCUAAAGCGAUGCAUUGUCUGGAGUUCAAAAUACUAACUAUGUGGAUCAAUUGUGUCGAAUAAUAACAUAGACAUGCUCAAAUUUGAUAGAAUCUAGAUGUCUGAUGGAUCAAUGACCGCUCCUUAUGCGAACUGCAAAUAUCAUGAUCCCAUCCUAAUAUUUGGAUACAAUUUAUAUCUUUAAUCAAUGUGUAGAGCAGUCUUUUACGUGUAGUUUCACUCUCCAUCGGUGGUCUCUCACACAUGCUCACACACUCUCUCCUGAGGUGUCUUUCUCGCACACAUGCUCUAGAUAUAACCCUCCCUCCCUCUCGUAACCAUUUACAACUGUUUUCACUAACCUUUAUCACAAGCACUCUUCCUCUCGCAAACAUACACACGCACAAUCCUCAUCGACCCUUUCUAUAUACAUGGACCUGCCUACGUGUCUCAUGUAUGCACAUUAUCUUUACGCCUGUCUCUCACGCAUUGUCUCACACCUCUCUUCCUAAUCGACGAGUAUGAUUCUAGGAGAGCAUUCUGUAGGAUGCCCCUUAAAGUUAGGUUGGAUGAAUAGUAAUAUCAGAGAUAAAGGGGUUACCUUAGUCCGAGAACCUUGGGUUACAAAUCCUAGCCGGCUUUGUCAGUGGACACAGAGUCCUUCACAAUUCUGCUAUCUUUGUCUUGUACGACUAGUCAUCCAUGGGUCUUCCUAAAUGCGUCACGGGCCGACCACUGUGGCGCAGGACGGAACCGAACGAAGGGCCUCACCUCGACCCACCGGACCUCACGCGGUGACACACCCUCUGCCCCCACGUCUCAUUAUCUUCACACACCCACACAUACCAACACAAACACCACACACACAGAAAAUUUCUCCUAGUGCCUCUAUUCCCUCCCCCCUUGCAUAUACACACUCAAGGGAAUGGAAUCUCUUGUCGUGAUGUCAUAUUCGUCUCUCUCUCUCUAGACCACUCUCAUUUCUCGUGNNNNNNNNNNNNNNNNNNNNNNNNNNNNNNNNNNNNNNNNNNNNNNNNNNNNNNNNNNNNNNNNNNNNNNNNNNNNNNNNNNNNNNNNNNNNNNNNNNNNNNNNNNNNNNNNNNNNNNNNNNNNNNNNNNNNNNNNNNNNNNNNNNNNNNNNNNNNNNNNNNNNNNNNNNNNNNNNNNNNNNNNNNNNNNNNNNNNNNNUAUCCAUGCCUCUCUCGAAUACGUAAGACACACACAUACCUCUCUAGGCCCCGCCAAAUGCAUCAACUACACAUUCACACAUGUUACAUCACGUACCCCAUUGAUCUAAAAAGCCCUCUCUUCACGUUUAUUUUGCAUACAACAUUCCUUUUGAAUCAAGUGUGGCCAAAAAAUUAUUUUAGAGUUCCUACAUAUAUACAACAUUACAAAGUUAUAUGGAGGAGUACGAACGCUAAUUUGCAUUGCAUGGUGCCCACAAUGAUAUUAAUUCCGCACUGUGAAUUUGUAUAUUUUUAUACUAUAUACAAAGUUAGUCAUAAUAAAGAGAAACGAAGAGCAUAUCUCUCUCCAUCGCAUACCCCCCUGUACGCCCCUUUCACGUAUGCACACAAAACUAUCUCCAGGUCCUCUAAAAGUAAGCCCCCAGAAAAUUCACGCAUGUUUCAUCUUUCUCUCGCGAUAUAUGCAAUGACGAUCAUUGUAUUUGAAGCGAAAGCACGAUACGUACAUUGGACUUCAGAAUCCACUCAUUACGGUCACCAUUUACGUUUAGUGGUUAUUAUACAGUCAAGGGCUCACCGUACAACUCUGUAUUUGCUCAUGACAUGACUAGUUGACCAGUUAAACGCUCCACGAGGCACCUCUAGUGUUGCUCACAUUAUCUCACUACCAUCGUGACCACCUGUCGACUUGUAUCUACUCUACGUCUACACUCUUAUAAAAUAGAUAAAAUACACUCUUAUAAAAAACAGAGUUGGUGAUGAUGGUGUGCCUGCCAUCCUGCAAUAUAGGCCGUCCGAUUUAUAUCUGAUGGAUAGGAAAGAAACUAUGGCAAUUUUGCAAAAAGGUACCCACACACCUCUCCACAUUUGCAAAUAAGGCCUUCCCUCGUUCAUCCUUUUCUCUCACAAGAUAAACAAGUCAUACAAAUGCAUCUUGAUGUUACGUGCAACGCACGAGCAUCUUGCUAGUAAGAAUGAAAACAAACGACAAAAAUAUAUUUGGACGGUGGUUCGAAGUCAUGACCGUGGGCACAGCGGACAAGGUGGCCUUGUAUUGGUAUGCUGAGCCGUCUGUUUUAACACACAGGAGCUGGUGUGGUGAUUAUACACACACGUACGCAUGCACAUGAACUGCAUCUAUGCAACACUCACCCAAAGACAUGCACCCACGCACGCACGCAACACUCACACGUACACACGCAGCCAUGCAUGCACGCAACACUCACACGCACGCACGCAACACUCACACGCACACACGCACACAUGCAUGCACACACCAGUACACCACACGACCAACACACACUCUCACGCUCAAGUGCUCAACCUACACGUGCAUGCGCACACAUCAGGCCCUGACAAACACAUACACAACCAGGUUAUUCCCGCGCACGGGUUGGAGCCUUGUCGCGCCUGCGUAAAUUUGUGUUUAUCUGACCUUUUGCCUACGCGAACUGACAGGUGGGACCCACAAGGAACAUGGUCAAUUUAACUAGUCAACAUGGCGCCACACAGACUAUUUGGCCGGUCAAAAGAGUGCAAUCCAAUGCUGAACUGUGAGCAAGUGACCGUAUAAUCACCGCAAAACGUAUAUAGUGACCGUAAUCAGCUUAUUCUGAAGUUCGGUGACUGUAUUACACUUUUCUCUCUGUAGGCCCUCCAAAACUACAUCUCUACACGUUCUCGCAUGUUACAUCUAACAACUAUGAAAUACAGCACUACUACUACACUCUAACACAAUAAAUCAUAUGUGUUUUUAGUUUAGUAGAUAUCAUAUUGUUACUUAUAAUUAUUCAGUUUGCAUACAUUAAAAUUGCCUUUGAAAUGUAUGGCAAGUAUCAUCUACCGCGUGGGAAAAAUCCCGCCCUUUCCUGUUUAAUCGAGUUUGUAUCGAUGGAUCGUGUGAAACAACAAAACAAUAGUACUAUACAAUACAAGUGACAGUUCACUGGGCCGUCGUGUCGUCUACUCCUCCGUCGUAAGAGUGGAGCGCUCGCUUUCAUAAAUCUUCUAGUCCCUUUCACCGACAUGUGGGACAUUAAGCUACCGGGUCCACGUGCCAUACCGGAAUACAGUGCAGAGCAGCCGGGGUGAAGCACCCCAGUCAUGGCGCCGGCGUAGUAAUGAGCAAUGAGGCGUCAAAUCACAAAGCUGCACCUUUCCCGCAGUUAAGUUGGAGGGACGAAGCAACCAUCAUUUCACUCGUUGCUGAAUCCGCUUCUCCCUCAUCUUCCUCAACUUAACCACGUGUUGCUUCUGCCGUUGUUCUGCCUCAUGUGGGACGCGGAUCGGCUUGGUAAAGCACUGACACGUGGGACCGCAUGUUAGCAAACCGCCAGGACAACGUCCUCCGGAAAUAAGAAGCCUAAUCCUAGACUUACAAAGGGCUACGUAGCUGCUACGUGUACUUUCCAUCUAAUCUAUAUAUGCCCCCCUCCCCUGAUUUUCAGGUGGGGUGGGUCUAAUCCUCUCCUUUAAUCCAAUCAAAUAGUCCCACAUCACAUCAGUUUGUAACUUUACGUAAACCAUUACGUGGAUGUAGCAUUGCUCAAAUAAGAAACCUCCCCCGCCAUCCGCGCGACAAAAUCACCUCCUUUUAUUAAUCUCGAUUCUAUAAUUUUUUAGAUCAAUAUAAUUGAGAUUUGUAUAGAUAGCACACAGGAGAAAAACCAAGUGGUACGGUUAAGGGCAUCCACAAUGUGUAGCCAAAUGUGAAAAUAGCUUUUGGCAUCGUGGGAACCAUUGUGGACGGUGUUGCCAAAGCCAAAAAGAUGGAACUGAAGCUCCCUGAUUGAUUGAUUGAAGGAAUAGAAAAAUGCAACGUCUCUCCUCUUUCUCCCAUGCUUGGACGCAUGUAGUACAGUAUAGAGCACAGAGUCUACUCCCAUGUCCCUUCUAUCACAAAUCACAAAGCAGUGAGGCGUCAAAUCACAAAAGCACGGAUGAAGCAACCAUCAUUUCACUCUUCCCUGACUCCGCUUCUCCAUCGUCUUCUUCGAGAAGCCAUCUCACCGCAUUAGUACUCCUAGUAGUACUAGUAAAGGACUUCCUGGAUGCAAAUAAGGUGGUUGUCUCGGCUUGCAGGCGGCACUUGCAAACGACUUACCGUGGUCUCCCUCAAUGGUGUUCUCCGUCGAACGCACUUCACCAAACCACCAAAAAAAAGAUAUCGUCGACGUCACCGCAAUGGGGAAGGAAGUCAAAUAUAGUUACUACCUCCAUUUUUUGUACACAAGGCCAGUAUAUCAAAAUUACAAUUUGCAAAGGGCCACUAACACUAAUCGAGACAAAAUUGAUGGGGUUAGCAACCAAGAACAUUAAUAUCCCCUGCAUGCAUGCGGAAGUGAGAAGGUUGGUUUGCAUGGCGCUGCAUUAAUCAAGCGAUGAGGAGUGAGAUGGUUAGCUCUUUGGUCUUUGGAGAAGAAAAUACGCAUUAAUUGACACGUGAAACAAGGAUUUUUAUCGAUUAAAUCUCGCGAAGGAAAACCCCGCCUUUCUUUUUUAACACUAGUACUCCUAGUACGUACGUACUUAUGCUGUUUGGGUCUAGGCCUUGCAUUGCCAAACUUCGCCACACAUUUUUGCCAAGCUUUCCUAAAGUUUUCAAAAUGAGAAGGAGGUACACUUGCGCAUGGCUGUCGCGGUCACACCGCACCCUCACACGGUCGCUCCUGCUUGCCGCGGUCGCACCGCACCCUCACACAGUCGCUCCUGCACGCCAAAAACCUAACCAAGGGAACGCACCCUCACUGACACGUGUUGUCGCAUGUGAACAAACCAAACUCAGCCAUCCUAUUAAUGACACAUAAUUUUCGUUCAUAGAGUAUGUUUAUCCAACCACAUGUUGGGGAGUAUCCGUACGGCCCGUGCGGUGGUCUGUUGGGAAAAAAGAAGAGGUGAGGAAGAAGGAAAGAAGGGUUAGGAGACGUAGGAUAUUCAUCCAACUGCCUGAAAUGGUAGACUGACCCAAGUCAGGCGACUUGCAUAACAAAUAUAUGUUUUUACACAGCAAAAGAUCCAUGAAAACAACAACAUAAAGAAAAUCUAUCACUGCUCGUGGAAAGAGACGACCUCGUCGUCUUUGGCUGCCGGCGCGAACCAGCCGUCGGUGUCGACGUGUGUCUCUGCACAGUGGUUGUCCUCGGCCUCCAGCUACUCGUUCAAGCGGAGCGUGCGGGCGCUCUGCAUAGAUGAGAGCACAACCCGGUUCAAGUUGAGGACGUCCGGUUCCGCCUGCAGGAGGGCCUCGAUGGUAGCGGCAUCCGCGCGCUCCGCGUCGAGUCGAGCCUCUGCCACCCGGUUCAAGUCCAGGACGUCCGGUUCCGCCUGCAGGAGGGCGUCGAUGAGAGCGGCAUCCGCACGCUCUGCGUUGAGUCAAGCCUCUGCCGCCCGGUUCAAGUCCAGGAUGUCCGGUUCCGCCUGCAGGAGGUCCUCGAUGGUAGCGGCAUUCGCGCGCUCCGCCUCAAGUUGAGACUCCGCCGCCCGGUUCACAUCCACGACAUCCGGUUCCGCCUGGAGGAGAGCCUCGAUGGCAGCGGCAUGCGCACGCUCCGCGUCGAGUUGAGCCUCUGCCUCCCGGUCCUCCUUUAGUAUCGCCAUGUUGAACCGCUGGUCCGCCUGCACCAUGGGGGACUCGGACGCCGGCACGAAGUUGACGUCCAUCAUCUCAUACCCAUCGGGUCCUUCUGUGCCACGACCUCCGCCAUGAACAUUGGAUUGGCUUCUUCCUCCUCGUAGCUUGGCUCCAGGGAACUCAGGGAUUGGCCCGCCGCGAAGCGAGCUUGGGAACGGAGGUCUGUGGCGCCGACCGCCGCCGCGAUUUCUGCGCGGCGCUCCGGCGUCAGCAACUUGUAGUAAGUGAUCUUGCGGCGCACCAUGGCUUUUCGGCGAACUAGGGGACGCUUGAUGCGGGCUAGGGGAUCGAAAGGUGGGGGAAUGGGCUGGAGAUUUGGUGUGGUUUUAGGGCAGUGGCAGGCGUAGGCCGAGCAGCGAAGGUUCUGGUGUGAAUAGUGGUUCUGGUGAUGACCGGUCAAUCGGUUUUGACUGUACAUCGCUCUUGUCGCGUUCGCGUUGCAGCCCGGCACGCUGGACCCUCCAUGUCGCUCACUGAAUGGAACGUGCUUCGUCUUGCGUUCUCGCUCGCUUGUGGGACCGCAGUUGAGAGCAAACCGACGUCCCUCCCCCUCCCCCGCCCGCGUCAUUUAUUAUACCACCACCCCCUCCGUUUUAUGCGGAGUAAAUAAAAACAGAGGGAGUAUACUACGGAUGAGGAUCCCCUGACGUGGCUGAACCCAUUGAGUAACUGACAUGCGGGGCCUAGCAAGCAUGGGGUCUGCCAAUAAGUGACCGAAAGGGAGGGUAAGGCAGGGAUACCUACGUCAGAGGAUCCACUUCCACUAUACUACUUUGACCAAAUGUUAGAGUAAUAAUAUAUGACAUGCAACUUACACAAAUGUUAGAGUAAUAAUAUAUGACAUGCAACUUACACAAAGCAUACAGGGUCUAAUGCGUUUUUCGAGGCUAACUUUGACCAAAUGUUAGAGUAAUAAUAUAUGACAUGCAACUUACACAAAGCAUAUGGUCAAAUUCGUAUGUGAAAGGAGUUUCCAAUGAUAUAAUUUUCACAUUAUACAUCUCAUGUACUAUUAAUCUUGUUAAUAGUCAAAUUGGAAAUCAUCUCGAGUACAAAUCUAGGAGUACAUACGAAUCAAAUGGGAAACCAUCUCGCCGCCCUCGCUCAAGUCGCCCCACAAGUGGUGGCCAUGCUGGCGGCCGACGACAGGAGCACCGUCAGCCACGCGUCCUACUUGCCACCGUCCAACGUCCGGCACCGACGAGGCCGGGGACUCCUCCGAGGAUGAGUAGGGCAUGGGAGGCGGCAGGGCAUGGUGUGCCAACUGGCUGGUCCGUCUCCCGUGUUCUACUUUUCCUCGCCGGAGACCGCACCUUCACUUCACGGGUCUUGAACCCCGCCCCCAUACAUGGAGAUCACAGAUGGAGGACGUCGGUUACCGCCGUAGAAUAGGUUUAGGGUCGGGUUUCUUUUUUUUUGUCCUAUAAAAGUUCGAAAUGUAAUGAAAAUCUGUCGUGUUUGCAUUAAUCACGGUCGGUGUAUAUGAACUUUCACAAUAAUAUACAUAUUGUAGGAGUACUAGCAAGAUACCCGUGCGUUGCACGGAUGAUCAAGAUCUUGUGGGAGAAAAGGAUGAACGAGGGAAAGCCUUAUCUGCAAAUGUGGAGAGGAGUGCGUGUAAAUUGUCAUAGUUUCCUUCCUAUCCGUUAGAUAUAGAUCGGACGGCCUAUAUUGCAGGAUGAUAGGCACACCAUCAUCACCAACUCUACUUUUUAUUGAACUGAGACAAAUCUAACAUGCGAAGUAAAAUAAACACAUAGGGUCUAUACAUACACAAAUUAUCUUAGGCACUCCAAUAGUACGUCCACUACACAUUCACGCAUUUCACAUCUUUCUACAUCUACGGGAACCUACAAAAGGGUUAACGUAAAUUGCCUCUCUCUCUCCUCCCCUGAUUUUCAUAGUGGUGGGCCCCUCCCUCCCCCAAUCUACAAUCAACAGCUCACACGUUUCACAUUAAGUUAAUUACGUAACUGGGAUUAUGUAGGUGUAGCAUUACUCGUCCUAAAAACCCCAACUAAGCCAACCUCCCAGCAUAUCGCACGGGAAAAGACCCGGCCGUGCCAUUUUAGUCGGGAUUACCAGAUUACUAGUAGUAGUAUCGAUGGAUCACGCGAAGCAACAAUUAUUUUUGAGGGGGCGAAGCACCUAGUUUAAAAGGAAAAAAGGCGGUACACUCACAGCACUCAUGUCGCGGUCGCAUUGCACCCCACACAUGUUCGGUCCUGCACACGGCUCACGCAAAUGGAACGCGCUUCGGCUUGCCUCUUCACUGACACGUGGGACUGCACUUGGAGAAACCGACCAUGCGCCAAACUCCCCCCGCCCACCGCGUGAGAAUCCUCCCCCCCACACCCAAAAAUUCCCCCCAAAUCGGAUUCAACCGCCCUUCGGCCAACUAGCCAAUAAUAUUCCCCAAACCCCCCNNNNNNNNNNNNNNNNNNNNNNNNNNNNNNNNNNNNNNNNNNNNNNNNNNNNNNNNNNNNNNNNNNNNNNNNNNNNNNNNNNNNNNNNNNNNNNNNNNNNNNNNNNNNNNNNNNNNNNNNNNNNNNNNNNNNNNNNNNNNNNNNNNNNNNNNNNNNNNNNNNNNNNNNNNNNNNNNNNNNNNNNNNNNNNNNNNNNNNNNNNNNNNNNNNNNNNNNNNNNNNNNNNNNNNNNNNNNNNNNNNNNNNNNNCUGUCCCCCUCCACUCCAUUCGCUCUGCCAAAGCCGCCCUCCCCGCCGCGCCGAUACGUCGGCGGCGCGGUUCGGCGAUCCUCUCGCUCCCACAGUACACUCUCGUAGACUGCCGUCCUGUAGCCGCGCCGCCACCUCUUGCUACGUUCUUGUGGAGGCGCACGGCGGUCAGCGCCGCCACCGCUGGCGACGUUCGUGUGGAAUGCACGGCGGUCAGCUUCUCCCACGGUACACGCAUUCUAGACUGAGGCCUCGUUCAUGCCGGUGUAGCGCUCAAUGUUAGCUGAUAGACGUUGUUAAUCUCACUGUUUGCCGAAGAAGUUUACUGUCAAUAUGCUCUGCUUAAGAAGCUUCCUUGCCCUGUUCUGCACUCAAUCUGCUUAGCUGAGAUGGCAUGCCAAGUUGCUAAAAUAUCCUGCCAUAUAUUUAUUGUGACGUAGAUUGCCAUGGUCUAGUAGCCAAUCUGUUAGGUGAAAUAGCUCUACACUGGUUUAUACUCGAUCUUUGUUGCUGUGAUGGCCUUCGAUAGUUCGAUGGCUGUGUGCUCGACCUCAUUGACUGCUGAAACAGCCUGCCAUAAUUUGGCACUCAAAUCUGUUUGCUGAAUUAGCUUUACAUAUAUUUCGUUACUUAGAUCUGCUCGUCCAAAUAUCUUGCCAUAGCUUUAGACAUCGACCUAGAUAUUUUUUUCUAGACUUCAUAAAAAAGCAUAUAUGUUUUUCCUGUAAUAUCUAGUAGAAGAACUAAUUUGUAUGUCUAACAGAUGGACAGGACUUGGAUAACUUCUGCUCGAAGAUUCUCCGCUGCAUAUGUCGAGGGGGUUGAAAACUUCAUGAACUUUAUCAGAGCUGAGUACGGUGGUCCGAAAUUAGAUGUGCUCUGCCCGUGUAGCAGUUGUAUAAAUUCAGUUACAAGACCCCAGUCAACUGUGCAAAAUCAUCUACACUUGUAUGGGAUGUCAGUCACAUAUACUAGGUGGGUUCAUCAUGGUGAAGUUGUGAACGUCAAUGUUAUUGACUACGUGGAAGCAGCAAAUCACCAUCUUGAUCUGCCAGAUGCUUAGGUGGAAGAGGAGGAGGAGGUGGUGGUGGCGGAGCCAGUGAGUUUGACCAACAUUGAAACAAUGCUACGAAAUGCUCGUGCAUUCCGUGAACUUUCACCUGCAGAAGAAAAAUGGUGGGCCCGCAUGUUGGAAAAAUGCAACGUUGCUGUCACCCCAGGAAAUAAGCUGUCAGUAUUCUCAGCUAUGGUCACCUUUCUUCAGGUGAGACAUCUGAGUGGAUGACCAACAAAUCAUACGAUGCGAUGUUGGCUGCUUUACGAGAAUCUUUCCCAGAUGCGUUUGAGCUGCCACACACCUACAGUAAAAUGGAGAAUUUCCUUCGUGUAGUUGGAAUUGGAUAUGAUAUGAUCCAUGUUUGUAAGAAUAAUUGUGUUCUGUUCCGGAAGGAUUAUGCCAACCUAAGUGAAUGCCCGAAAUGCAAAUCAUCAAGAUGGAAAGAUGACGAUGCUGGAAGAGGAUUCCUCAUAAUGUUCCGAGACAUUUUCCAAUUACACCAAGAUUGCAGACGUUGUUUCAUGAUGCUAAAACAAGAGAGGAUGUACUGUGGCAUUCUAGGAACCAGGAGUACAGAGAUCAGAAUGUAAUGAGCCAUCCAUCUCAUGGUAGUGAGUGGAAAAGCUUCAAUGAUAAACACAAAGAGUUUGCUGCUGACCCAAGAAACAUUAGACUUGGCUUAGCUUCAGAUGGAUUUAACCCAUUUGGCCACCAGAGCGCCACAUAUAGCAUGUGGCCAGUGCUUGUUAUCCCUUACAACAUGCCUCCAAAUGUCUGCACCAAAUAAUCAAACUACAUGAUGGCCUUGCUCAUCCCAGGUCCAAAAAGUCAUGGAAAGGAUUUUGAUUUGUUCAUGGGGCCUCUUGUGGAGGAACUUCACUAGCUAUGGAAGGGUGUUCUCACUCGAGACCUAUAUAGUAGCCCACCAGCUGAUUUCUUUCUGCGUGAUGUUAUAAUUUGGUGCAUCCAUGAUUAUCCGGCUUUGGGCACUAUGUCAGGGAGAACGACACAUGGUUACAAUGCAUGUGUUCGCUGUGACAGGAAUCCGCUGUCAUACGCAAUACUUAGCAAGAUCUGUUACAUUAGACACCGUCGUUUCCUUGCCAAGGACAAGCCGCAUCCUAGAAAAUACCGAAGACAUGUGUUCAAUGCAAAGCAUGAAAACCGUGAUGCGCCAAAGAGGCUCACCGCCGAUGAGUUGCAAGUGGAAUUAGAGAAGGUCAUGCAUAUUACACCAGGAAACCAUCCUGGUAAUGGUAGCGGGAAAAGGAAGUGUGGUAGGGUAGAAGAGAGAUUAUUGUUUACCCACAGGUCCAUUUUGUGGGACUUGGAGUAUUGGAAAGAUUUGGAUCUGCGGCAUAAUCUUGAUGUGAUGCACAUCGAGAAAAAUAUAUGUGACAGCAUUAUCGGCACACUUCUUAAUAUUGAAGGCAAGACGAAAGAUACCUUAAAAUCUAGGAUUGAUUUGACACACCUGGGUAUCGGAAAGGAUUUGCAGGUGCAAGAUGAAGGUAAAUCAUGGGAUAUGGCACCAGCUGUGUACGUCUUGGACAAGGUAAAAAAGAAAAGAAUUCUGCGAGGUCCUGUCACGUGUGAGAUUCCCCCAUGGAUUUGCUUCCAACCCUGAAAGGAGAGUCAGUGCAGAUGGAAACAAGGUACAAGGGUUGAAAACUCAUGACUGCCACGUCCUACUUCAAAGGGUUUUACCUGUUAUCCUUAGAGGAUUGGGCCGCCCUGACUUAUACAGAGCAGUUGCAAAGUUGGGACAAUUCUUCAGGGAACUCUGCAGUAUGAAUAUCAGGAUAGAUGCUUUGGAGCAUCUUAGAGAGAAGAUACCAACUAUCCUAUGCGACCUUGAGAAGAUAUAUCCUCCAGCCUUCUUUGAUGUGAUGGUUCAUUUGGUUGUUCAUCUACCUGAUGAGGCACUACUUAGAGGUCCAGUACAGUAUGGCUGGAUGUACCCUAUAGAAAGGCGGCUAGGCACUUUCAAGGGCUAUGUUAGGAACAGAGCUAGACCCGAGGGUUCCAUUGCAGAGGCCUACAUUGCUACGGAAGCGUUGACAUUCUGCUCAAAAUACAUUGAAACAGCUGAUCAGCUUAGCAAAGAGGUGGGUGAAGACAAUCCCGGGCUCAAUGUUUUCGAUUAUUCUGUUCGAGUUACAGGGAAGAGUCGACAAGAGGACAAACCUAAAGAUUUGGACAAAAUGGUUUGGUAUGUGUUGAAUAACUGUCCUGAGAUACUACCUUAUAUCAAGUAAGUGCAGUACUGCAGCUUAUACAUCGUAAUCUACUAAACUUGAAGCACAUUCUUAUAUAUUUAGAUGUUUGACGCGAUCACUAUGUUGUGCAGCAUCUACAAAGAGGAGUUACUGCCGCAAAAUCCAAGAAACAUUGACAAACUGGUUAUGGCAGGAUUUGCGAAAUGGUUCAAGAACCAUGUAAGCUUUUGAAGUGCACUAUCAGUUUUUUAAUAUUAAGAAACAAUAAGAUUGAGCGACCUACGCGCCUCCAGAGCGAUUUGAGUUUACCGGCCGUCCGAUCAUGUUGACCAACGUUCCAGAUUUUCUGAUCUUUCGUCCCCAGCAAACCCCCGCUCAGCCCAUCGGGCCGCUACUCUUUAGGUUGACCUAGACGUUAUCUCCUUAACUGGGCCGGUCAAAAUUUACAACCGAGCUGUGAAGGAAACUCUCAGCCCGCUCUCUGCGUUCGCUUAUAUCUCCAUCCCCACGAUGGGUCUCCUCGUCUGCUCAGCGGCGGCGCGGGCGGCCGCCAACUGUGCCUCCCGAUUACUCCAUCUCUCCUUCACUACAUGAAUCACAGAAUCAGAACAGGACAAUUAGAUACUGCAGUGCUGACAAGUACGUCAUCAUCUACCUAGCACAACAUUUUCCCUUUGUAUCACCAUGUUAGUCCUUUCCUUUUCUGAUAUUGAAAUUUGUAAUCUUAUUUCUUUAGCGGCCACAACUAAUGAAAAGGUAUAUGCCAUGCAUUUUUUUUCAGAGCCUGUGUGACUCAAGUCGUGAGGUGAAAUUAUAUUUGUGUUUUUGCUAUACAAAUCUCUAUAUGUACUCAGUUCCAGCGUUGGCUAUUUAUGUGCUGAUUCUACAAUUUUUUUUCCUGCGGGUCCAAAUCAUUGGUUUACUGUUGAAAAUAUGUUUUGUCCUUAAACCAUAAUUUCUAGAGUAUGCAGUCGAUAUGACCACUAAACCAGCGCUCUUAUGUGUAUCUCUGAUUCGGGUUGACAGCUUCAAUCUGCUCUUUAUUUAUCUAUAUGACUACAUUGACACAGUAUGAUAUGUUCAUUUUUAACUGUUCACUUUGUCAUCUUAAAUAAUUAUAAUUUGUCAGGCCUGUUGGGUUGCAAAUCUUUCAAGAUGAGGAGAGCUUUCAUUCGACUGGCCGAGAAAAUGGCCAUCAGUAAUGAGAAAUGGGCUGUACAUUUUUAAAACACAUCAAACCGCAAUUAGUUUCAAAUAUCUUUUUUUUCAUUUCAAGAUUUGAAAUUACAUCAAUUUUUAUGCAUGAAGAAUUUGUUAGAUUUUAUAUUGAUAUACAUUUAUUUUUAAAAUCAGUUUGAAUGUGAGUCGAAAUUUUGGGAUUAAAAACAGUUCGGACCGCACCGAAAUAUGCAAAGUUUCGUAAAAAAAAUUAACCGUGGCCACAAUAUGGGCUGUAAUGCUAACAAAAAGAAUAUGGGCUCCAAAAAAACCUUGAGAAUUAGAAAAUAGGCUGUAAAUUAUUAGAAAUAAUGGCAGAUGGGUUGUAUGCUGUUUUCCACAGAUUUGAGGCUUUCCUAAAAAAAGGUUGACGCACAAGCAGUGACUGUUGGAUGUCCAUCCAACGGCUGUCGUGCUUCUUCAAUCUCUGCUCUUCCUGCUCCAGUCGCUCAAACAAGCGCCGACGGGACUACCUGCUCCCUCCUCCCCGCGGCCGGCUGUGGUGCCGCGCAGGCCUCACCGCCGCACCGUACUCCCAUCGCUGGCCUAGCCAUCCCUCUACUCACCCACACCUGCUUUUAUUCUCCGGCGACGGCAGACGAACCAGUAAACCCUCGUACAGUCGUACUCCCCUCCGCUUGGGAAACAACUGCUGAGUCUUCCCUGCCUUCGUGUCAUUCCCUUCGCCUCGCCGUCGCCCACUGCCCUGGUGCUCUCAGCGCGGCCUGGUCAACAUGGUCAACGACCGACAUGCAUCUGAAGUGGACUGUACGUCGAGAGGUCGACAGUUGGGUCCACGACCGCACAGAAGGAAAUGCCUCCUUAUUACGAGCAAAAUAAUGAUUCCUCCACCUGACAUCAGGGACCCAUCGAAAGGGACUCUGUAUUUCGCCAAAAAAGCGUUCCCCCCGCUGACAUGUCGGACCCACCAGCUAUAUCUUCGCACGCAAGGAAGUGCCUACUUAUUACGCACAAAAAUAUGAAUACCCCCCUGCUAGCUGGGACCCACCAUAGUGGGAGGAUGACUUGUGGGCCAACUAAGUUGACGGGGACGGAGGGCUUUGUCAACUUAGUCAAUAUGAACGAUUCUAGCUCCAGUGACCGUACGAUGUCCAUCCAACGGCCGUAGUGCUUCUUCAACCUCUGGUCUUCUUGCUCCAGCCGCCCAAAGCAGCGUCGGUCGUGCCGCAUGCUCCUGCCUCCAGUGGCCGGCUGUGCUGCCGCGGAGGCCUCACCGCCACUUACUAUUCCACCGCUGGCCAGGCCCUGCGGCGACGGCAGCCUCACACCGCAGCCGAACCAGUGAACCCUCGUACUCCUCUCCGCGCGGGCUUCCACUGCCGCGUCUUCCCCGGCUCCGCGUCGUCCCCUUCCAAGGCCUCGCCGUCGUCCACCACCGUGGUGCUCUGCACGCUGUGGUCAACGUGGUCAAGGAACGACUUCCAUCGGAAGAGUACUGUAUGUGGAGAGGCUGACAACUGGGUCCACGGCCACAGCCCAGUUUUUUUGUGAUUUGCCAAGUAAGUCGCUUUGUCAGGCCUAUUGGGUUGCAAAUCUUUCAAGACGAGGAGAGCUUUCAUUCGACUGGCUGAGAAAAAUGGCCAUCAGUAAUGAGAAAUGGGCUGUACAUUUUUAAGACACAUCAAACCGGCAAUUAGUUUCAAAUAUCUUUUAUUUUCAUUUCAAGAUUUGAAAUUACAUUAAUUUUUAUGCGUGGAGAAUUUGUUGGAUUUUAUAUUGAUAUACAUUUAUUUUUAAAAUCAGUUUGAAUGUGAGUCAAAAUUUUGGGAUUAAAAACAGUUCGGACCGCACCGAAAUAUGCAAAAUUUCAUAAAAAAAUUAAACCGUGGCCACAAUAUUGGCUGUAAUGCUAACAAAAAGAAUAUGGGCUCCAAAAAAACCUUAAGAAUAAGCAAAUGGGCUGUAAAUUAUUAGAAAUAAUGGCAGAUGGGUUGUAUUCUGUUUUCCACAGAUUUGAGGCUUUCCUAAAAAUGGUUGACGCACAAGCAGUGACUGUUGGAUGUCCAUCCAACGGCUGUCGUGCUUCUUCAAUCUCUGUUCUUCCUGCUCCAGCCGCUCAAACAAGCGCCGGCGGGACUACCUGCUCCCUCCUCCCCGCGGCCGGCUGUGGUGCCGCGCAGGCCUCACCGCCCAACCGUACUCCCAUCGCUGGCCUAGCCAUCCCUCUACUCACCCACACCUGCUUUUAUUCUCCGGCGACGGCAGACGAACCAGUAAACCCUCGUACAGUCAUACUCCCCUUCGCGUGGGUAACAACUGCUGAGUCUUCCCUGCCUCCGUGUCGUUCCCUUCGCCUCGCUGUCGUCCACUGCCCUGGUGCUCUCAGCGCGGCCUGGUCAACAUGGUCAACGACCGACAUGCAUCUGAAGUGGACUGCACGUGGAGAGGCCGACAGUUGGGUCCACGACCGUACGCAAGGAAAUGCCUCCUUAUUACGCGCAAAAUAAUGAUUCCUCCACCUGACAUCAGGGACCCAUCGAAAGGGCAUCUGUAUUUUGCGAAAAAAGCAUUACCGCCACUGAUAGCUCAGACCCACCAGCUAUAUCUUCGCAUGCAAGGAAGUGCCUCCUGAUUACGCACAAAAAAAUGAGUACCCCCCAGUUAGCUGGGACCCAGUAUAGUGGCAGGCUGACUUGUGGGCCUACUAAGUUGACGGGGAUGGAGGGCUUUGUCAACUUAGUCAAUAUGCACGAUUCUAGCUCCAGUGACCGUCUGAUGUCCAUCCAACGGCCGUAGUGCUUCUUCAACCUCUGGUCUUCUUGCUCCAGCCGCCCAAACCAGCGUCGGUCAUGCCUCGUUCUCCUGCCUCCCGUGGCCGGCUGCGAUGCGGUGGAGGCCUCACCGCCCCUACUACUCCCACCGCUGGCCAGGCCAUCCCUCUACUCACCCACACCCCUUGUUAUUCUGCAGCGACGGCAGCCUCACACCGCAGCAAACCAGUGAACCCUUGUACUCCUCUACGUGUGGGCAUCCACUGCCGCGUCUUCCCCGGCUCCGAGUCGUCCCCUUCCUAGGCCUCGUCGUCGUCCACCGCCCUGGUGCUCUCGGCGCGGCGUGGUCAACAUGGUCAAGGAACGGCUUCCAUCGGACGUGGACUGUACGUGGAGAGGCUGACAGCUAGGUCCAGGGCUGCAGCAAGGAAGUGCCUCCUUAUUACGUGAAAAAUAAUUAUUCCUCCACCUGACAGCGGACCCACCGGACGGGCCACCGUAUUUUGCGAAAAAAACCUUUGCCCCUGACAGCUGGGACCCACCAGCUACAUCUUUGCACGCAAGGAAGUGCCUGACAGUCAGGACCCACCUGGUCGAAGCGUAUGUAGCGUUGUCAUUCUGGUCGCGAACAUGUACGUACAUAUAUACUGGUCGAUGUAGAGGCGCACACGUGUCAUAGUAGAGGCGCGCACGUAGCAUGUACACGUACGUACAGCGGCCAGGGUGCAAGAAAGAAAAUACGGCCACGUAUGUGUACAUACGGGCGGGGUCUCGAAUGCCUACUCGCGCAUACGUAUAGCCAGGGCUCAUGUACAUGGCUGGGUCAGAACGGAGAAACAGCGUCGUCGUCGUGUUCAUGGGGAGGCAACGGAAUGCAUCGUGUUCAUGGGGAGGCAACGGAAUGCGUCGUGUUCAUCGGGAGGGCUUGGACGGAAUAGGUGAUGGAAACAAGGCCUGGCGUACCGCAGAAUGGAGGAAACGGCCUUGUGUUCGACCGGCCACGGUUGAAACGGGAUCUUGUUCAUCGGGAGGGGUCUGUCGUACCGCAAAACGAAGGAAACGGACCUCCUACAGUCGAAACGAGGGUCUGGUUGAUUGGGAGGGCUGUGGCGUACUGCAAAACGGACGAAACGGACCUCCUACGGUCGAAACGGGGGUCCUGUUGAUCGGGAGGGGUGUGGCGUACCGCAAAACGGAGGAAACGGACUUGUGUUGGAGCGCUACGGUCGAAACGGGGGUCCUGUUCAUCUCCACGGGAUACUGUUCAUCUCCACCGUCAAUCUCCUCCAGCCUCCACCACGCGCUACUCCACCGGCUACNNNNNNNNNNNNNNNNNNNNNNNNNNNNNNNNNNNNNNNNNNNNNNNNNNNNNNNNNNNNNNNNNNNNNNNNNNNNNNNNNNNNNNNNNNNNNNNNNNNNNNNNNNNNNNNNNNNNNNNNNNNNNNNNNNNNNNNNNNNNNNNNNNNNNNNNNNNNNNNNNNNNNNNNNNNNNNNNNNNNNNNNNNNNNNNNNNNNNNNNNNNNNNNNNNNNNNNNNNNNNNNNNNNNNNNNNNNNNNNNNNNNNNNNNNNNNNNNNNNNNNNNNNNNNNNNNNNNNNNNNNNNNNNNNNNNNNNNNNNNNNNNNNNNNNNNNNNNNNNNNNNNNNNNNNNNNNNNNNNNNNNNNNNNNNNNNNNNNNNNNNNNNNNNNNNNNNNNNNNNNNNNNNNCAAAACUCACUAUUCAUCCCAGAGGCAGCAUCGAUCGACUUUAGUUAGUAGCAGUAGCAAAGGAAUCGCUCGAUCAGGUUCAGUUAACAGCCAUCGGUCGAUCGCUCGGGUUCAGUAACGCGUAGCCUGCAGUGCAAUCGCUCGGGUUCAGUUAGAGCACAACGCCUUGCUCGGGUUCAGUUAGAGCCAACGCCUCGCACACACGCGCGUACGUGUACAAGAGAAACGCGCAUCGCUCGACCCCGACCUCCCACCGUAACCGGGAACUCCCCGAAAUUUUCCUCCCUCUGGCUUCUACCAUGGUUUUUUCCGUCAUGGACGUCCCAAAGAAUGUCAUGCAGCUGCGUCUCCGGACCGCCCAGGACGAAAAGCCCAUUUUCUGUCAUGAUUUUUUGUCAUAGAAGUAGGAGCCCACCACAUCUAUGAUGAUACCGGGUUUUGUCACAAUUAUCGUCAUAGAAGUGUCAUAUGUAUGACAGAAAAAAAAUUCGUUCAUCCCAAAAUGUCAUGGAUGUGUCUUUUUUGUAGUGAUAAGCACUGCUCCAAGUCCUCGAUGAGAAGCGUCGCAAUACACUUGAUAAUCUUUGCGUUGAUCUGGAAGAAUCAACACUAGGGCUGUAACCAAACGUUUCUUCAGCUCCUGAAAACUAGCCUCACAUUCCUCAGUCAAUUUGAACUUGGUGUCUUUCUUCAACAACUCCGUCAUGGGCUUUGCAAUCUUAGAGAAAUUAUCAAUGAACCUCCGGUAGUAUCCUAUGAGUCCAAGAAAACUACGGAUCUCCCCAACUGACGUGGAUGUUUCCCAAUUUGUCACAGUGACAACCUUGUGGGGUCUACUGCUAUUCCUUCUCCGGAUAUAACAUGUCCAAGGAAUCCAACUUUCUUCAACCAAAACUCACACUUGCUGAACUUGGCAUAUAAUUGAUGUUCUCUAAGCUUCCCAAGUACCAAACACAAGUGCUCCUUAUGCUCCUCUUCAUUCUUCGAGUAGACUAGUAUGUCAUCAAUGAAAACCACGACGAACUUAUCCAAAAACUCCAUAAACCCCUUGUUCAUCAUGUUCAUGAAAUAGGCAGGUGCGUUAGUCAGACCGAAUGACAUAACGGUAUACUCAUAUAGCACGUACCUUGUGGUAAAAGUUGUCUUAGGUAUAUACUGCUCUCGAAUCUUCAGCUGGUGGUAUCCUAAUCGCAGAUCGAUCUUGGAAAAUACUUUAGCUCCUUGCAACUGGUCAAACAAAUCAUUGAUCAUCGACAGUGGGUACUUGUUCUUGAUCGUUACUUCAUUUAAUCCAUGAUAAUCAAAAACCAUCCUCAACGAUCCAUCAUUCUUCUCCACUAGAAGCACUGGUGAUCCCCAAGGUGACGAACUUGGGUGAAUAUAGUCUUUAUCCAGUAACUCCUUAAUCUUCUUCUUAAUUUCCUCCAAAUCCUUUGCGGACAUCCUGUACGGUCUCUUAGAUAUUGGCCCGGUGCCUGGCAAAAGCUCAAUAAAAAACUCAAUGUCUCUAUCCGGUGGCAUGCCUGGCAACUCUUCUGGAAAUACAUCGGGGAAAUCCUUUUCACCACUGGUACUUCCUCCUGUACUACUCCUGAUAAGGAAUUCACUUGAGUCCUCUUCGGCAAAUGCCGGGAUACAUAAUUAAUCCUCCUUCCUUCUGGGGUGGUGAGCAUAAUCGACUUACUGGCGCAAUCGAUGUUUCCUCCAUACAUCAAUAGCCAAUCCAUACCCUAAAUUACAUCCAAACCUUGCGACUCCAAAAUUAUCAGGUCUGAGGGGAAAACAUGCCUACCUAUGGUCAAUGGAAUCUGAAACCAUCCUUGGCUUGCCAUAUGUUCCACUCCUGGUGAACUUACUAACAUAGGUGUUCUAAGAACCUUACUGGGCAACUUAUACUUAUCCACAAAUCCCCUUGAUAUGUAUGAAUGUGAUGCACCAGUAUCAAAAAGAACGAUUGCAGUAAAUGACUUAACCAAAAACUUACCUAUUACUGCAUCGGGUUGCGCUUCAACCUCCUCCAUGCUAACGUGGUUCACUUGUCCCCUGUUGAAAGGGUUGGGCUUCUUCCCAGAGCUUCCAUGGCCAUUUCCGUUCUUUUCUUCAAAACACUCCGUGGCAUAAUGUCCAUUCUUCCUGCACUUGAAACAAGUAAUGUGACUUAGAUCCUUCUUGGCGGGCGUUGCUGGGUUGGAACGGUUCUGGCCGUUGCUUCCUCCAUUACCAUUUCCAUUCUUGGGGCCACUAUGGUUAUGCGAACUCCCUCCAUUGGAAUUAUGGCCUCCAUGGUUAUGGUGAAGGUGUCCUCCCGAGUUCAGGGUAAAACGGGGCCUCUGCUGAGCUCCAGAAUUGUACUUCCCUUGUCCAUACUUCCUCUUGCGGUUAUCAAUGUGCUGCUGCUUCCCUUCAAUCAUGAGAGCUCUAUCUACCAACUCCUGGUAGUUGUUGAAGGUUGCCACCAUCAACUGCAUGCUCAGCUCAUCAUUCAGUGCUUCGAGAAACUUCUCCUGCUUAGCUGCAUCCGUAGCAACGUCAUCCGGGGCAUCACGUGCUAGCUUACUAAAAUCAUCCACAUACUGGACCACUGUGCGUCCUCCUUGGCGCAAGUUGCGAAACUCGCGCUUCUUCAUGGCCAUAGCUCCUGUUGAAACAUGGGCAGUGCGAAAAGCUGGCUGAAACUAGUCCCAUGUGACAGUGUCGACGGGGUAAGUGGCUGUGAAAUUCUCCCACCGUGAUGUUGCGGGUCCAUCAAGCUGAUGUGCAGCAAAUCACACUCUCUCCGCAUCUGUGCAUCCUGUAGUGGUCAAAUCCCUUCCAAUCUUGUGGAGCCAAUCAUCUGCAACUAUUGGCUUAGUGCUACUAGAGAACACUGGCGGAUUCAGCCUUAGAAAGUGGGCUAAGUGAUCAACUGGUGGUGGUGGUGGGUUGUUGUUGUUGUUGUUGUUCCCCUGGUUCUGAUUCUGGACUAGUAUCUGCAUCAAGGCAUUCUGCUGCUGGAUUAACUGAGUGAGCUCCAACGGGAAAGCAAAUCCAUUGUCGCGUCUCGGAGGCAUCUGAUGGGUUUAGGAAAGAUGAGAAAACAGAAUAGAAUGAUAUCUAGAGGGAAAACACUACCCAUAUGCACAUGAGACAAACACAAGCAUAUCACUUCAAUCAAUUCAAACAAGGGCAUACAUCGAUCUAUCUAUCAUUACAAAAUUGCUCGGACUAUACUAUAUACAUGGGGGAAUUACUACUACCGAUAUGGUGGUUGACUAGAAAAAUUGAUCGGUGGAAGACUCCAUGAUAUCUGCUCCAGCUUCAUCAACAUAGUCAUCAUCGCUAUCAUCAGGGUCCGAGUCGGUGUCAUCAAUGAUGAUGUAGUUCUCCGGGCAAGUGGAAUCGUCGUCUUCUCCUCCUGGCGCGGGGUCUCCCAUGAAUACUCCUAGCUUCUUCGUCAAAUCAUCAUUCUUCUCCAUGAGUAUCAUCGUUUCUUCCUCAUAUCCAUCACGUGUAGACUUGAGUUCUUCCCCCAGCUCUGUUAUCUUGGUCAUUGCCUUCUUUAGAUCUAUCAUGCAUGCGCACAUCUGGUUCUCCUGGCGUCGAAUGUGCUGGUUUAACUCCUGGAUGAAAGAUGCAAUAGACCUAUCCUUCCUGCUGUUGAUCAUCUCCCAUUGCUCAUCUUGGCGCCCACAUAUCUGAUAAAAUAGUGUCAUUGAGCUCCUGUUUGUAGACUUCGCCGAUGCGUCCCAUGGCGAUGUGGGCUGCCAUGCUCUUGCCUAGACUCCACGUGGGUGUAUCAAAGGAAAACUCUAUGGGCUCAGUGACUGGCGUGAAUGUCCUUCCUGGAACUUGAACACGAAUCAUCCAACGUUCCUCUUCUGGUAGAGUGGUGGUGUAGGUCUCGGUGAAGCUCGGUAUUCCGAUGUUCAGGUAUCUAGUGACUUCCUUCAAGUGCCGUCCAAAAGGUGUAUCUUCAUCCGGUUGAGUGAACUUGUUCCUUGCAUCCACCAUCCUAGAGAGUAGAAAAAGGAGAGGAGUCAGAAAUGAGAAGAGAGUAGUGAUCUAGGGCUUAAGCUUAGUGGUCGUGUCCAACAGUCAGCGUGUGCUCUGAUACCAUCUUGUAGCGACCAGACCUCAAACAGUCUGAUCUCUGUGCAUCAGUGUCAUCCUUGGAUCGGUAAUGCUGACAUGCACAGUACUUGAGGAUUUAUAACAGAGUAGCAAUCACACACUUAUUACAUCGAAUAGUCUCAAAAAGAGAACUUAUUACAAUAAUAUGGCUGAAGGCCAUUUAAAAUCGAUAACAGCGGAAGGCUUGGAAGAUAAAGUGAGUCCAUCAACUCCAACAACAUCACUGAGUGAAAGACAACGACCUAUGGCACCUUACUCGUCGUCUAAAAAGUCUGAAACAUGAAACGUUGCAGCCCGAAAUGGGUCAGCACAUGGAAUAUGCUGGCAAUGUAACACAAAGAGUAAUGAGAAGAAUAAAUGCUAUCACUACAUGCAUAUAUGGCUGGUGGAAAGCUCUAUGGUUACGGUUUUGCAUAAAGCCAAUUUUUUCCUACAACAAAGGAAUACAUUUUAUUUAACUAUCAUGGUGGUUGUUAAACAUUGAGAAGGUUCCUCCAACUCAAUCCCAAUUAAAUAUCAUCGUUAACCCAAUCAAAUUAUAUUUAGAGUGAUGAGAUCAAAUCAAUAAUUCAAGUACCAGAUACUCAAAACGCCCAUAACUGGGGUCACAUCUAACCAUGAUUAGUUUGUACACUCUAUAGAGGUUUGCGCACUUUUCCACACAAGACUCGGAUACAUCCAUGGUCGGAGAAUCAAGACACAGUCUUUCUGAAACAAUAACUCUUUACUCUGGGUGGACAGUUACACCUACUUUCCCCUAUAUCUGCUAGCCCACCACUGAAAGAGGUCAUGCAACAUACUCAAUUAUGCUAGAGCCCAUAAUAGCUUGUGGCUGCACACGGAAGUUUUUAGCAUGAAUAAUCUUAUGAUCCAUUUGAGCCUGGGUGGCGGACUGUAGGAUGAUCACACGGGUACUCCGGGAUAUCCUAGGACAACACUAGAUUCUCCAGGUGCCCUGACAACCACUGGGUACUCCAGGGUGCCUCAAGCAAUCCACCUAGAUGUGUAUUAAAGUAGCCACCUUAAGUUAACCAUUAAUUAACAAUCUCACAUCUGUCAUGGAUACACUCAACCAAUCCACGUCUACGAGCAUAGCAUAGCAGUAUAAGCAUAACGUCCAAGUAACUCCCAAGGUUUGUGUGACAGCCUGGUUUUUGCCCUCUCUCAUUUGCUUGAUUUUCAUUUGAAGUCAUUUUGAAAUUUGGAGUUUUUGAAUCUUUUCAUUUGGACUUAAACACUUGGGUAACCUUGGCUUUCACCCAAGUGCUUCAUUUCCCUCCCUAAUCAUUAUUCCCCUUCUGAUCCACCCCAAAAAAAUCUUUGGAAUAUUUUUCUUAAAUGAAAAAUAUUCAUUUUUCUUCCAAAAACCCUAGCUAGAUCAAUAUGCUCCAAAGCAACCCCAAUUUUUAUGGCCCAGAAAAAUCUGAGAAAAUUCACAAAUAUUCUUUGAAACCUAGGGCACCUUCCUGAGCAAAAAUAUUUCAUCACUUUUUGGAAUAUUUUUGCUACAGAAAAUACUUUCUGUUCUGGACAGAAAUGGUGGUUUCUACAGCAACUACCAUUUUACUUGCUCCAUUGUGCCCGGGUUUUCUUGUGCAUUUUCACCUUAGUAGAUCAUGGCUAACCUCCAAAGCACAGCCUCCAACUCCUAGCCGUUUGACCUCAGUAACUGCUCAAAGUUACUGACCAGAAACUUACUUGGCAUGUAAAAACUUCUCUACUGCACCUGGAUCCAAACCAAAGCGUGGUAAACUUCAAAACCACCACGAACAACAUGCCAGACAUGAUUUUUGGACGUAGGCUGGCCUGAGGGAGGAGUUUGUGUGGUGACCACGCAUAUCCACCAUGUCAUGUCUGCGUGUCGACGCACCCUGAGUGCCGCCGAGCGCUCUGUUCGCGCAUGCUCGCUUCCCUCGUCUGCCCGAGCGUGCCAAACCUCGCCACCAUCUUUGUCUCAACGCCAUUAACUCCCCUCUAGCAUUCGCCGACGUCGGAGCUCACCGUAGCGAGCACGGGCAUGGUCCGGCCAACCCAACAGUGCGGUGCGCACUGUGCUCGUCGCCUUCUCCUCGUCCUGUGCUCGUCCCCGUUCGCUAACAGUUGCCGCGUGAGCUGCGUCGCCUUCUCCCCCUCUCACUGACGCCGCUCGUCAUCGGACGCCGUGGACAAGUGUCCACCGGCGGAGCCCCAACCCCCCUCUCUGCUUGCCUAUAAAUGGAGCCGCCCCAGCCUCCUCGAGCACCAUCCAGCACUCCCACACACCCCACAAGCGAGUAGGAAGCCAUAGCCCGGCCGAGCAGGCCACAGACUGCCGUCCCCGAGCUUGAGCUCGCCGGUGAUCCCCUCUAGUCGCCGCAGUUGCUCCAGCCCCUCCCGGGCCAGGGCGGCCCUUCCAGGGCCUCCGCCCCUCUCCGGUGAAGCCAUUCCGCCCCUCUAGAGCCCCUGGAGUUGCCUCUGCUCGCCGUCUUCUUCAUCUCCGGCGACCACCGUGUUCUGCCUCCGCUUGCGAGGUUGAUUCUGACACCGUCCGACCACCCCUAGCUACGCUACGGGUACGGGCAGGUGCACCUCUGUCCCCUCUCUUCAUCCCUCCCUCCCGUUUUGGCCAAGGAGCCCUCGUCGCCGACGAAAGCUCCGGUGAAGCCGCGAUUCCCUCUGUUUCUUUCUCCCCCUCCUCCUCAUCUGACUAGCGGGGCCUGCUAGUCAACCACUCUGUACGCGCGCGAAACGGUAUGAGUGGUGGCGCCCCUGGGCUUUACGCCUUCGAUGUCACCCCCAGCCUGUUUAUUUUUAUUCAAAUUCAUUUGAAUUUACAGAACACUUCAAACAGCCAUAACUCUUCAACCAUAAGUCCAAAUGAAUUGAUUCUUUUUGCAUUUUGUUCUGUGCAAAGAAAUCUAGCAGCUCGGCAAAGAUGAGAUUUUUCUGAGCUUUUUAGAAUUUCUGGUGAUUUUUAGAAGUGUUCUUGAUAUUUUCUUUUUGUGUUUAAAAUUAUUUUCAGAGGGUGAGGCUUGUCUUGAGGAUCACCAGAAGGCUUGUGAACCUCAUCUGCACUAAGGCAAGCCAAAGUAACAUUUUCAUGGUGUCAUUUCAAUAUUUAUGAUUUUCUUACUUGAAUGAAGUGAUUAAUCCAUGUAUUUAAAUAACUAUUAUGUUAUUUAUAUUUUGUUAAUUGUUUGUUAGUAUUAUGUUUGAUUUACAGAAUGUUGAAACUAGCUUAGUUGGUAAAGCAAAGCUAAGAUCUAAUUGUGGUGAUGAUAAAAAUAAUUUUGUUAUGCAUGUUAGUAAUUACUUAAAAUUAUUUUCUUACAUAAAUAAAAUGGUAAAAAUUUGCUAGAAAAUAUUCUGUUAAGUACUUGUUUAGUCAUUUUAUUUGACUUACAGAAUGUUUGAACCUAACUUGGUUGGUAAAGAAAUUAGGAUUUGUUUGUGGUAUAAUCUUUGCUAUGCAUGUGAGAAAUUAAUCAGAGUUAUUUUCUUGCAUGAGAAAAUAAUUAAACUUGCUGCAAAAUAUUUUGGUUAAAAUGUGAGUUACCCUGACCAACAAAGUAAUAUGAGUUGUUGAUGUUUAUGCUUAGUGUGAAUAAGGAUGACAUCGGUCAUUGUCGUUAAUAAAUGAUGCAUGUGUAGUUUUGCAUUUCAUGGCAUGCUAUGACACCGGUCAUUUUCAUUAUAAGUUGAACCUAAAUAUAACUCAACUUGAAUAUAUCGUUGACUGGGUCAUGGUGCCGUUGAAUCGAGUUUUUCCCAGUGCAACCACAUUUGCCUUUGUGGGAAGGCCUUGAUUCGGUCCAUCGACAUUGCCUCUGGUCGGUGCCUCCAACUAGGGAAGGUUAUGGCGUGCUUACCCUGGCCUGGUAAGCAAGCAUAACCUUGUGUGCCUGUUGUUGAGAUUAUGGUACCGGGUCCCCGAGUGGGAUCGUUUUGGCCACGACGAUGGUCGUUGUGUCUUUGGUAGACACGGGGCGACCCAGGACUAGCCCGUUGGGGAUUGGGUCAGAGUGGCCGGGAGAGUGUCAUGGCAAUGGAAGGGUUUCGUCGGAAUGCCGUUAGUCCACCCGAAUGGGAGUACGAGGCCAUGGGUUCCAUGGUGUGGGUACAGUGUGCUACCUCUGCAGAGUGUAUAAUCUAUCGAUAGACGAGUCCACUGUCACGGACACCUCAUAGUAGGUCCCACCAUGAGUCAACAUUUAAUAAAAUUUGCACACUAAGUUAUGAACUUUGCACUGCUGAUGAUGGCGGAAAGGCCAUCGUGAUGUUCCGACCAAAUAUUGGUCGUGGUUGUGAUCGCUGUAAGGAUCACGAGUUACUCUUGUCAAGACCACGAUGGUGGUUUGUUGGUGAUCUCAGAAUGAUCAUGGUUGGUAAGUUGUCCCGAGGGACGUUCGAGCAUGAUCACAGCAUGUUGGACAUAUAGUGUUGCAUUAUUAUUAAUUGGUUAAGUAUCAUGAUAUUGUUUGCCAUUAUGAUUAUGCCUGUUGUGAGCUUGCAAGUACAUUCAAUGUACUGACCUGGCGUGUCAUGCCAGAUUUCAAGAAAGUCUCGUUGGAGAGGAGCGCUGCUCGAGUCUAGAUCGUGUCCACAUCGGUGUCCCUAUGAUAUGGAGUUUCCGCUACGACGUUGUUCCGCUGCCGCGUAGUUGUUAUGAUCAAGGCCCCUUUAUUUUCACUAAAUAAUGUACAAAUUGUUCAGCCACACCGGGCGUGCUGCUUGGCCUCGACAACUGUUGUAAUAUAAACUCUGGUCCGCUAGCAUCAAUAAAGCGGUUGUUUUCUGUACCAAGAUGUUGUGUGUUGCAAGAAGACAUGGUCUCUGGGCUGGCAAUGCAUUGUAAAUCGGUCGCUCUGAGCCGGGGUGCCACAAUGCUUGGUAUCAGAGCCGCGCUGACUGUAGGCCAUGCUAGACUACGACGUGUUAACUGGAUGAUAGAUACGAGUUUAAGUUGAGUGCCGAUAGCAAUUGUAUCUGGUUGUUGCAUUGCAUGCAUUUGGUUUAUAAUUUUUAUGCUAACUUGCUAAUGGUUGUGGGUAUAGAUGGCUCCGGUGCCGUAUCCAUGCUAGUUGCAGCUGAUGCCAUACACAUCACCGCACCUCCUUCGCAACGUGUGGCGUCGGCUGUACCCUCUCGAAGACGACCCUGUCUAUCGGGUGUACCGGGAGUGUCUAGCUGAUUCAGUGUAUGAGUAUCACACAGUGGUCACUCUGCGCACUAGUUCCGAUUCCAGCUCUUACACUCGUACUUCUCGGAGUGGUUAUGCCUCCACCGCUUCUCAGGCUAUCCAGUUUGCUGCAUUCGAGGUCCUUGCCGAGCUUCCCUACAACGAGGUCCGAAUGCAGAACCACCCAGGUUUCUAUUACUACCCUUCUUUGCACGACAAUGGUCGUGCCCGUUUCCCUAUCAUUGAUCCGGAGUCUGAUAGUGUUGCUAGACACCUUGCUCGUUAUGUCACUGCUAGCUAUCUUAUGAUCCACGAGCUGGCUCGAGAGCUGACUCGUGACCGUACUGCCUUAGCCGCUGCUUUAGUCACUACUAGAUCUUCCACUACUCCAUCUUCUCUGGGAUUUACCCCUUAUAUUCCAGCCAGUUCUAGUUCCCCUAUUUCACGGUUACUCCUCCGAGUAGCACGGGCGUCUCGGCCGUGAAUCCUCUCAGUACUCCUGCCUAGUGGGUUUCACUUCUCGCCACUCCUGUAGUCCCGAUGCUUCAUCCUACCCCUGCCUCUGAGAGAGAGCCCUCGAGGCAACGCCAUCAUGUUACCUUUAACCCGGAGGUUUCCGUUAACCUCGUCAGUUCAGGAUCCAAGACCGCUUCAAGGGAGGACACUGCAGCACCAGUAGAGCAGUAGUAUCUUUGAGUAUUCGUAGUCGUUCGGAUGAUGUACGGAUGUAGUCGUACGAGUCAUGAUGUUUCGUUGCAUGUAUGAGAGUAGUUGAACCUGGCGUGUUUUUUAUCUUUCAUGUAUGAGUCUAUGUAUAAUUAUGUUGGGACUUUAUUCGCCUUAUUUUCUUCCGGGAUUUGUUGCUGGCUUUUCCCCAAAUUUAUUCUUGGAUGUUUGUCAUCUCACUUGCGUUGUCUUGGGAAAGAUCCACAAUAGGAUGAUGCGGGGAGGUAGCAGUAGCAAUGUUCGUGAGGGAACUCCUGUUCGUCGCUCCGCACGACAGUCAGGACAUUCUCCCGAGCCGUAUGUUCCGCCACCACCUCCACCGCCAAAUCCUCCCUCCACCGAGCAAAUUCUGCGUAUGUUUGAGGAAAGAAGGAACAAUGAUCUGAUUGAAAUAUUGAGAAGUGUGCAAGCUAUGGUUGGAUAGAAUGGAAAUCAGAACGGUCAUCACUCAAAGCUGUCAGAUUUUCAAAGGACCAACCACCCAGUUUUAGUUAGAUUGUUGACCCAUUGGAUGCAGACGAUUGGUUGCGCACCAUUGAGAAAAAGCUUGAGAUUGCUCGUACUGAAGAAAAUGAUAAAGUUCCAUUUACAACUCAUUACCUUGAAGGCGCAGCUGCCAUAUGGUGGGUAAAUGCAAAAGCCAUGUGGCAUGUUGAUGAAGAAAUCACCUUGGAAAAGUUUAAGGAUCAGUUCCGGAAAUAUCAUAUCCCUACUGGAGUUAUGAAGACCAAGCAGCGUGAAUUUCUCGCACUCAUCCAAGGAAAUCAGUCUGUGGGUGAAUAUUUGCAAAAAUUCAAUCAUCUGGCCCGUUACUGUCUUUAUGACGUGGCCACCGAAGAAAGGAAGAUUGACAGAUUUCUUGGAGGCCUAUAUCCGCAACUCCGGUGUACUCUCAGUAUGCUUGAUUUCCCAGAUUUCCAAACUCUGGUGAACAAGGCUUUCAUUGCUGAAUGGGAGAACAAGCUUAUAUAAGAUAAUAGACCUGUUAACAACGACAACCAGUGUAAGUUUGAGCCAAAGAAGGAUGGGCAACCCGUGCAAAAGGCUCGUACCUUGCAGCAGACUCAGGUGGAAUACAAGCCAAAUUGGCAACAAAAUGUUAACAAGACCACCACUCAAGUCAAGAAUGUCGUGACCAACCCAAUGCAUGAGGAGUGUCAGCGCAAUAAUUCUUGCUUCAGUUGUGGGAAGAACGGACAUUAUGCCAGGCAGUGCCCCAAGAACAACAAGGCGAAUGACCUAAUCAAGCCACAAGUCAACUUUAUGGAGUCAUACCCGACCCAGCAAAACUUCACUGGGCACGUGCAUCAUAUCUCUACUGAUGAAGCCCAAGAGAAACCAGAAGUCGUCAUUGGUAUGUUUUCUGCUAAUGACAUACCUGCCGUAAUUAUAUUUGACUCUAGGGCUUCCCAUUCUUUUAUUUCUCAGAGUUUUGCUUCCCAAAACAAAUUUCCUUGUAUGCUUUUGGGCAAAAAUAUGCUGGUACAAACCCCAGGAUCCAUAAUCAAGAGCAAUCUGGUCUGCCAUGAUUUGGAAAUCAAUAUCAACGGAGUCUAAUUUCCAGCCUCUCUGAUAAUCAUUGAGUCUGAAAAGUUGGAUAUUAUAUUGGGUAUGAAUUGGUUGAUCCAAUAUCAAGUUUGCAUAAACUGCGCAACACGAGAAGUCACUUUCACCAGUCUGAAUGGGCAGAGUACCAAAUUCUAUGCUCACAAGAAUAUACCCAAGCAAGACUUGGUUUGCACCGCUGUGGCUGAGUUGGAAUUAAUCCCUGUGGUCAACGAGUACCCUGAUGUAUUUCCAGAAGAACUGCCAGGCAUGCCACCAGAUCAGGAACUGGAAUUUGCGAUAGAUCUUGUGCCCGGAACUACACCAUUAUACAAGAAGUACUACCGGAUGCCCUCGUCAAAAUUAGUGGAGCUAAAGAAACAACUUGAUGAACAGCUCCAGAAAGGAUAUAUUCGUCCCAGCUCUUCACCAUGGGGAUCACCUGCUAUUUUCGUGGACAAAAAGGAUGGCAAUCUUCGCAUGUGCGUAGAUUACCGCUAGCUGAAUGAGGUCACCAUCAAAAAUAAAUAUCCGCUGCCAAGGAUUGAUGAUUUGUUUGAUCAGCUCAGUGGGGCUAAAGUAUUCUCUAAGAUCGAUUUACGGACCGGAUAUCAUUAGCUCAAGAUUAAAAUGGAGGAUAUUCCUAAGACCGCAUUCACUACUCGGUACAGUCUUUAUGAAUAUACUGUGAUGUCCUUUGGUCUCACCAAUGCCCCUGCUUUCUUCAUGCAUAUGAUGAACAAAGAAUUCAUGGACUUCAUCGACAAAUUCGUGGUAGUCUUCAUCGAUGACAUCCUCAUUUACUCAAAGGGUGAAGAAGAGCACAAGGAUCACCUCCGAGCAGCGCUACAACGACUCCACGACCAUCAGCUAUAUGCCAAAUUCAGUAAAUGCGAAUUUUGGCUCAAGCAAGUUGGGUUUCUCGGACAUGUACUAUCCACCGAAGGUAUAGCUGUGGACCCGAGCAAAGUAAAGGAUGUGCUCGAUUGGGUGCCGCCCACGACCGUGACGCAGAUCCGGAGUUUUCUCAGAUUAGCUGGAUAUUACCGUCGUUUCAUUGAAGGGUUUUCCAAGAUUGCCAAACCCAUGAUGGAGCUUCUCAAAAAGGUUAAGAAGUUUGAAUGGACAGAGGACUGUGAGAAAAGUUUUAAUGAGCUAAAGAUACGGCUGACAACCGCACCAGUAUGGACUCUUCCAGACAUUUAUCGCAGUUUUGAUGUGUAUUGUGACACCUCCAGGCAAGGCAUUGGUUGCAUACUUAUGCAAGACAUCAAGGUAGUAGCAUAUGCAUUGCGACAGCUACGACCCCACGAGGGAAAUUAUCCUACUCAUGAUUUGGAAUUGGCUGCGGUGGUUCAUGUGCUAAAAAUUUGGAGACACUACCUCAUUGGAAAAAGGUGUCAAAUUUUUAUCGACCACAAAAGUCUCAAAUACAUCUUUACUCAGCCUGAUUUAAACCUCCGUCAAUGAAGAUGGCUAGAGUUGAUCAAGGAUUAUGAUCUUGGAAUAAAUUACCAUCCGAGUAAGGCCAACGUGGUUGCCAAUGCACUCAGUCGAAAGCCCGUCAGCUUUAAUGUCAUAUUGAAAUCCUUGCCUCCCGAACUCCAAGAGGAGAUCGCUCAGCUCAACCUGGUCAUAGUGGAUGCUAGCCUCGCUAAUAUUUUGGAAGUUACCCCCACACUUGAGGUAGAGAUCCGCAAGGCCCAGCCAGCUGACGCCGAGCUGCAAAGACGUGCCAAGGGCCAGAUGGCAGAGCAGAACCCAGAUUUCUCCAAGGACAAAUUCGGUACCCUCCGAUUCCAUGGACGGAUUUGUGUACCCAAUCAACCGGACUUAAAGAAGAAAAUCCUGUCAGAAGCACACGAAUCCUCAUAUUCCAUUCACCCGGGAGGUACGAAAAUGUAUGAGGACCUUAGACAAAUAUUCUGGUGGGAUGAAAUGAAGAAACACAUUGCCUAUUUUGUGGCCUGUUGCGACAUAUGUAAUAGGGUGAAGGCAGAGCAUCAGAAGCAAGCCGGACUCCUCCAACCGCUGUCGGUUUCACAAUGGAAAUGGGAUGACGUUUGUAUGGAUUUCAUUACGGGAUUGCCUAAGACUCAGCGAGGCAAUGAUGCAAUCUGGGUCAUAGUGGACACCCUAACCAAGGUUGCUCACUUCAUUCCAAUCAGCACCAGAUACAGAGCAGAUCAACUUGCACAACUGUAUGUGUCCAGAAUAGUCAGUCUGCAUGGAGUACCCUGAACUAUCACUACCGAACGAGGUUCCCUGUUUACCUCCGCUUUUUGGUCACGCCUCCAUCAAGCCUUGGGGACAGCUCUGAAAUAUAGUACUGCUUAUCAUCCUUAGACGGAUGGACAGACAAACGGGUAAAUCAAAUACUCGAAGAUAUGUUACGAGCCCGUGCUUUAGCCCAACACUACAAAAAAAUACACUUAUGUGAUGAUACGUGUUUGUCACAGUAGGUCGCGUUUUCUGUCAUGCAUGUACAUCCAUGACAAAUUUAUGACAGAAUCAAGAUAGUCAUACCUGUGCUGUCGUAGAAGUGUUCCAUGACAUUGCCAAAAUUAUUAUCACGGAAGUGUCCACUUCCAUGACGAUAAAUCGCGCGUCACAGAAGUGCUUUCGUCAAGGGUGACCAACAUGUGGCAUCCACCGUAACGGAACGCCGUUAAGCUAUUGGGUCGUAUUUUGGAUCCGAGAACCCGGUAACAGCCACGACCAAUGCCGAUUUUCCACGUGUAAAAUUCUCAUUGGCUGACGGAUCCACGCGUCAGUUCCGCGUUGGCACAGGUGUCACUCAUCCAAUGGUCGAGAUGGGCCUAUGAUAUGUUGACACAUGGACCGGCCCAAAAGUGACCCACAAAGUUUAAAUGGGCCGGCCCAACCAAAGGCCCAUAAGAUUUAGCGGACCAUAAUGGGCCGGCCCACCUAAAGGCCCACAAAAUUUAGCGGACCAUAAUGGGACAGCCCAGCUAAAGGCCCACAUGAUUUUGCAGACCAUAAUGGGCCGGCCCAGCUAAAGGCCCACAAGAUUUUGCGGACCACAAUGGGCCGGUCCAGCUAAAGGCCCACAAGAUUCUGCACACCAUAAUGGGCCAGCCCAGCUAAAGGCCCAACAUUCUCUGUCAAAUCGGCCCAUCAACGUCCUGUCCUAAACUUGUCAUCAACGCGGCCCAUGGUCACUUCUGGCCCAUUAACAGUCCCCUAAGUAAUUGGGCCAAAUUACGGCCCGGUGUAUUUCCAUCCUGUUAAAGGUCCGGCUUCAUUUGGGCCCAUUUACAGGCCAUCAAAACUUUCGGCCCAUAAACGACCGUGAAGGAUUUGGGUCAUAUUCGGCCAUGUCUGACAUUUGGCCUGUUAGAGGCCCACUAUAGCUUUGGGCCACUUUCGGCCUGUUGUCAUUUUCGGCCUAUUAACACUGGACGUAAACCAUGGGCCAUAGGUGGUCCAACGUCAUAUCGGGCCCAUUAACGGCCCAUGUAAAAAUGACGAUAAUCUAGCCCGACCAAAGUUCUGGCCUGUUAAAGGCUCGUGUAUUAGGUCGGCGCAUUUACGGCCCGUCCGAAUUUCGGCCUGUUAAAGAUCCGCAUUGUAAAUGGGCCACCAUUUCGGCCUGCUAAGUCCAGUGGGUUAUUUGACACAAUCAGGGCCCAAUCUCACUUUCGGUCUAUUAAAGGCCCAUGUUUUUUAUGGGCUCGAGAUAUUUACACCUGUAAAUGGCCUAUUUUUACUGAGGGCCCAAAUUAUGUUUAGGCCUAUUAAAGGCCCACUAUGGGCACAGGCCUACCAGAAAAAUAUGAAAGCUUAUGCUGAUUUAGGCCCAGAUAUUUUUAGUGGGCUACAUGCCAAUUUCGGCCAGUAACCAUUUUUAGCCCAAUUGGAAUGGGCCCGACGAAUGUUGGCAUGUUGGGCUCCUACGAAGCUUUCGGCCGAAUACAUUACUAAGAUAAACGUACACUAUACAAAAAUAGUGUUGUAAUUACUGCAGCCUGAGGCAGCAUCAUAAAUGUUGUAUCACAAACAAAAUAAAUUCCAACCAUACAACAAAAGGCCUGUUGGCAUAAAGUUUAUAGUCCUUCCAGAUAAAAGCACCAUCAGAUGUGUAGAAGCAUAGAUCAUUUGACCUGAGUGCUAAUGUUUCAAGCUGUAGAAUCUGAUGGAGCAGCACGAUCUCCACCUUUUUCCGCCAUUGCUCUUGAACAACGAAGCGAAUGUCUGAUAGUCUGGUUUCAAAACCAUUCAUAUAUUGAUGACAUUUCUCAACCACUAUUCUUGUUUCCGAAACAACGUCCAUUAGGGAUUGGACUUGUGUCUGGAGCAUAGAUAUAUCACUCUGUCUAGCAGGAAGAUUUUGUUCAGCAGGCGAUUUGGACGAGGUUACCUUGACAACCAACCCAAAAUUACGCAGGAAGGUGCUUUUUGCACUGUUAGUGGAGAGAUACUGACGCACUGCAGCAAGAGGUGACAUUGUGCCUGUAGUAGCCUCGUCAGCUUCAGGUGGUUGUGGAUGUUCAAUCAUUUGUUCCAUAGCUUCCUAAAAGUUUGAACUUGUAGAUUAGUGUACCAGAUAAGUUACUAAUGAGACAAAAACAAACAAAGUAGGUUAAACGUUUAUACAUAACUUAUUUUGGUGAACUACUGUAAUACAUUAGCAUGUAUUGUAGUGCCAACUACAUAAUAAAAUCACUUUCGUAACAUAUGUCCAUGUAGCAUGCCUACUGUAUUGUCUAUUUCCUCACAUUCGUUGACAUCUAAGGAUAAAGAUACAUGGUUUAAAGUAGGAUGAACAUAGUAUGACAUCAUUCAUAUCAUGGGCAAAUAGAUAUAAAACAAACAGGCUAUUUUAUCCUUGUGUGCUCACGUGAACAUAACAACUGGAUUACAGAUCAAGACCAAAAGAAUAUCCUUCAUCUCUUUUAAACCAUGUAAGGUGAAAUGAUACGUUAAGACAACUGUUAAUAAAAGUGAAUAGAGUAACUGACAUUGGUUGCAAACCAAGUAGUUAAAUGAACACAUCAUAGUACCGAUCAGUUCAAGGCAGGAGGAGUAAGGACUUACAACAGCGGCUUGAACUAGUGUGCUCAUGCCCUUCAUCUUGCUGGUGUGGCAAUCCUUGAAGAUUUGCACUGCAUUCGGUUCAGGUUCUUUUUGGUCCGCAUGGGAUUUCCUCUGUAUUUGGAACAAGUCAAUAUAGAUACGAUAAUAUGGCACAAAAAAAGAAGGAAGUAGCAGCUAUUUACAAGAGCCUCGCAGUGUGCAAUAUAGCUACGAGAUCCUGUUGUCUGUUGGAAUUUCACUUUAGAACGGUUGGUUUUGUUCUUCAAACAGUUAGCCUAGAAGAAGAUACACUUGUAAGGCACAUACAUAAAUACAAGUUCAAUAUGUGGUCUGGUCAAAUACAUAUAGCCUACCUGAUACUUUGGAUCAGACCAGUGUUUAACGAGGGCUGUCCAGUCUUCAUCCGUAAUAUAUUCCACUGGAGAUGUUUGGGCAAUUUCAUUGUUAGCCUUGCCUUCAAAGUGAGAUUUUCUAAGGUGGUACGGAUAUUGUCGUAGAGCAGACUGAAAAACAUGAGUGCAUGCUUGUUUAGUUGCAUCAUCUUUCGGAUCCAACUUGAACCUCAUCUGUUGAAAAAAGAAUGUGAGUCUUAUUAGGAGGAAGCUAGAAAGUAUGGAAUAGAGCAAGACAAUAUUACUAAUUGCAAUGAAUAACAUUACUUACAGAUAAAUGGUCAAGGAAGGUGUUAAACUGGGUAUUGUAUUUCUCAUUCCUGUACUGGAUCCAUGUUGGGAGGAUACGUGCAUGACACCUAACGGCCACGGCUGCCUCUGAUACUAACUUGGCUGACUCUGUAGCAUCACGUGGCCUUUUUAAACCUGCCUCAAAAUGGAUCUCCAUUCUUCCUCCUUUAGAUUUUGUUAAUCUGUCAAGCAUUAUCCCUGAUAUCUGUUUCCUCUUGCGCCGUGGUGCUAGUUUAACAACAAAUAUGGAAAGUGUUAGUGCACAUCAAACUGCGAGAGUACAUAUAAAGGAGCAUGCAACUGCAACUUGACUCGGUCAUGUACCGUCUUUGUGUUGAUGCUCAUGAGGUUCAUCUGAUCUUGCCAACUCCUGUUGUGUCAGCAGUGCUUCGGAAGUAGUGUUAGGUGUGAAGGCAGCUUGGGAACUAGCCAGUUCCGGAGCAAACGAACGAGUAACUGGUUGAGAUGCUGGUACAGUUGAAGCGGAUGCUGCAGCUGGUGGAGCAGGUGAUACUGUGUUUGUAGAUUUAGCCGGUGGACUUGGACCUUCUACUGCACUAUAAGUACCAGCAGAAUCUCAACGGCAGAACCUUUUUCGUUUCACCCGACGAGUAACAGCACUCCCUACUAUAUUAUUUUCCUUGCUCUUUUUUGACUUUGCCAUGUCAAGCUGUACCCACAACACAAAAGAAUAAAAUCACUCUUCAGAACUCAUUGAUGCAAGAUACAGACAAGCAAUACUUUGAUGUAAGACAACCAUAUGAGGAUGGAAUAUGUAAGAAAAACAGGACGACAUGACAUAUUCACAGCUACGAUGUGCAAACUAAGCAGAAGGAUUUUCAAUAAAAUAGAAGUAAUGCAAGCUAGACACCAUAUGAAAGAUGCAACCAAUAUUACUCUGCCAAGUUAAAAGUGUCUUGUCAUAAGUGGCAAUUCUAAAAAUUAGAAACAGUACAACAUAGAAAUCAAUGCAAGAUGCAACCACUAUCAAACUGCCAUGUUAAAAGUGUCCAAUCAUGAGUGACUGAUGCAGGAUACACAACAGCAGUACUUUGAUGUAAGAACAUGGUAUGAUAGAUAGAUGUAGUGUAUUCUAGACACAGAAAGCCAUGUCAUAUGAACAUGUAUAAAGUAUAAACUCAGCAGGUGCAAUUUAAUCAAAAUAGAAGAAAUACAGGCUAGACAACAUAUGCAACAUGAAACCAAUUAUCACACUGUCAACUUAGAGCAAGCACCUGCGAUGGUGGAGUAUGGGAGAUGAACUCAUCAUGUAGCCUUGGGACUUCAACUUCAUUAGCAGUAGCAGUGGCAAAUCUAGAGAGUCUCUGUUUGCGUCGGUGCAGAGGACCACCAACAUCCCCUAACUUACUCUUUUCCUUCCUAUUUUCUGAUAUUGCCUUAUGAAGUCAAAACCACAAGAAGAUGAAUAAAAUUAGCUCUGCAUAACUGGUUGAUGCAUGAUACAGACGAACACUACUUUGAUGUAAGGCAAGCGCAGGAUAGGAGGAUGGAAUAUAUACAAAAAGGGACAAUGUUUCAUAUUCACACGUAAGAUAGGAGGAUGGAAUAUGUAUGAAAAAACAGUAAGCGGAAGGCAUUUCAACAAAAUUAGAAGAAAUGAAAGCUAGGCACCAUAUGAACAUGCAACAAAUAUCACUCUAUCAGGUAAAAAGUGUCUCGUCGUAAGUGCCAUUUCAAGAAAUUAGAAGCAGUACAAGCUAGAAGACAAUGCAAGAUGCAACCUACAUCACAGUCCCAAGUUAAAUGUGUCUUAUGGGUAAGUGAUCAUUGCAGGCACUACUAGGAAAAGGGCUACUAAUGGCGCACCAGUUUUGCCUACUAAUGGCGCAUCGCUGGUGCGCCAUUAGUAUCACGCCACUAGUAUUUUUUACUAAUGGCGCACCACUGGUGCGCCAUUAGUAUCUGGUAUACUAAUGGCGCACCACUGGUGCGCCAUUAGUAUAGGCCACGGUGCGCCAUUAGUAUAGGCCACUAGUGCGCCAUUAGUAUAGGCCACUGGUGCGCCAUUAGUAUUUUUGAAUUUUGAAGGCAGGAAAAUAGUAGUGGCGCACCGUCUAACCCCCACCGUGCGCAAUUGCUAUUUUUGAAUUUUGAAUUUGGAUCUGGAUCGUGAUUUUUUGCCCAUUUUUUGCUUGUUUUUUGGCACGAUAUUAUUUCAAAUUUUGUUCUUGUUUUUGGAUCUUGUACGUUCCUUUGUCGUGUUCUUUUGCCGGAGAGGAGUUCGCCGGAGAGGAGGAGGAGGAGGUCACCAGAGAGGCGCUCGCCUACAUCGCCGGAGAGGAGGAGGAGGAGUUCGCGGGAGAGGAGGAGGAGGAGGUCGCCAGAGAGGAGGAGGAGGAGGAGGUCGCCGGAGAGGAGUUCACCGGAGCAUCGGAGAGNNNNNNNNNNNNNNNNNNNNNNNNNNNNNNNNNNNNNNNNNNNNNNNNNNNNNNNNNNNNNNNNNNNNNNNNNNNNNNNNNNNNNNNNNNNNNNNNNNNNNNNNNNNNNNNNNNNNNNNNNNNNNNNNNNNNNNNNNNNNNNNNNNNNNNNNNNNNNNNNNNNNNNNNNNNNNNNNNNNNNNNNNNNNNNNNNNNNNNNNNNNNNNNNNNNNNNNNNNNNNNNNNNNNNNNNNNNNNNNNNNNNNNNNNNNNNNNNNNNNNNNNNNNNNNNNNNNNNNNNNNNNNNNNNNNNNNNNNNNNNNNNNNNNNNNNNNNNNNNNNNNNNNNNNNNNNNNNNNNNNNNNNNNNNNNNNNNNNNNNNNNNNNNNNNNNNNNNNNNNNNNNUGGAGUGGAGGAGAGGAGGAGAUGGAGUGGAGGACAAAAAUGAAGGAGUAGAGGACCACGCCCAGCCAUAUAUAUGGCAUAGUAAUGGCGCACCACGGGCAGGUGCGCCAUUACUAACUUUUUUAUUUUUUUUAUUUUUUUUGAAUUUUGAAGGCGGGAAGAUACUAAUGGCGCACCAUGAGCAGGUGCGCCAUUAGUAACUUUUUUAUAUUUUUUUGACUUAUUUUGAAUUUUGAAGGCGGGAAGAUAGUAAUGGCGCACCAUGGGUAGGUGCGCCAUUAGUAAGUUUGAUUUUUUUUGAAAACUUUUGCCUCUCCAGAUCUUAAAAGCCCCUUAUCUUUUUUCUGUUAGGUUUUUGAGGAUUUUGAAAAUGUUUAACGGGGUUCCCCUAGUUAAAUUCGGAUGUAACUUUUCGAGUAGAUGAUUUUUCAUAUAAAAAACUUUUUCAUCCAAGUUCGUACGCAAAAGUUAUGCCCGUUUUACAAAUUCUUGAGAGAUUUCGCAAAUAAAGUCGAAAUUCAUAUUUGUAAAUUUUCACAACAACUAGACCACAUAUCACAUGGGAAACUUAUUUUCUUUUAUUUUUUUGACAUUUCCAUCAUUUUUGUUUAUUUUUUUAAAAACAGAAAAGGCGGUCCACAGGGGGGGGCGUGCAUUCGGUGGAAGUGGUGGCCAAGUUACUAAUGGCGCACCGUGGGGGUGGUGCGCCAUUACUAGNNNNNNNNNNNNNNNNNNNNNNNNNNNNNNNNNNNNNNNNNNNNNNNNNNNNNNNNNNNNNNNNNNNNNNNNNNNNNNNNNNNNNNNNNNNNNNNNNNNNNNNNNNNNNNNNNNNNNNNNNNNNNNNNNNNNNNNNNNNNNNNNNNNNNNNNNNNNNNNNNNNNNNNNNNNNNNNNNNNNNNNNNNNNNNNNNNNNNNNNNNNNNNNNNNNNNNNNNNNNNNNNNNNNNNNNNNNNNNNNNNNNNNNNNNNNNNNNNNNNNNNNNNNNNNNNNNNNNNNNNNNNNNNNNNNNNNNNNNNNNNNNNNNNNNNNNNNNNNNNNNNNNNNNNNNNNNNNNNNNNNNNNNNNNNNNNNNNNNNNNNNNNNNNNNNNNNNNNNNNNNNNNNNNNNNNNNNNNNNNNNNNNNNNNNNNNNNNAAUGGCGCACCGUGGGAGUGGUGCGCCAUUACACUCCCACGGUACGCCAUUAGUAGUUUUGAUGAAAAAAAAAUUAAAUUUUUUUUACUAAUGGCGCACCACAUCCGUGGUGCGCCAUUAGUAUUUGCACACUAAUGGCGCACCAACACAUGGUGCGCCAUUAGUAUAUAGUAAUGACGCACCACAUGUAUGGUGCGCCAUUAGUGUCAAUUCCAUAUAUAGCCCUUUUCCUAGUAGUGUAACACUCUAACAGAGCUUGCCAACGAUUUAAACACUAAGGGCUGCUGUAGUGGGGCCUUGUCUAACUCAUAGGUGACAUAAAGGUUUGGCUGUACACUACAGUAGGCUCUCCAAGAGUACCUGGAGAUCCAGUUUGAAGGUAUGCCUAGUUUUUAUAUAGUGCAGACAUAGUAAAUGCUCAUUUCAUUGUGUGCAAGUGCAAUAGAUGCGGCAUGUUUCAUUAUGUGGUGUUGUUUUGUUAUAAUCUCAUCCUUUUGUGUUCACAGACUGGAAAUUAUGCAUAUUUAUCUUCCAAGGAGACGAGUAACUAGUUUGUGUCACCUUGUAGAGGGGGUGCAAUGAAGAUAAGAUUGAGGAUUUCCAAGUACAAGAUGUUAGGAAGGAGCCUUGCAAGAGAAGUAGGAGCUGCGCUAAGCCUCUUCAACCUGCUAAGGUAAGUCACUAUAUGCAACUCAACAGUUCAAUUCCUUGUUUGUUUCAGGCAUAGUUAAUUUUCUCUUUUCAAUUGCUUUAUUUCUCCUCAAUUAAUGAGAUGCCCAAAUAAUCAUGCCUAAUGUUCGGUACUUGUAUCACUAUUAGUUGACAUAAUUAAAGGCCUUACCAUUUAAUUACUCUGCCGAAGUGUUCCUGAAGCUUUGAAGACUAUUAGCCAACUAUUAUUGCAUGAGGCUCACAAUCUAGUUUAUACUACGCUAAUGAUUGCAUAGUUUUGCCUACUGUAGUAUGUUUGUAUGAAACCCUCUGCUAUUCAUUAUGCUCCCUAAGACUUUAAUUGAGGCACAGAAUGGCCAACUGCUUGGUUACUUAUACGCAACAUGAUGUCUAAAUUUGUAACUUGUCUGUGUUUUCGAUCGGGCCCCAACAUCAUGCUCCUCUGGUGAGCUAAGAGGGAUUUCUGUAUGCAGGCUGCACAGACUAUCUUUUUUAUAAUUUUUAAAAUAUCACUUGCUUAUGCUUCAUGACGUGUAACAUUUUUUUUGAAAGUGACGUGUAACAUUAUUGUUAGUCCUGUUUUGCCAUGUAGUACAAAAUAAUGUCUUGUUUGCUUCACUGUUGUAACUAUAUUUUUGCCCUAGUCAUGUGUACUUACAGAAACAUUUCUGGAUGAAGUGACAUCAACACAAAGAUCUGCGAGCAGUGCGGCAUGACCGUUACCGAAUGAUUAUGGAUUGAAAUUGGAAUGUGCUGAUGUUCUCGAGUAUCAACUAGAGGUGGCAAGACAACGUGUACAUGAUUGUCAAUGUAUAAUCAACAAGUUGAGACUGGACAUGCAGGUAUUAGAUGUAGGAGUCAAAAAAAUGAAACAAUACACUAAGGUAACCAUGAAGGAAUUGGAGAUUUUGCAGACUGAAAUUUGUGCUAUCUGAAUCUGGCCAAUCCUUUUUUCUGAAGAGAUUAUAGUUCAAAUGGAGUUAAGUUGAUGCCCGUCCAUGAUGUAUGAGCUGUAUUUGCCCAGUGUAUGUAAUUUUUUGUUUGUGUACGCUUUAUUAUUACCUGUGCCGAACCAUAAUGCCCAGUGGGUAUAAUCGGCUGUGAUUUCUUUAUUGUAUAGUGUAGGAUUAUUCUACCUUUCUAUGCAUUGAUCUCUUUGUUGUAUAGUGUAUGCUUUUUAGAGGUGAUAGUAUUGAGUAGGAUAAUUCUUUGAAUAUGCUAUAUCAUUCAAACGGGGGCCAACUCGCCCGACCAUGGCCCUUCACGGGCCGUCGGAUCCAUCGGCCUUCUACGUCUCUUAGGAUCCAUGGGCCUUCUACGUCUCGUAGGAUCCGUGGGCCUUCUACAUCUCGUAGGAUCCAUGGGCCUUGUACGUCUCGUAGGAUCCAUGGGCCUUCUACGUCUCGUAGGAUCCAUGGGCCGCCGACUCAUUUAUGGGUCUUGUACGCACCUUUAAUGGGCCAUAGACGGGCCUUUAAUAGAAAUCGUACGUUUUAUGGGCUGACCAUAACGGGCCAUUAAUAGGCCGUAUUUGGUGAUGCUAUGAAAAUGGCCCAACAGACUAACGAUCCACAAACGGGCUGACUGUAAUGACGGGCUGAAUUUGGCCCACAAGCAGAAAAUGACAGUAACGGGUCGUAAGUAACCGAAUGCUGCAAAUGAGCCCAAGAAUAAAUGGGCCCUCAGAAAGCCGAAAGUUAACUUGGGCUAGAAAUGGCCCAACGGAAUAACGGGCCGUUAAUGGGUAUAAAGUGAUACACUGUUCAUUAUGGGCCAGUUUCACCAUGGGCCGUUAAUGGGUGUAAUGUAAUACACUGUUCAUUACGGGCUAGUUUCAGCAUGGGCCGCUAAUGGGCCAAGAGUUACAAAGGGCCUCAUAUGGGCCGAAAGAUGUCAUGGGCUAUACAUGGGCCAGAAGUGAAAAUGGGCUGGAUUCAUAUUGGAUGGCCCAGAUGACGCUACUGGGCCUAAUUCGGAUAGGGCGUAACGGGCCUUGGGUUAGCGGGCUAUAAAUGGGCUAUAUGCGAACAUGCCAUUAACAGACUUUCCAUGGGCUGGCCCGCCAGCUUUUGACCAAGUCAAAUGGGCCGGCCUUCUCAUAGGAAUGGGCCCCUGUUGGGCCGUGCCACAUGUCGAUGUAUCAUAGGCACCUUCUGUCCAGUGAGUGGGUGACAUCUGUCCCGACAAUGAGCCGACACGUGUUUCCUCUAGCCAAUGAUUAUUUUACACGUGGAAAAACCCCAUUGGUCGGGGCUAUUAACGGGUUAUCGGAUCCAAAACCCGACCCGACUGCUUAACGGCGUUCCCUUAUGGUGGAUGCCACGUUUCGGUCACCCUUGACGAAAGCACUUCUGUGACGCGCGAUUUAUCGUCAUGGAAGUGGACACUUCCGUGAUGAUAAUUUUGGUAAUGUCAUGGAACACUUCUACGACAGCACAGGUAUGACUAUCUUGAUUUUGUCAUAAAUUUGUCAUGGGUGUACAUGCAUGACAAAAAAUGCGACCUACUGUGACAAACAAGUAUCAUAACGGAAGUGUAUUUUUUUGUAGUGAAGGUCUAUGGUAAACUACUCACACAUCAUGAGAGAGGCUAUGGUGUUGAUGUAGAAGCCCUCCGUGAUCGAUUGCCCCUCUAGUGGAGCACCAGAAAAGGCCCCAAGAUGGGAUCUCAUGGGUACAGAAGGUUGCGGCGGUGGAAAUAGGGUUUCGUGAUGCUCUCGGAUGUUUUCAGGGUAUAUGAGUAUAUAUAGGCGAAAGAAGCACUACAAAAAAAAUACACUUCCGUGAUGAUACGUGUUUGUCACAGUAGGUCACUUUUUUGUCAUGCAUGUACAUCCAUGACAAAUUUAUGACAAAAUCAAGAUAGUCAUACAUGUGCUGUCGUAGAAGUGUUCCAUGACAUUACCAAAAUUAUCAUCACGGAAGUGUCCACUUCCAUGACGAUAAAUCGCGCGUCACAGAAGUGCUUUCGUCAAGGGUGACCGACAUGUGGCAUCCACUGUAACGGAACACCAUUAAACUAUCGGGUCGGGUUUUGGAUUCGAUAACCUGUUAACAGCCACGACCAAUGGGGAUUUUCCACGUGUCAAAUCAUCAUUGGCUAGAGGAAACACGUGUCGGCUCAUCGUUGGGAUAGAUGUCAUCCACUCACUGGACAGAAGGUGCCUAUGAUACGUCGACACGUGGCACGGCCCAAUAGUGGCCCAUUCCCGUGAAAAGGCCGGCCCAUUUGACUUGGUCCACUACACCACAACACCAAUGCGGGGGCAAUAAAACUGCCGGGAGAAAGCACUUGAGGGGGCAGGUAAACUGCCGGGAGAGGAUUUCUCCUGGCAGAUAGAACUGCCACGAGAACGGCUGCCGGAAAUAACUUCUCCCGGAAGAUAACUAUUCCUGGCAGUUUCCCUGCCCCGAAGGAUGAACUUGCCGACAGUUAAAUUGCCGGCACAAACAAGUUUACCCGGCAGAUAGUAUGCCCUCAUGUUUUGUUCUAGGCCAUUCUAGGCAACAUCUUACCUAUUUAAUAUUCAAUCACAAUAUGUUCCUGCUUUUAUACAGAACCUAAACUUUAUUCAAUAAACUUGAACAGACAAAAUUCAUUUUUCCUAGAUUUAUACAUGAGACAAACAUAUAUAAGCACAUUGUACCACACAAGAAAAUUUACAUAAGUUAUAGAAAAAUUGUGCCUCACAUACAAAACAGGCAUACAGUGACUUAUGUGCCAAAAAAAGAACGACCAAACUUAGUAGAGUAAGCUGGCAAUAUCCCAGGUCCAACAAACAAACAAGGCAUAUUACAUAUUGAUUAACACUCCAUCAACUUGUAGGUCUUCCAAAGCUCCAGCAACUUGUGGAUCUUCCAAAGCUCCAGCAACUUGUGAAUCUUCCAGGAACCUGUAGAAUAUCAGAAUGAACAUACAAAACAAUUAGGAUACUGGAUGGAAUAUGAACGCAAUCAGCUAGUUACCUCUGUAGUAAACCUGCAGCAAAAUCAAGCAUGAAGCAUAUAUCUGAUGAGAUCAUUACGUAUCCAUGCAUAAGGCUCCAAUCAUCAUUCACAUAAGUGUUAAAAAAGAGAGUAAUGGAGUAAAUAUGAUAGCUCUGGACAUAUGUUUCAAGAAUAGCUUUCAAGAACUUAAAUGAAAUUUAAAGGACACAAUAAAUCCAAGUUAACACUUCAGUUAUACAUUGUUAUUUUGUAGUGUAAGUAAAAAUAAAGGUCUGUACAAUCUGCAAAGGAACAGAAACUACACUGACUAUUAGUGUUCAUGCUUUACUAACUUUUAAUUUGUAAUCCUACAAUACAUCUGGGUACAAAGGUUUUUUAAUAUAUGGCUCCUAAGGCAUAAAAAUGCCAACAUGUCUCAGAAAAAAUAAAUACUACCUACGUCCGGAAAUACUUGUCCUACAAAUACAACUAUUCUAGGACAAGUAUUUCUGAACGGAGGCAGUAUUCAUUAAUAGAGUAGCACAUUGCGGAAAUUCCAUUGAAGAGACAUAAGCUUUGAGCUAAGUACUGAUAAGAGUAAGAUGUAUAGAAAUGACAUGUGGUAUUGUGGUUAUCACGUACCCGAAAUAACAUUGUGAGCUUGGUGUCCGAGAAUGGAACAUGUGGUUCACUGUUGGCAAUCAACUCCACCACCUGCAUCACUAUCAUGUUCCCUUGAUUAAUUAUUCAUGUAUGCGCAAGACUAAUCAGUGUUAUGAAGCAGAUGUGCAAAAGAAAUAUUAACUGAAUUUGCAAUUUGCUUCUCAUUAGUUAGCUUAGCUGCAACAAAUGCCAAUAAUUUUUUCAAAGAGAAACUCAAAAAACAUUCAACUAUAAUGUUCCGUAAAAAUGCACAGCUUAGAUUUGGCUUCAUGUCCAAUUUGUCCUGCAGCUUUUCUCAGAGCCAGCCAUGCCCACUAGCAUGAGCCUUCCUCCGACAUACGACAUAUCUAAGACUAUCUACAGAAGCAACACAAAGUAAAGCCAAUGAGAAGGCCCAUCUCUUAGAAACAGCAUGCUUACAACAUAUAUACCUCAGAAGAAAAACCAUGCAGUGGCUCUGUGAACUCCUCGCGCAACAGCUCAUGCCCUUCAUGGUAUGCCGCUUCUCUACUUCAACAACUUCUCUUAUAUCUUCCUUGCUUCAUUUCCAGAUAUGUUUGUUGCAUUUUUAGCUAUUAUUCCCAUUAGAUCUAGCCUCACCUGUACGUUGUGCAUUGAAAAGAUUAGAUGAAGCAAAAAAAUCUCGUUAUAGAUUCACACUCCCAUGCAUGACUAACACAAAAUUCAGGCAUUUGCUGCAAUGGAUAAGUUGUAGCGACCAGACCUCAAACAGUUUGAUCUCUGUGCUCCGGUGUCAUCCCUGGAUCAGUAAUGCUGACACCACACAGUACUUGAAGGAUUUAUAGCAGAGUAGCAAUCACACACUUAUUACAUCGAGUGUCUCAAAAGAGAACUUAUUACAAUAAAUAUGGCUUAAGGCCAUCUAGUAACGAUAACAGCGGAAGGCUUGGAAGAUAAGUGAGUCCAUCAACUCCAACGGCAUCACUAAGUAUAGAACCACGACCUAAAACUCCUUAAUCGUCGUCUGAAAAGUCUGCAACAUUAACAUUACAGCCCGAAAAGGGGUCAGCACAUGGAAUAUGCUAGCAAGAUAACACAUAGAGAGUAAUGGAAUGCAACAACUAUACUAUAUGCAUAUUUGGCUGGUGGAAAGCUCUAUGGUUACUGUUUUUGCGCAAAGCCAAUUUUUCCCUACUUCAAAGGAAUAGAAUUAAUUACUAUCAUGGUGGUUGUUAAACAUUGAGAAUGGUUGACAGCAUUCUCAAUCCCAAUUAAAAGUACUCAUUAAAAUCCCACAAAAUUAAUUUUAGAGUAACAUGUUGAGAUUCAUAUGAUAAUCCAAGUACUAGAUACUCAAGAUUUUUCCAUAACCGGGGACACGGCUAACCAUGAUUAGUUUAUACACUUUGCAGAGGUUUGCGCACUUUUCCCCACAACACUCGAUCGCCUCCGUUUGGUUUCUCGCACUGCAGGGUGUUUGAGAAGACGGAUGACCGAGACAUAGUCUUUGAGAAGCACCUUACGACGGGUAGACCGGUACACCUACUUUCCCCUACAUCUGCUAGUCUACCACUGUAAGAGUUCGCACAACUUAGUCAACUAUGCCAGAGCCCAUAAUGGCUUGUGGCUGCACACGGAAGUUUCUAGUAUGAAUAAUCUCAUUAUCCCUUUGGGCCUGGGUGGCGGUCCAAUAAAACAGGCAAGUCCUGGUAACCCCAGGUGCCUCAAUCCACCCAGAUGUGUGUUAGGUUGCCACCUUAGAUAAACCCUUAAUUUUCAAUCUCACAUCUGUCAUGGAUAUCACUCACCCAAUCCACGUCUACUAGCAUAGCAUGGCAUAAUAAGAAAACGUAGAAGUAACUCUCAAAGGUUUGAUAAUAAACAGGUAAUAGGUACUACCUCAUCUACUUCCCAUCCCACAAUUUAAUUAGAUCCUAAUCAUGCAAUGUGUGAGGAUUGAUCUAAUGCAAUAAAACUAGGUUGUAGAAAAGGUAUGAUCAAAGUGUUACUUGCCUUGCUGAUGAUCCGCGAAACCUAGAGAUUCGAAGUAACAGGCGGCGCACUCCGGGUAUUCUAUUGCAGACAAACAACAAGCAUACAAUAAGUACUCAUCUAAUGCACAGGUAAAACUCAAAUAGAAGAUCUAACUAGAAGGUUCAACUUAAGAACUCCGGUUGGCAAAAAGAAUCAAAUCGAACGAAGCGAAAGAAAUCAAACGGCGAAAGAAAACAACUUCGUUCUAGUAAUCUGGAUCUAGGGAAAAUUUUACAGUAGAAAAAACUUGUUUAAGUUGAUUAUUUGGAAAGAGGGUUUCGAGACGAAACUCCAGGCGCUUGAAUCGCCUGAUUCCGAUAAACGAGCGAAAAGUUAUACUAAAACGAAAAUCGAAUCAGAAAUCGCGAUCAAAAAAUAACCGCGGAAAAUCCGACGAAAAAGAAAAACGAUGAACAGAUUUUUUUUAAAAAAAACUGCACGGAAAACGAGGCGGCAGCGAACCUCGAAAGUCGCGCGGCUCCGGCGGCGGCGGCGGCGGCGGUGGCUGGGGCUAGGGUUAGGGUUUCGGUUCGGUGGGCUGGCUCUCUCUCGGGCCGGGGCGGUCGGCUUAUGAAGCCUCGGCCGGCGGAGUCCAGGCCGAAUACGGCCUGAAGUCGGUUCCCGUUUUUUUUAUAAAUCCGCUCGGAAGAAAAAUAAAAAGAAAUACUAAACCGACUCCAAAAAUCAUGAAAUAAAUUUUACCGGGUUCCUAAAAUCAAGCAUGAUAAAGUGAACAUUUAUCUGGGCCCAAAAUACAACUUUGAAAAACGCGCAUUUUUCCUAAAUUCAAAUAAAAAUACCGAAAAACUCCGAAAUAAAACUUAUUUGAUUUUUUAUUAAAUCCUCAAUAUUUCUAUACUUUGGGAAAGUCAUUUUAUUCCCUCUCUCAUAUUUUUGUAAUAGAAAUAAUUGAUGAUAAAAUAAAUAAAAUCAAAUGAUCCUGUUUACAUAAUUUGAGAAAACUCAAAUACGUAAAUGACGAAAUCCCCAACUCUCUCCAUAGGUCCUUGAGUUACUUAGGAUUUUCUAGGAUCAAAACCAAAAGCAAAAUAAAAUAUGAUAUGCAUGAUGACCUAAUGUAUAACAUUCCAAAUUGAAAAUUUGGGAUGUUACAAACCUACCCCCCUUAAGAUGAAUCUCGCCCUCGAGAUUCGGGUUGGCUAGAAAAUGGGUGAGGGUGGUCUUUGAGCAAAUCUUCCUCUCGCUCCCAGGUGGCUUCAUCCUCCGUGUGGUGGCUCCACUAAACUUUGCAAAACUUGAUAACACUGCUGCGAGUAACUCGACUGGCAAACUCGAGAAUCUUGACUGGUUUCUCCUCAUAGGUCAAAUUGUUAUCCAACUGAAUUGCUUCCAAAGGCACUGUGUCUCUCAAAGGUAUGUCAGCCAUCUCCGCGUGACACUUCUUCAACUGAGAAACGUGAAACACAUCAUGCACUCCUGCCAAUACUUCUGGCAAUUCCAACUUGUAGGCUACUUCUCCCAUACGCUCCAGAACUCGAUAUGGCCCUACAAAUCAUGGCGCUAACUUCCCCUUAACUCCAAAACGCUUAAUCCCUCAAAGUGGGGAUACUCGAAGAUAAGCUCUGUCUCCGACUUCGUAAACUGUCUCCUUGCGUUUAGAAUCUGCGUAGCUCUUCUGUCUAGACUGGGCUACCUUGAGCCUAUCUCGAAUCAACUUCACCUUCUGUUCAGACUCUUUAAUCAGAUCUGGUCCAAACAACUGGCGAUCUCCAACUUCGUCCCAUGACAACGGUGUCCUGCACCUCCUUCCGUACAAAGCUUCAAAAUGUGCCAUCUUCAAACUGGUCUGAUAGCUAUUAUUGUAAGAAAACUCUGCAUAUGGCAAAUUAUCGUCCCAACUAGAUCCAUAAUCUAGCGCACAAGCUCUCAGCAUAUCUUCCAAAAUCUGAUUGACUCUCUCAGUCUGUCCAUCUGUCUGCGGGUGAAAAGUUGUACUAAAUUCUAACCUGGUACCCAAAGUCUCGUGCAACUGCUUCCAGAACUUUGAGGUAAACUGGGUUCCUCUAUCUGAUACGAUGCUCCUCGGAACUCCAUGCAAACAUACGAUCCUGGUCAUGUAUAUCUUUGCCAACUUAGCACUGGUGUAAGUGGUCUUUACUGGGAUGAAAUGAGCUACUUUUGUCAAUCGAUCGACUACAACCCAAAUCGAGUCAUAGCCUGAACGAGUCCUUGGUAAUCCUGUGAUAAAAUCCAUGCCUAGCUUAUCCCACUUCCAUUCGGGUAUCGGCAAUGGUUGCAACAAUCCUGCUGGCUUCUGAUGUUCUGCCUUUACUCUCUGACAUACGUCACAAACUGCUACAUACUCCGCAAUAUCCUUUUUCAUUCCGGUCCACCAGAAAUAUCCUUCAAAUCCAAAUACAUCUUGGUAUUUCCUGGGUGAAUCGAAUACGGUGAAUCAUGGGCCUCUUGCAGAAUCAACUUUCUAAUCUCCGGGUUAUUGGGCACAUAAACACGAUCUUCAAACCAUAGGGUAUCGUGCUCAUCCUCAUGAAAUCCUUUAGCUUUUCCUUUGCUCAGUUUCUCCUUUAUAGUGGCAAUCUCUUUGUCAGUUUUCUGAGCUUCUCUGAUUCUAUCCAUCAAAGUUGGCUGAAUUUCCAAUGCUGCUACAUAGCCUCUCAGAACUAUUUCCAAACAUAUUUCACGAAGAUUAUCUGCUAACUCCUUGGGUAUAUCUCCCGUCAUUAACCUAUUGACGUGGCUCUUGCGGCUUAAUGCAUCAGCUACUACAUUAGCCUUCUCGGGAUGAUAAUGCAAUUUCAUAUAAUAAUCCUUGAUGAGCUCCAACCAUCUCCUUUGUCUAAGAUUCAACUCCUUCUGCGUGAAAAUGUACUUCAAACUCUUAUGAUCCGUGUACACCUCACAAUGGUUUCCAAUGAGAAAAUGUCUCCAUGUCUUCAAUGCAUGCACUACGGCUGCUAACUCCAAAUCAUGCGUAGCAUAAUUCAAUUCAUGGGGCUUCAGUUGUCGUGAAGCAUACGAAACAACUCUCCCAUCUUGCAUAAGAACUGCUCCAAGUCCUCGACGUGAAGCGUCGCAAUACACCUCAUAAUCCUUGGUUUGAUCUGGCAAAAUCAACACUGGUGAGGUAACCAAACGUUUCUUCAACUCCUGGAAACUUUCCUCACACUCCUCAGUCCAUCUGAACUUAGUAUCCUUCUUCAACAACUCCGUCAUAGGCUUCGCAAUCUUUGAGAAAUUCUCAAUAAAUCUCCAGUAGUAUCCUGCGAGUCCAAGAAAACUCCGGAUCUCUCCAACUGUUGUUGGUGCUUCCCACUUGGUCACUGCUUCAACUUUAGCGGGAUCUACUGCUAUACCUUCUCCAGAUAUAACAUGUCCGAGGAAUCCUACUUCCUUCAACCAAAAUUCACAUUUGCUGAACUUGGCAUAUAAUUGGUGUUCUCUGAGCUUUCCAAGUAUCAAACGCAAAUGCUCCUUAUGCUCCUCUUCAUUCUUCGAAUAUACCAGGAUAUCAUCAAUGAACACUACGAUGAACUUAUCCAAAAACUCCAUAAACACUUUGUUCAUCAUGUUCAUAAAAUAGGCAGGCGCGUUAGUCAGUCCAAAUGACAUAACGGUAUACUCAUAUAGUCCAUAUCUUGUGGUGAAUGCUGUCUUAGGUAUAUCCUGUUCUCGGAUCUUCAACUGAUGGUAUCCUGAUCGCAAAUCGAUCUUGGAAAACACUUUAGCUCCUUGCAAUCAAUCAAACAGAUCGUUGAUCAUUGGUAGUGGGUACUUGUUCUUGAUCGUUACUUCAUUCAAACCUCGAUAGUCAACAACCAUCCUUAACGAUCCAUCCUUCUUCUCCACUAGAAGUACUGGUGAUCCCCAAGGCGAAGAACUUGGGCGAAUAUAUCCCUUAUCCAGUAACUCCUUAAUCUGUUUCUUAAUUUCCACCAAAUCUUUUGCUGGCAUCCUAUAUGGUCUCUUCGAUAUUGGCCCAGUGCCUGGCAAUAGCUCAAUCAAAAACUCAAUGUCUCUAUCCGGUGGCAUGCCUGGCAACUCUUCGGGAAAUACAUCAUGAAAAUCCUUUACCACUGGUACUUCCUCCUGCACAACUCCUGAUAAGGAAUUUACUUGUGUCCUGUUUGGCGCAUGUCGGGAUACAUACUUGAUCCUUCUUCCUUCUGGCGUUGUGAGCAAAAUUGUCUUACUGGCGCAAUCGAUGUUUCCUCCAUACAUCGACAGCCAAUCCAUACCAAGAAUCACAUCCAGACCUUGGGAUUCCAAAAUAAUUAAAUCCGUUGGGAAAACAUGCCUUACUAUACUUAAUGGCACUUGAAAACAUCCUUGACUGGCCAUGUACUCCGCUCCUGGUGAGCUUACUAGCAUAGGUGUUUUAAGAAUCCUAGUGGGCAAACUAUACUUUUCCAAAAAUCCCCUUGAUAUGUAUGAAUGCGAUGCUCCAGUAUCAAAAAGAACGAGUGCAGUAAAUGACUUAACCAAAAACUUACCUAUUACUGCAUCGGGCUGAGCUUCAACCUCCUCCACAUUAACGUGGUUCACCUGUCCCCUGUUGAAAGGGUUCGGCUUCUUUCCAGAACUUCCAUUUCCGUUUUGUCCUUCAGGACAGUCAUUUGCAUAAUGUCCUGGCUUCGAACACUUAUAGCAAGUGACGUGGCUCAAGUCCUUCUUGGCUGGGGUUGAUGGGGUGCUGCGGUUCUGUCCAUUACUUCCUCCAUUCCCAUUACCAUUUUUGGUGCCAUUCUGAUUGUGCGAGCUACCUACUCCAUGGGUAUGCUGAAAAUGUCCUCCUGGUCUAGGGGUAAAACGAGGCUUCUGUUGAGCUCCUGAAUUAUAAUUUCCUUGUCCAUACUUCCUCUUGCGGUUCUCAAUUUGCUGCUGCUUCCCUUCAAUCAUAAGAGCACGAUCUACCAACUCCUGGUAGUUGUUGAAGGUGGCUACCAUCAACUGCAUACUCAACUCAUCAUUCAAUCCUUCCAGGAAUUUCUCCUGCUUAGCUGCAUCCGUAGCAACGUCAUCUGGGGCAUAACGUGCUAACUUACUAAACUCCUCCACAUACUGGCCAACUGUCCGUCCUCCUUGGCGCAAGUUACGAAACUCAUGCUUCUUCAUGGCCAUUGCUCCUGCUGAAACAUGGGCAGUACGAAAAGCCUGCUGAAACUGGUCCCAUGUGACAGUGUCGACUGGGAAGGUGGCUGUGAAAUUCUCCCACCAAGAUGCUGUGGGUCCUUCUAACUGAUGUGCGGCAAACUUCACCUUCUCCACAUCUGUGCAUCCUGCUGUGGUCAACUCCCUAGCUAUCUUGCGGAGCCAAUCAUCUGCUACUAUUGGCUCGGUGCUACUGGAAAACACCGGCGGAUUCAGCCUAAGAAAACGGGCUAAGUGGUCAACAGGUGGUGGUGGUGGUGGGUUGUUGUUGUUGUUGUUUCCCUGAUUCUGAUUCUGAACUAGCAACUGCAUCAAGGUGUUCUGCUGCUGGAUCAACUGGGUGAGCUCCGGCGGAAAGGCAAAUCCGGGGUCACGUCUCGGAGGCAUCUGAGGGUUUAGAAAAGAUGAGAUAUAAGAAUAAAGGGGGUCUAAAGGGAAAACACUACCCAUAUGCACAUGAGGCAAAAGCACACAAUUCACUUCAAUCAAACAAACAAGGACAUACAAUCGGUCUAGCUAUCGCAAAAGUGCUCGGACUACUAUAUUUACAUGGUGGACUACUACUACUGAUGAGGUGGUCUACUAGAAAUAUUCUACGGUUGUAGACUCCAUGAUAUCUGCUCCUGCUUCAUCCACAUAGUCAUCAUCACUACUAUCUUGUUCCGAGUCGGUGGCGUCAAUGAUGAUGUAGUCCUCCGGGCUAAUCUCCUUGGGUUCCUCGUCUUCAUCUACUGGUGUCGGGCCUCCCAUAAAUAUUCCAAUCUUCUUGAUCAGAUCGUCAUUCUUCUCCACCAAUAAUUCAAUUUCUUCUUCAUAAUCUUCACGUGUAGCCUUGAGUUCUUCCUCCAGUUCCUUGAUUCUAGUCUUAGCCUUCUUCAGAUCUAUCAUGUCGGCGCACAUCUGAUUCUCCUGUCGUCGAAUGUGCUGGUUUAACUCCUGAAUAAAAGCUGCAAUUGAUCUAUCUUUCCUGGUGUUGAUCAUCUCCCAGUGUUCAUCUCGGCGCCCACAAAUCUGGUAGAUAGUAUCCUUGAGAUCCUUGCGGUAGACUUCUCCAAUGCGUCCCAUGGCGAUGUGAGCUGCCAAGUUCUUUCCUAGACUCCAAGUUGGUGCAUCGAAAGAAAACUCUAUGGGCUCAGUGACUGGCAUGAACGUCCUUCCUGGAACUUGAACUUGAAUCAUCCAGCGCUCUUCUUCAGGUAAGGUGGUGUUGUAUGUUCCCGUGAAGCUUGGUAUUCCUAUGUUCAGGUAUCUAGUGACUUCCUUCAAGUGGCGUCCAAAGGGUGUAUCUUCAUCCGGUUGGGUGAACUUGUUCCUUGCAUCUGCCAUCCUAAAGAGUAGAAAAGAUGAGAAGUCAGAAGAGAAGAGAGUGAUCUAGGUCUUUAGCUUAGUGGUCGUGUCCUACAGUCAGCGUGUGCUCUGAUACCAUCUCUGUAGCGACCAGACCUCAAACAGUCUGAUCUCUGUGCUCCGGUGUCAUCCCUGGAUCAGUAAUGCUGACACCACACAGUACUCGAAGGAUUUAUAGCAGAGUAGCAAUCACACACUUAUUACAUCGAGUGUCUCAAAAGAGAACUUAUUACAAUAAAUAUGGCUUAAGGCCAUCUAGUGUCGAUAACAGCGGAAGGCUUGGAAGAUAAGGGAGUCCAUCAACUCCAACGGCAUCACUGAGUAUAGAACCACGACCUAAAACUCCUUAAUCGUCGUCUGAAAAGUCUGCAACAUUAACGUUGCAGCCCGAAAACGGGUCAGCACAUGGAAUAUGCUGGCAAGAUAACACAUAGAGAGUAAUGGAAUGCAACAACUAUACUAUAUGCAUAUUUGGCUGGUGGAAAGCUCUAUGGUUACUGUUUUUGCGCAAAGCCAAUUUUUCCCUACUUCAAAGGAAUAGAAUUAAUUACUAUCAUGGUGGUUGUUAAACAUUGAGAAUGGUUGACAGCAUUCUCAAUCCCAAUUAAAAGUACUCAUUAAAAUCCCACAAAAUUAAUUUUAGAGUAACAUGUUGAGAUUCAUAUGAUAAUCCAAGUACUAGAUACUCAAGAUUUGUCCAUAACCGGGGACACGGCUAACCAUUUUUAGUUUAUACACUCUGCAGAGGUUUGCGCACUUUUCCCCACAAGAGUCGAUCGCCUCCGUUUGGUUUCUCGCACUGCAGGGUGUUUGAGAAGACGGAUGACCGAGACACAGUCUUUCAGAAGCGCUAGCACCUUACGACGGGUAGACCGGUACACCUACUUUCCCCUACAUUUGCUAGUCUACCACUGUAAGAGUUCGUACAACUUAGUCAACUAUGCCAGAGCCCAUAAUGGCUUGUGGCUGCACACGGAAGUUUCUAGUAUGAAUAAUCUCAUGAUCCCUUUGGGCCUGGGUGGCGGUCCAAUAAAACAGGCAAGUCCUGGUAACCCCAGGUGCCUCAAUCCACCUAGAUGUGUGUUAGGUUGCCACCUUAGAUAAACCCUUAAUUUUCAAUCUCACAUCUGUCAUGGAUAUCACUCACCCAAUCCACGUCUACUAGCAUAGCAUGGCAUAAUAAGCAAACGUAGAAGAAACUCCCAAAGGUUUGAUAAUAAACAGGUAAUAGGUACUACCUCAUCUACUUCCCAUCCCACAAUUUAAUUAGAUCCUAAUCAUGCAAUGUGUGAGGAUUGAUCUAAUGCAAUAAAACUGGGUUGUAGAAAAGGUAUGAUCAAAGUGUUACUUGCCUUGCUGAUGAUCCGCGAAACCUAGAGAUUCGAAGUAACAGGCGGUGCACUCCGGGUAUUCUAUCGCAGACAAACAACAAUAAGUACUCAUCUAAUGCAUAGGUAAAACUCAAAUAGAAGACCUAACCAGAAGGUUCAACUUAAGAACUCCGGUUGGCAAAAAGAAUCAAAUCGAACGAAGCGAAAGAAAUCAAACGGCGAAAGAAAACAACUUCGUUCUAGUAAUCUGGAUCUAGGGCAAAUUUUACAGUAGCAAAAACUUGUUUAAGUUGAUUAUUUGGAAAGAGGGUUUCGAGACGAAACUCCAAGCGCUUGAAUCGCCUGAUUCCGAUAAACGAGCGAAAAGUUAUACUAAAACGAAAUUCGGAUCAGAAAUCGUGAUCAAAAAAUAACCGCGGAAAAUCCGACGAAAAAGAAAAACGACGAACAGAUUUUUAAAAAAAAUGCACGGAAAACGAGGCGGCGGCGAACCUCGAAAGUCGCGCGGCUCCGGCGGCAGCGGCGGCUGCUGGGGCUAGGGUUAGGGUUUCGGUUCGGUGGGCUGGCUCUCUCUCGGGCCGGGGCGGUCGGCUUAUAAAGCCUCGGCCGGCGGAGUCCAGGCCGAAUACGGCCCGAAGUCGGUUCCCGUUUUUUUUUUAUAAAUCCGCUCGGAAGAAAAAUAAAAAGAAAUACUAAACGGACUCCAAAAAUCAUGAAAUAAAUUUUGCCGGGUUCCUAAAAUCAAACCCGAUAAAGUAAACAUUUAUCUGGGCCCAAACUACAACUUUGAAAAACGCGCAUUUUCCUAAAUUCAAGUAAAAAUACUGAAAAACACCGAAAUAAAACUUAUUUGAUUUUUUAUUAAAUCCUUAAUAUUUCUAUAUUUUGGGAAAGUCAUUUUAUUCCCUCUCUCAUAUUUUUGUAAUAGAAAUAAUUGAUGAUAAAAUAAAUAAAAUCAAAUGAUCCUGUUUACAUAAUUUGAGAAAACUCAAAUACGUAAAUGACGAAAUCCCCAACUCUCUCCGUAGGUCCUUGAGUUGCUUAGGAUUUUCUAGGAUCAAAACCAAAAGCAAAAUAAAAUAUGAUAUGCAUGAUGACCUAAUGUAUAACAUUCCAAAUUAUAAAUUUGGGAUGUUACAUAAGUAUAAAAAAUUUCUAAUCACUACACACUUGACUGUAUUUAGGUGCAUCAUCCAAAAGAAAUUGAAUGUAUUCGUUAAUUUGAUCUAUAAUUAAAAAAUGCAUAAGUGGGACUUGAGAGGGUCAAUCUGUCAUACAGUCAUACAUCAAAACCAAAUCAAAUAGAGUGCAUUGCAUGAGAGAUGACCCCAAGCUCCUGCACAUACAUCAAUCCAAUUCAAAUGUUUCUUUCUAGUUCAUACAAUCCAUACAUACAUCAUGCUGCCAAAAAAGAAUGCAUCAUGUUUUUUUCGGACUCGUAGUUAGUGGAGAGCGCCAAUAGCAGGAAUGGCUCUUGCUGCAGCCACCGGAGGAGCAAAGCAGCAGCAGGCGGUGGAGGAGGUUUGGGAGCUGGCGUGAUCUGGGGCAAUGCUGGGCCUCGAGCACCUGGAGCGACCUAGGGAAAGGACGACAAAUCUCCGACGCGGUGGCGGUGCAGCGGCCAAGGGCCAUGGCGCAGGCUAGGCGAGGCGUCGAUGACCAGAGUCGGGGGAUGGAGGCCGUCCAUGGGCGUAGAGGCGGACGGAGGUCGGCCGGCAGACCAGCUAUGAGGCGCUCGGCCGAUGAGGGCCAGCAGCAGGGGCGGCGCUGGGGAUAGGCCGCGGCGACGACGCCAUGGGGGAGUGGCGCGUGCUUGCUGCGUGUGAGCUCGUGCGGGGACCAAGGAGCAGAGGAGCGGCAGUAGGUGCGGCGAACCGGUGGCGCUCGGCGUCGACCUUGGCGAGGACGAGUAUGGUAGCAACCUGCGGCGGAGGGAGUCGGUGGUGGAAAUCGCCGUCGUGCGCGGAGGGAGUCGGUGGCGGAAGUCGCCGUAGUGGGCGGAGGGGCUCGGCGGUGGAGGGCUUGGUCGUGGCAGCGGCGGCGUUGGUUGGGGAGGAGGGUUGGGGACGAAGGUUCGGUUUGGGGGAAACUGGUCGGGCCGGCGGCUAUAUUUCUUUUGGUGCGAACAGUUUGGGCUUCUUUGCGCGCUUGGCCCAAUAACUUUAGGUAUCCUGCUAUGGGCCUCCCGGCAGACUACGGGCCAGGGUUUCACUGUGCCGGCAGAUAGGGUGACCUUAAUUAGUGCCGGCAGUGUGCAUGCCUUCUUGUAUGUAUUUCUCCCGGCAGUUUGUCCACCUUUAAGUACUUCUGCCGGCAGUAACACGAUCCCCGGCAGAUGGUUUGCCCCAGUUCUGAUAUUUCUCCCCGCAGUUAACUGCCCCCAAUCAAGUGUUGUGGUGUAGUGGUCAAAAGCUGGUGGGCCAGCCCAUGGAAAGCCUGUUAACGGCAUGUUCGCAUAUAGCCCAUUUACAGCCCGCUAAUCCAAGGCCCGUUACGCCCUACCCGAAUUAGGCCCAGUAGCGUCAUCUGGGCCGUCCAAUAUGAUUCCAGCCUGUUUUCACUUCUGGCCCAUGUAUAGCCCAUGACGUCUUUCGACCCAUAUGAGGCCCUUUGUAACUCUUGGCCCAUUAGCGGCCCGUGCUGAAACUGGCCCGUAAUGAACAGUGUAUUACUUUACACCCAUUAACGGCCCGUGGUGAAACUGUCCCAUAAUGAACAGUGUAUCACUUUAUACCCAUUAACGGCCCGUUAUUCCGUUGGGCCGUUUCCAGCCCAAGUUAACUUUCGGCCUUCUGAGGGCCCAUUUAUUCUUGGGCUCAUUUGUAGCAUUCGGUUACUUACGGCCCGUUACUGUCAUUUUCUGUUUGUGGGCCAAAUUCAGCCCAUCCUUACGGUCGGCCCGUUUGCGGACCGUUAGUCUGUUGGGCCAUGUUCAUAGCAUCACCAAAUACGGCCUAUUAAUGGCCCGUUAUGGUCAGCCCAUAAAACGUACGAUUUCCAUUAAAGUCCCAUCUACUGCCCAUUAAAGGCCCGUACAAGACCCAUAAAUGAGCCGGCGGCCCAUGGAUCCUACGAGAUGUACAAGGCCCAUGGAUCCUACGAGACGUAGAAGGCCCAUGGAUCCGACGGCACGUGAAGGGCCAUGGUCGGGCGAAUUGGCCCCUGUUUGAAUGAUAUAACAUAUUCAAAGGAUUAUCCUACUCAAUACUAUCACCUCUAAAAAGCCUACACUAUUACAACAAAGAGAUCAAGGCAUAGAAAGGUAGAAUAAUCCUACACUAUACAAUAAAGAAAUUACAGCCGAUUAUACCCACUGGGCAUUAUGGUUCGGCACAGGUGAUAACAAUGCAUACACAAACAACAAAUUACAUACACUGGGCAAAUACAGCUCAUACAUCAUGGACGCGCAUCAACUUAACUCCGAUUGAACUAUAAUCUCUUCAGAAAAUAGGAUUGGCCGGAUUCAGAUAGCACAAAUUUCAGUCUGCAAAAUCUCCAAUUCCUUCAUGGUUACCUCCGUGUCUUGUUUCAUUUUUUGACUCCUGCAUCUAAUACCUGCAUGUCCAGUCUCAACUUGUUGAUUAUACAUUGACAAUCAUGUACACGUUGUCUUGCCAUCUCUAGUUGAUGAUCGAGAACAUCAGCACAUUCCAAUUCCAAACCAUAAUCAUUCGGUAACGGCCAUGCCGCACUGCUCGCAGAUCUUUGUGUUGAUGUCACUUCAUCCUGAAAUGUUGCUGUAAGUACACAUCACUAGGGCAAAAAUAUAGUUACAACAGUGAAGCGAACAAGACACUAUUUUGUACUACCUGGCAAAACAGGACUAACAAUAAUGUUACACGUCACUUUAGCAGGCAAAACAUACUAUAGCAGAGGGUUUCAUACAAACAUACUAUAGCAGGCAAAACUAUGCAAUCAUUAGCGUAGUAUAAACUAGAUUGUGAGCCUCAUGCAAUAAUAGUUGGUUAAUAGUCUUCAAAGCUUCAGGCACACUUCGGCAGAGUAAUUAAAUGGUAAGGCCUUUAAUUAUGUCAACUAAUAGUGAUACAAGUACAGAACAUUAGGCAUGAUUAUUUGGGCAUCUCAUUAACUGAGGAGAAAUAAAGCAAUUGAAAAGAGAAAAUUAAUUAUGCCUGAAACAAACAAGGAAUUGAACUGUUGAGUUGCAUACAGUGACUUACCUUAGCAGGUUGAAGAGGCUCAGCGCAGCUCCUACUUCUCUUGCAAGGCUCCUUCCUAACAUCUUGUACUUGGAAAUCCUCAAUCUUAUCUUCAUUGCACCCCCUCUGCAAGGUGACACAAACUAGUUACUCGUCUCCUUGGAAGAUAAAUAUGCAUACUUUCCAGUCUGUGAACACAAAAGAAUGAGAUUAUAACAAAACAACACCACAUAAUGAAACAUGCCGCAUCUCUUGCACUUGCACACAAUGAAAUGAGCAUUUACUAUGUCUGCACUAUGUAAAAACUAGGCAUACCUUCGAACUGGAUCUCCGGGUACUCUUGGAGAGCCUACUAUAGUGUACAACCAAACCUUUAUGUCACCUAUGAGUUAGACAAGGCCCCACUACAGCAGCCCUUACUGUUUAAAUCGUUGAAAAGCUAUGUUAGAGUGUUAUGUCAAGAACAGCAAGUAAUCAAAGCAAACAGUCCUAGUAUGGCUGGCUGAUGCCAACAAGCAAUUGAACAGAUGUGUGAGCAAAUCUUACAUAUCAAGAAAAGAAGCAAAGAAGGAGGCUUAAAGACCAUCACUUGACUGACUAGAUUUAAGGGGCAUUUAAACAUCAUGUGCAACAUAUCAACUAACAUAAACAUUGCAUAUUUCCAGAUUUUACAAUGGAAUGCACAUGUAUUAGGUUAUGCCAUGUAUGUUGAUGCCUAAAUGUACAGAUAGCAGGCAGGAAUGAUUCAUCAUUGCACACACAAUUGAAUUGCAGGUUAAGGGCCAGUUCAAUUCCGCCUUUUCAGGGCAUAUUGUCAAAAUAAGCCAUAAAAUAUGUAAAGAAGUCAUUUUUGAGUUAUGGGCUUGGGCUUAACUAAUUUCGCUUUGGAGGGGGGUGUUUCGGGUAGAAUCUCACUAAAAAUUGAAGGGAAGGGGAAUAGUGAAAUGACUCUGUUGUCUGCCUAUAUUACACUCAAAAUGCAACUGCUGACGCCCGUGUCAUACCUGAUCGUCAAGUAAAAACAAACACGCAAGCAUUCAUUGCCCUGCCCGCUUGCAUCUGCUCUCCCCUUUCCACUAUACGAUGAAUUGCUAUGAGCUGCUUCUGCUACUGCUAUAUGAUGCAUUGCUAUGAGCUGCUCCUGCUGCUGCUAUAUGAUGAAUUGCUAUGAGCUACUGCUGAUGUAUGAUGAGUUGCUAUGAGCUGCUGCUGCUAUAUGAUGAUUUGCUACAAGCUGCUCCUGCUGCUGCUAUAUGAUGAGUUGCUACAAGUUGCUCCUGCUGCUGCUAUAUGAUGAAUUGCUAUGAGCUGCUCCUGCUACUGCUAUAUGAUGAAUUGCUAUGAGCUGCUGCUGGUAUAUGAUGAAUUGCAGACUGCUGCUGCUGCUGUAUGAUGAGUUGUUAUGAGCUGUUGCUGCUGCUAUAUGAUGCUUUCAGGUGGUGGUGCUAUACGAUAAUAACCAACCACUUGGACCAUCGAAUUUCAAUAAAUAAUUGUUCUUCAUUUAAAUGUGGGUCAUGCGUUCUUCGUUUAAAUUAGGCAAUGGGAUCUCUAUGGAAAACAUUGACCAAAGUAGAUUGUGCCAAGUAGAUGGUAUCUUUGUAUUUGCAUUUUGAGCAAAUAGUGAUGGUCUGUUUUCCUAUCAUAUUAAUUACUGCACUGGAUUCAAUUUGUGAUGUUUGCAAGUCAAAUUAAUUUCCAUAUGGGUAGCAAAAUGAAAAAAAUAUGAUGCAAUCUAGACUUUCCACUAAUCAUACCAAAGAUAAGCUGAAAACGCAAUAAAAAUAACUGGUUGGCUUAUUACAUGGAGCUUAUAUUCACAGGUGCUUAUUUUCUUAGGAUAACUCGUAAUAAAUGUCCCUAAGAAACUUGGCUAAUAGAACUGGCAUACAAAUAACAUGUCACGAUGAUUGCAAUGGAGGAGUGACGUACCAUGGCACACUGUAUAGGCUCACCGAUGCAUAUCCUUUUUCUUGCGAUGUUCCAUGAAAUUGCCACAUACAUCUUGUACUUUUUCAUUGUGUAACCCUAUCUGCAAAUUGACACGGCUAAUUUCAAACAUCUCUACAUGAUACUACAUUGCAUAUCCCUUGCGCAUAUUUAAACCACCAAUUAACGAUUGUGUGCGUACCAUAAACUAGCCAUGACUCUGUAUGCUGGACUAGCAGGCACUCUAAGGGAGCCUAAUGUAGUGCACUAGAAUUCCUACAUGCCACCUACGAUUUUGUGUAAUGUACUGCCCCGGUUCCUAAAUAUAUGUCUUUGUAGAAAUUCCAGUAUGGACCACAUAUAGAUGUAUAUAGAUGCAUUUUCGAGUGUAGAUUCACUCAUUUUGCUCCAUAUGUAGCCUAUAGUGGAAUCUCUAGAAAGACUUAUAUUUAGGAACGGAGGUACGAGGUAGUAUCAUGUAUGACAUCUACAUAUCUAAUUUAGCAGCCAGUAGUAGAAAUCAUUGUCUGCACAAAGGGAUUACUGGUCGAAAAUCCUAGCAAAGCACGCUGGCAGGCACAGAACAAUACAAGAGAGAGAGAGAGAGACGCGCUUACAAGAUCAUAGCAAUGCCUCAGUCCAGGAUCUUGGUUGGCCAAGCUGUUAGAUCCAGAAGAAACAUCGUCCUUGUAGUUUUUGCCAGCUGCAUAACAGGUAACAGCGACCGGUUAGUAUAUUUGAAGUACAUCGUGCAGGUGAUGCUGGACGGGUUUAAAGGUGACAAGUACCUAGGCCGUGGAGGGUGCUUGGCAUCUCUCCAGACUAUGGGAAUCAGGUUAGAAACGUCGAGGGUGAUGACGCUGCGCUGGCUGUCGGGGUCCGGUAAGGAGAUCUAGAACCGUCAAGUAGGGUGUUUGUGGAGCGGCUCCGGUAGGGUGGACUACGGUGUGGGCGAAGCGGAUCUAUGGUUGUGGACGAGGGCGUAGGUGAAGCUGCUCCGGUGGUUGGGUUAAGGAUGGUGUCGACGAUACGGAUCUGUGGCCGUGGACGGGGCGUCAGAAGCUGCUUCGGUGGUUGGGUUAAGGGUGGUGUCGACGAUGCGGAUCUACGGCCGUGGAUGGGGCGUCAGAAGCUGCUCCGGUAGGUUGGAUGAGGGUGCGAGGAAGCGGAUCUGAGGCCGUGGACUUGUGAGUUGGCAAAGCGGCCCCGGUAGGGUUGAGAAUGAUAUAGGAGAAGCUACUCCGGUAGGGUUGAGGAAGGUGUCGGCGAAGCGGCUCCGGUAGGGUUGAGGAAGGUGUCGGCGAAGAGGAUCAGAGGCCGUCGACGGGGGCGUCGGUGGGGCGGCUCCGGGGGGUGUGGAUGAAGCGUCUCCGGUGGGGAGUACGAAUGAGCCCAGAUGCGUGGCGGUUGACGAGAGUACUGGCGAAGCAGAUCUGGCGCCGUGGACAAGGUCGGCAUUGAAUGGGCUGUGGUACAGUGAUGGAUGAGCAGUCUACUUGUUUCUAGGGGAGGUGGGAGGCGUAGAUGCGGCCACAGAAGCAGAUCCGGCGAGGUGGACGCCGCUGGCAGUGAAUGGGCUAUGGUACGCUGGUGGAUGAGCAGUCUAGGGUUUCGAGAGGGGAGGGGAGAAAGGGCGAUGAAGUACGGAUGGCGUGAUGUAAGAUGCUCUGGUGUUGUGGAGUUAGUCGUUUUUUGCAAGAGGGGGAGAGGAAAUGGGGGUGCCCUGUAGUGGGGGAACCGGAAGUUACACCUAUCAUGUAGAUGAGGGCGGUAUUGUAACUGUUGGUCUCCAUGCACCAAGGACAAAAGGGGGAUUUCGCAUGCUAAAGACUAAGGUGGUGGAAAUUUUAGAAGGAGGCGGGAGAUUUUGCCGCCCGCGGGAUCGUUCGUAUCUAGUUUCAACUAAUUUUGGACCGUGCUAGCGGGAAGGUCAUGCUAGAUUGUGUACACGGGGCACGCGUCAGCAGUUAAUAACUGGUGUGAAGUUCACCCCAGGAAAAAUACAAUAACUCGGGAUGAUGCGCUGAUAACUUGGACGUUCACACAGGCGCGGCCAAUCGUACGGGUGUAGUGGCGCGUUCACAAAAAAGGGAUCAAACGCUCAGCCUAUGUAUUUCUUGUGUAAAUAGAUAAUUUAGUGUCAUUGGUUAUUUACUUUAAACAUAAUGCAUUGACGUGUUAGUGUAGAGGCGCACAAAAAGAAAUGGAUAUUGUAGUCAGCUACUUAAAAGUGUUACCUCAUAUGAUUACAUAGCCUCCAUUUCAUAAAUUGCGUAGCCGUUGAAUUCAUAUAUGAAUAUUACAUAUAUUACUUCAAAAUAGAAACUUAAAUCAUCCAAGACUAAUGAAUUUGAAUGCAAGAGUAACAAUGGUGCAUGUUCAUGAUAGCUACAUUGGUAGUUUGAAGAAACAUCAUUGUAACUUUGGCAUGCACAACUAAAAAGGCUUAUUUAAAUAGAAAAAAAUGUGAUAUGUGAGUGUCCAAUCUUUAUAGCGUUGAAUCGAUAUUGUACCUUUGGCCACGAUACGAAGUAUAUAUUGACUUAUGUUCAAGCGAUGCACGUCCACGAUCGCUAGAUAAUGAUACGUGAAUGAAUUGUGCAAUCUCUCUCACACGCAUACAUAUCUCAUUUCCCUGUGGGCAUCAGAAUCACACAUGCGCACUUCGUGUAUUUCUCUCCCUCCAUCAGGGUUAAAUUCGUCUUUCUACCCCGUCCUACAAGUCUCUCACACAGAAACACACACGCUCUCUAUGUCUAACACGCCCACCCCUUUAAUUCCGCCCACCCCCAGCCACUAAUGUCUCUCACACAUAUGCUAUCUACCUAUCCCUUAAUAUAGCUAGAUAUGUGUCACACAAACUUCUUCUCCCUACUAGCAAGAUGCCCAUGCGUUGCACAGAACAUCAAGAUGCAUUUGUAUGAGAAGUUUAUCUUGUGGGAGAAAAGGAUGAACGAGGGAAUGCCUUAUUUGCAAAUGCGGAGGGGGUGUGGGUAUCUUUUUGCAAAAUUGCCAUAGUUUCCUUCUUGUCCGUCGGAUAUAAACUGGAUGGCCUAUAUUGCAAGAUGGCAGGAACACCAUCAUCACCAACUCUGUUUUUUAUAAGAGUAGAGAUAUGUGAGUGUCACUGCCCCCCUCCCCACACACCCACACUUCCCAACACCAAAGGAGUAGGGUGACACCUCAAUCUUGAUACUAAUCUAUCGACUGGCUUCUCUCUCAAACAUACACACACACACUACCCAGCACUGAAGGAGCUAGUAGGGUGGCACAUCGAUCUUGAUAAUAAUAUAUCUACUCCUCUUUCAAACACACACACACACACACUCGCUAGUUGUGCCUCUGUGCCUACCGCGCACACUCUCGAUACGUCUUUCNNNNNNNNNNNNNNNNNNNNNNNNNNNNNNNNNNNNNNNNNNNNNNNNNNNNNNNNNNNNNNNNNNNNNNNNNNNNNNNNNNNNNNNNNNNNNNNNNNNNNNNNNNNNNNNNNNNNNNNNNNNNNNNNNNNNNNNNNNNNNNNNNNNNNNNNNNNNNNNNNNNNNNNNNNNNNNNNNNNNNNNNNNNNNNNNNNNNNNNNNNNNNNNNNNNNNNNNNNNNNNNNNNNNNNNNNNNNNNNNNNNNNNNNNNNNNNNNNNNNNNNNNNNNNNNNNNNNNNNNNNNNNNNNNNNCUCGAUCUGAUCAUAAUCUGUCAAUUGGUUUCUCUCUCAAACAUUGUGUCUCGGUGCCUCGCUCGGUAGCCCCCUCGAUAUGUAGACUUCUCGCGCGCGCACAACUGUAGUGACGAUGACGCUGAACCCAGUGUGCCUUGUUUUUACCGGCCUCAUGUGAUAGUUUUCACCCUGUUUUCUGUUAAUUAACAAGGCAACCUUUUCUUUGUUACUACUAGUGAAUCUGAAAUCAUUCGGGGCAGACAUAAAAUAUAUCACUUCAACCCAAUUAUCGCAGCAACUAUUUUAAAAUAAAUAAGCUAGCUGCCCGUGCGUUGCACGGAACAUCAAGAUGCAUUUGUAUGAGUAGUUUAUCUUGUGAGAGAAAAGGUUGAACGAGGGAAGGCCUUAUUUCCGAACAUGGAGAGACGUGUGGGUAUAUUUUUGCAAAAAUGCCAUAGUUUCUUUCCUAUCCGUUAGAUAUAAAUCCAAAGGCCUAUAUUGCAGGAUGGCAUGCACACCAUCAUCACCAACUUUGUUUUCUACUCCCUCCGUCCAAAAAUACUUGUCAUCAAAAUGGAUAAAAAGAGAUGUAUCUAAAACUAAAAUAUGUCUAGAUACAUUUCCUUUUAUCCAUUUUGAUGACAAGUAUUUCCGGACGGAGGGAGUAUUUGUCUUUUUAGAGAUUUCAACAAGUGACUAUGACCGGACCUUACCAACAUAUUCAAAAAAGUAGUCCAUAAUUUUGAUGUUACCCUCUUUUCUUGGCGGUGCAGUGCCAUCUGGAUACCUCAUAAAUAAAUAAAGAACUACAUGAUACUAAUAUAUGAUACAUGGCGCAGAAGUACUAAGUAUUAUUAAUACAGUUUUGCUAGAACUCAUCUAGAUGAGAUAUAAUUUGGUCUCAUUCAUCUUUUAUAGCCAUUGGAUGUGAUGCUAUAUAAGAUGCGUGUGUGCUGACGUGGGUUUUAUUUGUUCUUGUGCAACGAACUGACCACUGCAUGUCAUGUUUGAUAGUCUCAAGUCAUUAAAAGCAUACAAGCCCCACAUCUCUUCUUGGUUGAUUCCUCUAUUUAUGUCAAAAAAUAAGAAACAACGUGAGAGUUAAUGCACCACGCCUAUGUGCUUACUAUUUGGUUUUCGUAAGAUGACUUAAUACUCACCUAGAUGGAGGGAGUAUUCGAUUUGACAGUGGGCGGCGCAGUUCCCGAUACGGCUUUAAUGCAGACGAGGGAGGGAGUAGCGGUUCCCGAUAUGUUGAACGGCCAAUGCAUCCUCCUUCAAUUAAUGCAUGUGGGAAGUAAUGGGAGGAGGUCGGGGAAAAGAGGUUGCACGAUGUGAAUGCAACACAGUUUGCCCUCAUUGCCCUCAUAUAAAGGCGCCCCUCCAUUCCAAUGCAUCUACCACAUCAUACGCACCUAGCAUUUGCCUAAGCACCUACACUAAGCGCAAAAGAGCUCACUCCAGACCCAUGGCGGCGAUGCGCGUGAGCGGCCAGCGGCUGCGCCAGAUGGUCCACGACGCCGGCCUGCGGCAUGGCACCGAGGAUCAUCUCUAGACGGUGUUGGAGACCUGCUGGUGGAUGGCCGCCGUCGAUGCCAACUAUGACUCUCAGUUGGACCAAAUGAUCGUUGCCAGCAGCAACAAGUUCACCGUCCUCAAGAAGCUCGCGGACGACAUCGCCGUACUCAUCCAGCUCGCGUGCCCAGGCUCCUCAUUGCAUGCCACCCUAAUCGGCCUCCAUGGCCGGAACCUCUUUCAAGCACUGGUGGCCUUGCGACUGCCCGCCGACGCCAUGAAGAAUGUCCACCUGGAGGUCGCGCUCGCCGCGAGGCGCCUCGCCCUGCAAGAAUUCGUCGACCUACACAUCCACGUGUACGAGCAAAUCAUGUACAUAGGUAUCUACAAGGCCAGUGAGGACACUACGAUGUUGGCCUUCCUCAACCGGCUGGAAGCCUUGGGUGCCUUUGCUGAGAAGCACCUCGACCUCGCCACAAAAGCCGCCGCUCCUUAGCCGCCGGUCGGUGGCCCGACGCACUAAGUUGAGGAGGAGGAGAUUGUACAUUCGUGCAUCCAUCUUUCUUCUUGCCUUCUGUAACCACCACUGCGAUCGCAUCAUCGUGGCCUUAAAUCUUAUUGUGCUGUUGCAUUCUCGUUCCAGUCAAUACCGACAUGUGCGAUCCCUUUGCUUAAUUAUAUGCAUCACUAUAACUAGUACUCCAUCCGUCAAUUUAUAACUUGUGCUUACCUUUUCCAUCAACUUCGUGUAACGAGCGGGCAUCUUGCUAGAAACACUAGAAUAUGUCUAUAUAAUCCGUAUGUGAUAGUCCAUUUGAAAUCUCAAAAAAUACAAAUAUUUAGGUACAGAGGGAGUAAUAUAUUAGGAGUAUAUCAAAACAAUAGUGAUUUCUUUCAAAUUUGUGAACAAAUACUACUAUUCUACUACUUUGGAUCCGUGCAAUGCACGAGCACAUUGCUGGUAAAAGGAAAAGGCUUGCCGUGUUCACGUCGCACCCCCACACGCCCGGGAAUCGGGAGUACAACACGGCCCGUCCGGCACGACACAUGGCUUAGGGAUGGCGUGUUGCCUAGCAUUUUCACUUUCAUGUGGGACCGUCGUUAAGCAAACCGACACCCCGCCCGCCGCCGGGUUGGAAAAAAGAAACGAGGGGAAGAUCUAGUUGUAGCACGGAAGCCAAGAAAUUUGGUGUCAGACGGGGCUCGUUGAUAGAGUAGGAGCAUUCCGUACUAGUACUACUCCUACUAGUACCAAGUUUGUACUCCUAAUACUAUAUUACUAGUACUACCACUAUACAACUAGUAGGUACGUGCAUGACACAACAUCGUAGGAAGAAAAAAUGGGAAGAUCUUGUUUUGGGUGAUUUAUCUAUUUUUCAAUCAACAUAGUAUGAAUAAUAUGAUGUGGGGGGCACCCAUGAAGCUUAUGUGGCUUGGUUGCAUGGCUACGGAAGGUUAGAGAAAAUUAAAUAGAUAAUGUGUUUAGAGUGCACUCCACUAAAUAGAUAUAUAUAUAUACUUUGGACCCAUUGCAACGGACCGGCACAUCUAUAUCUAUACCCCCCAUAUAGUGUGUGAAAAUCUUUGAAAGUUGGUCAUUGGAUGAAGCCAAUCCGACGGUACAAAUAUGGCAAAUCCGAGCACUACUGGCCGUUGGAUAUCAUCCACCAGAUUCUGCCACAUGUAUAAUCUAGAAGACUCCAUGGUUGAACUUAAUUCAUGACUAAGGGCCUCUUUGAUUCAUAGGAUUGCAGAAACACAGGAAUAGGAAAAAAGUAGGAUUGGAAUGGCAUGUUCAUUGGAUCCCUAUAGGAUUUGAGUUUGUUUGAUUGUGUCACAUGAAAAACAAAGGAUUUCUUUCAAGAGGUUGGAGUGCAUGUUAGAAUUCCUGUGAAACGUAGUACAAAUGAAUCUUUAGGAAAAUAUUCUACAUGAUUCAAUCCUACGAAUCAAACGACCAACGUAGGAAAAAUUCAUAAGGAUUCUAAUCCUUCAAAGAUCCUAUGAAAAUCCUUUGAAUCAAAUAGACCCUAACUUUGCCAAAACUAAGCUUAGGCAAAGUUAUUAGUUCUUCAAAACGAGAGAAACAAGUUGGCAAGCCUAAGGGAAUCUUGCCACAUUUUUUGUGUGUAUGUCAUGUGGGGCCUUAGUGUGGCUUGCCUAAGGUGUGGAUUGCCUAAGGUGUGGCUUGAAUCAAACACUCGCCUAAGUUAAUCAAACUUGCCUAACCUUACAUUCCACCAGAUUUUGCCACAUGUUAGAAUCCAGAAAGCUCCACAUGUAGAAGCAUAAUGCACAAACCACCAGAAUCUCAUGUGUGCAAUGCGUGUGUACCUUACUAGUACUAGUUGGUAGUAGUAAGAAACAAAUUCUAGUUUUGGCACGAGCUCGUACUGCGGGAGCACCACAAGGCCUGCCGCAAGAGUUACAUUUCCCUCUCGGGGCCCACGGGACCGAACUUCAGUGGCUUAGUGGUAGAAACAAGAAACGUGAUGGUCGUCGUGGUUCAAGUUCCAUGGACAAGCUGUCAUGUCUGCUGACACAUGUAUAUCAAAACUAGAGUGUUUAUAUUUCAAGCACAAGAACAAGUAUUAUUCUACUACUUUGGAUCCAUUGCAACGCACGGGCCAGCACAUUGGUAGUAGUAGUGUCCAUCUCUAUCUCUAGAGGCCUUCCCUCGUUCAUCCUUUUCUCUCACAAGAUAAACUACUCAUACAAAUGCAUCUUGAUGUUCCGUGGAACGCACGAGGAUGUUUCUUUGGGGGUCUCUCCAGCGCGGCAUGGCCAUAGUUGCAAUUUGACGCCCCUUGGGAUGCCGACGUUGAGGGGCACUCGGAUUUCCUCCGAUGAGCAGGUACGAUGAGUCUGAUCAUGUAGUAAAUGCAUUCUAAAUACUACUUCCGUGUACAUUUCCUAAUUCUCCCCCUGCCCACUGUUUCACAGGUUAGGCUCGGUGCGAGUGGAGAUUGGCUUGCAUAUGUACGGGAGGGUACCAACAUCAAUUUGCACAACAUUUACAACGGUGAAACCGUUCCCAUAGAACCUUUGUCCAACAUUGGGAUCAACCAUGCAACGGGCCACCGCAUGAAUUGGUACGAUGGAACCACAGUGAGAUUGAAUAAGAUAGCACGAACCUUGCACAUGGCGGUCAAAGGCGGACCAUGCUAUCUGCGGCCGAUUUGUUGUCGUACGAGUAGGAAGACGCUGUGCUCCUUUCUAACCGCAUCUGCGCGGUGACAAACCAGGGGACUUAUUUUGUAUGGGACACAUCCUACGAUAUACUCCCUCUCUCCUAGUUUAUUUGUUUUGAAUCUUUUCAUUUUAUAAGUUUCAAAUUCAAAUUUAGAGCUCCCCAUCACAUGUUGAGAUUACAAUGUCCAUUAAAUCGUUGCGUUCAUGUAUAGUAAAGAAACGAAUCUCGAGUUUGGCAUGAGUUCAUGCUGCGGGAGCACCACAAGCCCUGGCGCAGGAGUUACAUUUCCCUCUCAGGGCCAUCGGGACUGAGCUUCAGCGCCUUACUACACCUACCUUUGACUCAAUAACAUGUGGACCAGAUAGGUGACUGGUCCACAUAUAAUGCUCCCAUAGGCAGAGGGGCAGUGGCGCCAAGAGGAGUGAGCCGCAGGUCGGGGGACGUGUGGUUUCAUGGGUUCGAGCGGCAUUGUGGGAAUCGCGGAUGGCUGUGGUAGAAACUUGAUGCUCUCCGCAUUUUAGGUGGCCCACAUGUCAUGCACACAAAGGCAGAGGGGCGGUGCGGCCGAGAGGGGUGAGGCGCACGUCGGGGGGCGUGGUGCCGUGGGUUGGAGAGGCGUCGUGGGAAUCGCGAGAUGAAACGUGAUGGUCGCCGUAGUUGAACUUCCAUGGAGAAGCUGUUAUGUCUACGGACACAUGCACUGCAUACCGAUCACUGGAAGGAGUAGCAGAGAAAGCUAUAUAUGCGGAUAAAUAGUUCCUUAUAGUCAAGUGGACCCACGCUACUACUCUGUUCCAAAGACAUGCACACCAUCGAAAUAGUCCAUCUACAUAAAUAUACACCGAGAGGGAAUAAUUUUUUUACAAGAGAGGAAAUAGUUUAUCCAUCCAUAAUGCCCUCCUGCUGGUGCAACCUUUUCUUCUUCUUCUUCUUCUUCUUCUUCUUCUUCUUCUUCUUCUUCUUGUUCUCAUUCUCUGUGGGAGACGGCUUCACAACAAGCUCUUUGGACCUUGGAGCUAUCUUGAAACUCACACGGGCAUCGAGGGCAGCAUAUUUUAUCUGCUCGUACGUCAAGGGAUAAUUCUCCCAUCCAGACGACCUUAAUGCCACUGUCUCGUCACCCUUCUGAAGAUUUGUACUGAGCACAAAAUUUGCUACGUCGAAUAGGGAUGGUGUCUGUUUAUCACAAACUUCUAUAGGAAUUUUGAUUCUGGUUUGUAGGUCAGCGAUGCUAUUCAAAUCAAGCUUGUACGGCUCCAGCUUCUGUUUGUCCCCUUCGAUGGCUGCCCCACAGAAGUAUACGUCCUCCCGUGACAAGAAAUCGUGAAGCUCACCUGGUAUGGAGGGCGAGUGUAUGAUGUGGUACACCAAAACAUCAUCUUCGAAGCACAGCUGAAGGACGGCGGCGCGCUGGAUCUUCCCAGGGGCACGCUCCGUGUACUCUGCGUCGAGACCGAUGACCCUCGUCUCUACCUUUUCGAGGGAGUUGGAUACAUUGUUGAUCCACUGCCGAACAACCCUUGGGUGGACGGUGACAGUGGCAACUAUGCGCAUCGAGCCUUCCACGAGGACAUGUUGGACGCUAAAAACCUGCAUCUCGAUCUCUAUCGCCAUUUGGAACCGCUGGAACGGAGGGCUAUGGUUUGGAGAAUUAGGAUUAGAUGGCUAGUCUAACUGAAGUAGUAGAUGAUUAUUUAAAGAGGUUAAAACAAUGUGAACGCAGUGGGGUUUGGAUGCAAAUGAAGACGAAGGGGAGGUGAAGAAGCCGAGGAGAAUCGGUUCCCGAUGGAGAAGUAAAUGGAAGAAGUGGCGUGCAGGCAAUUGAUUUGACGUCUAGGUAGACUAAACGAAAAGGCUAUGCGGGUAGACUGAUGAGUCGUACCUGUUCAUGUACGUGCCCAUCCUGGGACCUAUGCAAACGGAUAAAAAUGUGUCGUAGUUUUUUUUUUGAGCGCAUGAGUGGGAGACACAACAUUCUCUGGUUAAGGAAUACUCCCUCCGUUUAGGUGAGUAUAAGUCACCUUAUGAAAAUCAGGUUUUCCGAAAACCUUUAGGCAUGGAGCAUUAACUUCCUGGUCGAUCCCCUGCCAGCCUCGUUAGCCAGCGUUCUCUUCCUCUGCUGCCGCGUUCUACCUUUCCAUUUUUCCUCUUCUCAAGUGUGGAAUGAUCUGCAUGCCGUCCUUGAUGCACCAGAACGACCACUGCAUGCAUCGCGGCAGAGCGUUGAUUGGGCAUGCACGAGAAUUUGGUUCUGCUCGCAAUGUGGAUGAUACCUGAACGAUGAAGUGAACAGGCAUGCUAGCACGGGAGACCUAUUUACGCUAUACAAUACUAGAGUACUCAUGUACCUACUGGUAGUAGUAGUAGUAGUACAACUGUGGUACACUUGAUGGUCAAAAUACUAUUCACCCGGUCCUCAAAGUGAAGUGACAACACCCUGCGCCUGACACUAGUCCAGGUGGCCUGUUCGGGUUACCAAAGUCAGCCUCACCAGUGCAGUCUGUCACCGCCGCUGUACAGCACAUUGGCGCCUCGCCUCGUCUCCCUCUCCGCUCCCAUAGCACCACUCCAUCUCCAUCUCCUUCUCCGUCUCCAUCUCACUGUGCCCCCGUGUACCGUUGCCUCACUCGCCUCCCCCAGUACCACUAUUCCCUCACUAGCCGCUCCAGCACCGACAUCCUUCUCCCCCGUAAAUCAAGCCCCCUUCCAAACUCCACCAUGGCCAAAUGUGAACCGCGCAGCAUCCAUAUGAGCCUCGAUUGGAGCAAUCUCCCCAGUGACAUCCUCGACCUCUGUUGUUCGUGUAUGGAUAUGUUGAGCGCCCUGCGGCUGGCUGCAUGCUCGAGGGACAUGCACACGGCCAUCGUGGAAGCGAGGCCUAAGCUUUUCAAGACACCCUGCUUGCUGCUAUCUGGUCUUGCGAGAUUGGCUCACCAUGAUAUGGAGGCGUGCAUGAUGCCCCUCGACUUCAAUCCGAUCUCCAUUAGCCGAAACUUCUUUGCAGGUAUGUAGUGGGUCGUCGUACAUCAUUUCCCUCAACAUCGAUCCGGUCACCAUCGCCUGAAACUUCUUGGCAGGUAUGUACUGGGUCGGCAUGAACUCCCACUGGAUGGCCGCCUUCAGAGAAGACGGUAAAAAGUUGGUGCUCGUGAACUUCUAGACCUCCCAUGAGAUUAUCCUUCCUCCGUUGGAUUAUAUAGAGUAUUACCAUUGCGGUCUAAGUCUUUUAGAUUACUACAUCAGUUGGACGGACCUUGUUUUGCAGAAGAUUGUAAUUUGCCAAGUGCCCACACGACAUGCGAAUUACCCAGACUUCAAGCUAAUUGCCUUGUUCCACCGCGGACUCGCCUAUCUUUACGCCGGUGCCUUCUUUAGCUGGAGACAACUCGGCUCACAGUGGAUCAUCGUCAAAGCUGAUACACACUUCUGUGAUGAUAUUGAGCACAAUGGCAUCAUCUACGCGAUCGACAAAGCAGAUGGCACCACGUAUUGCUGGGAUGGCACGUGUAAGUUGUUUCCUCUCAUGUUAAUGAUGAUGCCAUGACACUGUUUGAACUUUUUGUGAUGAUUGGCAUAUCUCUGUUUGAGCAGAAUUUGAGUAGAACUAUGGCAAUGUAUUACAGACGCUGUAAAUCAGCUAUAUUUGGAAUGAGUUAAUUCAUGUGAUUGUGACCAUGUCAUUACAGCCAAUUUGUACCCUGAAUAAUCAAACAGUUAGGAAUAUAUGGAUAUUAUCCUUAUUUUACAGUAAUCUAUAUACUACUACUAAAUAUGAGUGUGUAUCAAUGGCCAUGUUAGUUUCCUCAGUUUCAUGAUGUAGAAACAUGCACCACACUGUUGGUUUCAUCUAACCAUACAUUAGGGAAGUAAAUGUGCAUAUGGAGAACUCUAUAUUUGGAAGUAGUGAAAUCCUGCAAUGCUUACCAUGUGUGCAUACCUAUAUUCGCCCUUCGGCAAUCAAUGGAUAGAAUAAUAUCCUCACAAAAAGUUUGCCCACGGAACACGAGUAUAUAACAAUGCAUGGUCUGUUAGUUACCUUGAAGAAUUUUUUUGUGAGGACAAAACAUGAUUACAUAACAUGCAUGACAUGGUAGUUUCCUGUGAAGAAUCGAUUACGAGAUAACAUGAGUAUAACCAUGCAUGGCACUUCUAUAUUUUCGAACCUAGUAUACAUUUUCCUGUAUUUUCCUCCCAGUUCCAAGAGGGACAUAUCAAUGAUGUUUCUUGCAUUAUCCUACUCAUACUCUGAACAAUGUUGAUCUUACAUUAACAAUGCCUGUCCUUUUUGAUAUGAUGCAGUGUCCCUACAGUUACUGCCCUUUGUAAUCACACCACCUUUGCCAAAAACAGGGAAGCACAACUGGUUCCUCACUGAUCAGAUGACGACAAAAGACUGAUGAUCAUUCGGACACAUGAUCCGAAAAAGUUAUAUUGCAAAAACCCCACUGUAUACAAGCACCAUGUAAUACGUGAGUAUCCGGACAGUGGCUGUUACGUCUAUGAUCAGGAUACCAGCUUGUUGGGGCCUUUAGGAUUUUUUAGUUGGAGGCGGGUAAACAGCCUUGGUUCACACUCUCUGUUUCUCGGACUCAAUUAUCAGAUUAACCAGGAGAUCACCGUUGCCAAGGACCUUGAUGGCAGAGAGGCUCUGUUUGCUAUGGAAAACUGUGUCUACACGGCGAGCCCUAGGAGUUCAGGAGCAAACUCCCCUGAUUGUCAAUGAUACAGCCUGCAGCCAAAAGAAGGUGAGAAUGACAAAGGCAUCCGGAUUAACUUUGAUCCUUGGAUGUCUCAAUUACGACAGGCAGGGAUGUGGUUCGAGCCUUCAGGUUGAUAGGUAAUUGGGCUGUUGCAUCGAAAGGGUGGAGUACUGGUGUCUCUAGAUCACUGGUCGUUGAAGCGGGGCUGCAAAUUAUGAUGGCGUUGGAUCAUCUCUUUGAAUGACUUUGUUGUCUUUGCUGCUGGUUCUGGAUGGGUAGUUCUUUCUUUUGUUAUGCAUAUUCCUUGUCAUUUGGUCAUCCUCGUCUAUGUCACUCUUACUAUGUAAUAGUUGCUUCUGUUUAGAAUGUCAUUCUCGUCUGGAUCACGAGAGUCUGAGCGCUGCAGAUGGGUGCGUUUUGGUGGUGUAGCAAGACUUCUUAUGAACUAUCAUGUCUUGCUUUUUAUGUCAGUAGUAGUCACUAGUCAGUGUUUGAAUGUUGUAUAUAUUGUUGUUUGGAACGGUUUAUUGUCUCGAACUACUGGUGGGCUAAAUGAGGGCAUCACCAUUCUCCGCUGUUCAGAGUAUAUCUCCUUUUUUCAAGUUAUAUAAUUUUAGCUCAGUGUCUUUUCGAUGAUGUACACUUGUUUGGGCCAGUGAGGUGUUGUUGAAUAUGGGCCGAGUAGUAACGCGAUGCCAAAUAGGUCAAUUAUGACUCUCAGGCUGGGCUCUCAAAAGAUCCUGAAAAAAAGGUUGAGCUCUCCAAAAAAGAAUGAAUAAGGACUCUUGGGCCGACAUGUGGGUGCCACCGGUGUUUUCGUGCGCUUGUGCACCGAGAGCAUAUUGGUGCAUGCUCGAAAUUCAUGCUACCUUUUCAUAUGCAGUCUCUCGCCCCUCCCCCACCUCUGGAAUCUCGAUUCCUACUCCAGUUCCCCCAAAUCCCCCUCCUGUACUCUCUGUACUCAAGCGCACUAUCAUGUCGCCGGUCAACGCGGAUCUCCGAGCCGGAGAUCCUGAGGUCCGUCCUGCCUUCGGUCGCUGCGUGCUAUCGCUCAACAGUGGCACGGCACUGCUUGACGACCAGUUUGCCGACAAAGUGCUGAUGGUAACCAUCAAUGGCGACCGGCCUCCCGUCUCGCCGGAUGACCUUGUCAAAGCUCUUGGCAUUACGCACGGCAUUCAAAUAAGUGACUUGCUCAUCGAAGUCUGUCCGCCACCGGCUGAUUUCUUCGUCAGGUUCCGGACAACUUUCUACUACAGUCAUGUGUUCAAAUUUUCCCGGCGUUUGUUCUGCGAUGGCGCGCUGGUGAGCUUUGAUCGGUGGCACCCAGGAUGGGUCUUGGUGCCCUUUGAUCUUGAGUUUUUAACAAAGCUUACCUUCCACGGCAUGCCUCGGCGUGCUUAGAACAGCGAGUCCAUGAACGAGCUUAUCAACGACCUUGGAGGUGAGCUCGUAAGUAUGUUUGUUCCUCCAGACAGCUGGGCUCUGACGGUUAUGGCAUGGAUGAAGAAGCCGUCCACCAUACCGAAGGUGAUUGGUGUUGAGAUAUCGGUGCAGGAACCGAGGUUGUACUAUUCAUCGCCACCAAGGCCGCCGCGGACCACGUUAGGGAUGUGCCUGUAUCGAGUGUUCGUGCAUGUCGAAGAAGUGGUCAAUCCAUCAAUCGAAGUCCUGCCGCCGCCGCUGGUGCCAGGGUCCGUAGACGACGUCCAUUACAGGAGUCAAUGUCAGACUUUCCCCGUGUUGCUCGAAACGAUGGAUGGCACAGGGCCUACUCCAUCGCGCGGCGGAGGCCACUGCUUCUUUGGGAGAAGAGGCAGGGUUGGCUGCCUGGAUGUGCUCUAAUUUGAGGUAACAACUGAAUCUUGUCAGAUACUAGUUAAAUCCGAGCUAUGGGUGUGAGGCACUGAUAUGCCAGUACAUUUGAUUGUGACCUGUUCUAAUUUUGUACCUGAACUUUUUUUAGAAAGGGUUGUACGUCAACUUAAUGUGCUAGGAGAACUUAUUGUGUUGUCCGUUUGUUUUCUUUGCACAACAUUCAAGAUAUUUCCCCGUCAUUGAUAAAGACGAUGAACCGUUAUGUACGACUUCGUUGGUUUCAACAUAGCCCUUCACGUAGCGAUCCACUGCUUCCAUCCUGAUUGUGCCGCCUGCGUGAAAUUUUUGUAUGCAAGUUCAGUGUGCUAUGAUGUUCUAUAUGAUUGUGUCAACUAUAUAAGUUUUUACUGAGCAUUAGCAAUGCAUAUGGCUGAAAGAUGUAUUUACGAGCAUCAGCCGAUGGGUCUCUCUCGCUAUCUCUCUCUCUCUCCCUCUCUCUCUCACACACACACACACACGCACACGCACAAGUGGGACCCAUUGAAUUAUUUAUUUGCUCGUGACAGCUUUUAAUUAGGUUCCACUCUAAUCUAACUUUUUUCUUAAGUUAUUAAUUGAGCUCAGUGACUUCAAAAAGUUGUACAGAAGCCUUGUUUGGGCCUUUCCGGCAUCGCUGAAUGUGGGCUGAGUAACCAUGUUAGGUUGUACUGUACUACACAGGCCUUUUUCGCUACUUUUAUUUAAAUAAUACAUUUUUUAUUAAUUUUCAUAAAUAUUACGCUGGGUAUUUUUUUCAAAAAUAAUACACCGGCCGCCCGCUCCAUACUGGGCCUAGUCCGCCCAUAGCAGGCCAAUUGGAUUCCAGUCGGCCUACAGCUGGCCGACUGGCCCCUGUCGGACCACUGUGGGCCGACUGGAUCUAAUUGGCUCGUUGUGGGCUAAUUGUUUUUGCAAAAGUGUUAAUCAUGUAUUUAAAAAAUAUGUGUAUUGUGACCUCCUCCGCUCGCUGUGGGCCCACUGUUGACUAAAAAAUAUGUUUUAAAAAGUGUUAAUCAUGUAUUUAAAAAUUGUUAAAUGUGUGUAUAAAAAAUGUUCCUUAUCUAUACAAUUUUUUUAGUGUGUGUAUAAAAAAUAGCUUUUUUCAACAUCAGCAAUGCAACUGGGCCGACAGUUGUACACAAUAUCCGGGUCAACUUGUUAUUCUCCGCCCCGCUGGGCUGCAAACUUUCCUAGAAGGUGUGCAUUAGGCUUAACAAGAAAAUGGACUUUAAGAAAUAAUAAAUGGGAUGUAAUUAUAAUUACUGGACAGUUACUAUGCACCAAACACGUAAUUAGUUGGAAAAAUAUAUUAUUUUUGGCAUUUGAAAAUUUUAAUUUCAUUACUUGUUGCACGCGCAAUAUUUCAUUGGAUUUUAAUGUAAUACAACUUUAUUUUAAAAUUAUGUUUAACCUGACUAGAAAUUUCGGAUACAAAUAUUUCGGAUCCCAUCAAAAUGUGGGAUUUUUUUUAAUUCUGUUUUGAGCGGUUGUUUGAAAUUAUUAAUUGUUGUCCUAGCUAGAAGUAGGGUUGUACUUUUAACAAACUGUAAAUGGGUUGUAGUAAAUUCCAUUAGAAUUAAAAAUAGGAUGUACAUUCUUACAAAUCGCAAAUGGGCUAUAUGUUCUCUGCCAAAUCCAAGCUGUGGGCCUACUAAGUUAACGCGUACCAAGGGCUUUGUCAACUUAGUCAAUAUAAACGAUUCUAGCUGCAGUGAUCGUACGAUGUCCAUCCAACGACCGUGGUGCUUCUUCAACCUCUGGUCUUCUUGCUCCAGCCGCCCAAAGCAGCGCCGGUCAUGUCGCGUGCUCCUGCCUCUCGUGGCCGGCUGUGAUGUCGCGGAGGCCUCACCGCCCCGUACUACUCCCACCGCUGGCCAGGCCAUCCCUCUACUCACCCACACCCCCUGUUAUUCUGCGGUGACAGCAGCCUCACACCGCAGCCGAACCAGUGAACCCUCGUACUCCUCUCCGUGCGGGCUUCCGCUGCUGCGUCUUCCCCGGCUCCGCGUCGUCCCCUUCCUAGACCUCGCCGUCGUCCAUACCACCGCCCUGGUGCUCUCGGCGCGGUGUGGUCAACGUGGUCAACGACCGACUUCCAUCGGAAGAGUACUGUACGUGGAGAGGCUGAUAGCUGGGUCCACGGCAGCCGCAAGGAAGUGCCUCCUUAUUACGCGCAAAAUAAUUAUUCCUCCACCUGACAGCGGGGACCCACCAGACGGGCCACCGUAUUUUGCGAAAAAAUGAUUCGCCCCCUGACUGCUGGGACCCACGAGCUACAUCUUCGCACGCAAGGAAGUGUGUCCGAAAAAAAACGAUUCGCCCCCCUGACUGCUGGGACCAACCAGGCCCCCGACUGCUGGGACCCACCAGCUACAUCUUCGCACACAAGGAAGUGCGUCCAGGCAAAAAAAACGAUUUGCCCCCUGACUGCUGGGACCGACCAGCCACAUCUUCACAGGCAAGGAAGUGCCUGACAGUCGGGACCCAACUGGUCGAAGCGUAUGUAGCAUUGUCAUUCUAGUCGCGAACGUGUACGUACGUACUGGUCGAUGUAGAGGCGCACACGUGUCGUAGUAGAGGCGCGCACGUAGCAUGUACACGUACGUACAGCGGCCAGGGUGCAAGAAAGAAAAUACGGCCACGUAUGUGUACAUACGGGCGGGGUCUCGAACGCCUACUCGCGCAUACGUGCGGAGAGGGCUCGUGUACAUGGCUGGGUCGGAACGGAGAAACAGCAUCGUCGCCGUGUUCAUGGGGAGGCAAUGGAAUGCAUCGUGUUCAUGGGGAGGCAACGGAAUGCGUCGUGUUCAUCGGGAGGGCUUGGACAGAACAGGCGAUGGAAACGAGGCCUGGCGUACCGCAGAACGGAGGAAACGGCCUUGUGUUCGACCGGCCACGUUCGAAACGGGAUCCUGUUCAUCGGGAGGGGUCUGGCGUACCGCAAAACGGAGGAAACGGACCUCCUACGGUCGAAACGGGAGUCCUAUUGAUCGGGAGGGGUGUGGCGUACCGCAAAACGGACGAAACGGACUUGUGCUGGAGCGCUACGGUCGAAACGGGGGUCCUGUUCAUCGGGAGGGGUGUGGCAUACCGCAAAACGGGACUCCACAGGAUACUGUUCAUCUCCACUAUCGACCCCCUCCAGCCUCCAUGAGCUACUGUUCAUCCACCGUCGACCUCCUCCAGCCUCAACAUGCGACUGUUCAUCCACGGGCUCCUGUUCAUCCAGCCUCCACUGCGCGCUACUCCACCGGCUACUGUUCAACCACCCCUCCACCGUCUACUAUUCAUCAAGCCCUCCACACAACGGGGUCCUGUUCAACCACCCCUCCAUGGGCACCCCUCCACCGUCUACUGUUCAUCCAGCCCUCCACACCACGGGGUCCUGUUCAACCACCCCUCCACCGUCUACUGUUCAUCCAGCCCUNNNNNNNNNNNNNNNNNNNNNNNNNNNNNNNNNNNNNNNNNNNNNNNNNNNNNNNNNNNNNNNNNNNNNNNNNNNNNNNNNNNNNNNNNNNNNNNNNNNNNNNNNNNNNNNNNNNNNNNNNNNNNNNNNNNNNNNNNNNNNNNNNNNNNNNNNNNNNNNNNNNNNNNNNNNNNNNNNNNNNNNNNNNNNNNNNNNNNNNNNNNNNNNNNNNNNNNNNNNNNNNNNNNNNNNNNNNNNNNNNNNNNNNNNNNNNNNNNNNNNNNNNNNNNNNNNNNCAGCAGUAGCGAAGGAAUUGCUCGAUCGGGUUCAGUUAACAGCCAUCGAUCGACCGCUCGGGUUCAAUAACGCGUAGCCUGCAGUGCAAUCGCUCGGGUUCAGUUAGAGCCCAACGCCUCGCUCGGGUUCAGUUAGAGCCAACUCCUCGCACACACGCGCGUACGUGUACGAGAGAAACGCGCAUCGCUCGGCCCCCGACCUCCCACCGUAACCGGGAACUCCCCGAAAUUUCCUCCCCCUCGCUUCUACCACGGUUUUUUCCGUCAUGGACGGCCCAAAGAAUGUCAUGCAGCUGCGUCUCCGGCCCGCCCAGGACGAAAAUCCCAUUUUCUGUCAUGAAUUUUUGUCAUAGAAGUAGGAGCCCACCACAUCUAUGAUGAUACCGGGUUUUGUCACAAUUAUCGUCAUAGAAGUGUCAUAUGUAUGACAAUUUUUUUUUCGUUCGGCCCAAAAUGUCACGGAUGUGUCUUUUUUUUAUAGUGAAGUAGGUCAACAGAGCCACGAGGGUCCCACGAGGGUGGGGGUGCCCUCCUACCUCGUGGCCGCCUCAUUGCUUCCUUGACGUCCACUCCAAGUCUCCUGGAUUGCGUUUGUUCCAAAAAAAAUAACUCUCCCGAAGGUUUCAUUCCGUUUGGAUUCCAUUUGAUAUUCCUUUUCUGUGAAAUACUGAAAUAGGCAAAAAAACAGUAAUUUGCACUGGGCCUUUGGUUAGUAGGUUAAUCCCAAAAGUAAUAUAAAAAGGUAUAUUAAAGACCAUUAAACAUCCAAAACAGAUAAUAUAAUACCAUGGAACAAACAAAAAUUAUAGAUACGUUGGAGACGUAUCACCCUUCUCUCUAUUCUCUCAUUUUUCAGUGGGCUUCUUUGGCCUCUUUUAUUUUUUGUAAGGUCCAAAGACUCGCCCCAACUUGUGUGGGAAUCAUAGCUUCCAUCAUCCUUUCCUCACAUGGGCCAAUGCUCUAAUAAUGAUGAUCAUCACACUUUUAUUUACUUGCAACUCAAGAAUUACAACCCGAUACUAGAACAAAUAUAUGACCCUAUAUGAAUGCCUCUGGCGGUGUACCGGGAUGUGCAAUGAUCAAGAGUGACAUGUAUAAAAAAUAUGAACGGUGUCUUUGCCACAAAUACUAUGCCAACUACAUGAUCAUGCAAAGAAAUAUGACAAUGAUGGUAUGUGUCAUAUUAAACGGAACGGUGGAAGUUGCAUGGCAAUAUAUCUCGGAAUGGCUAUGUAAAUGCCAUAAUAGGUAGGUAUGGUGGCUGUUUUGAGGAAGGAUAAAUGGUGCGUUCAAUGCACCGACAAAAGUUGCAUGGUACUAGAGAGGCUAGCAAUGGCGAAAGGGUGAGAGUUCGUAUAAUCCAUGGACUCAAAGUUAUUCAUAAAGAACUCACAUACUUAUUGCAAAAAUUUAUUAACUAUCGAAACAAAGUACUACACACAUGCUCCUAGGGGAGAGGUUGGUAAGAGUUAACACAAAGGACGACAAUCAGAAAAUAAAUCAUGCUCCGCCUUCAUCACAUAAUAGUUCACCAUACGUGCAUGCUUUGGGAAUCACAAACCUUAACACAAGUAUUUCUACCAAUCCACAAUUACUCACUAGCAUGACUCUAAUAUCACCAUCUUUAUAUCUCACAACAAAUGCAAGGAAUCAAACUUCUCAUAUAUUCAAUGCUCUUUAUGAAAGUUUUUAUUAUAUCUCUCUUGCAACUGACAAACAUCGAAAAAUAUAUAUAAGUGAAGAUCAAUGAGUAGUUUAAUAAUUAUGUAGCUAUGUGAAGACUCUCUCACACAAAUAAAAUUUCAGAUCUUAAGUACUUCAUUCUCUACUGUAGAAAAUCACUAAAAUUAUAAUUUGACAUUGCAUACUAAAUGCCUCUGCAUAUUUAAGAGUCCAAUCCUCAAAUAGAAUCAUUAAACAAGCAAACAUAUGCAAACAAUGCAAACAUAACAUUAAUUUGUCUAAACAGAAUAGUCUGUAAAGAAUGCAAGAGGAAUUAUACUUCCCUAACUCCAAAACUUCUGAAAAAUUACCACACUAUAGAAAAAUUGUUGCUGAUCAUUGUGUAAAAAUUUCAAGAUUUUAUCAUGUUCUGGCUAUUAACAAAUAUUUAGACAAUGAUAGAACUUUCUAUUUUCAAAACAGCAACAUAUAGACUUGCAAAAUAAGCAUGGUAAAGGCUAUAAUUGACCCUUUUAUUGAACUAAAAGAUGCAAAACAUUAUUCUAAAUAGCAGCAAGAAAAUCUCAACAAAAUAAAAUGACGCUCCAAGCAAAACUCAUAUCAUGUGAUGAAUAAAAAUAUAUCCUCAAGUAAUUUUACCGAUGGAUUGAAGACAAAAGAGGGGAUGCCAUCCGGGGCAUCCCCAAGCUUAGAUGCUUGGUUGUCCUUGAAUAUUACCUUGCGGUGCCUUGGGUGUCCCCAAGAUUAGGCUCUUGCAACUCCUUAUUCGAAAGUCCAUCGAAACUUCACCCAAAACUUGAAAGCUUCACAACACAAAACUCAACAGAGAACUCGUAAGCUCCGUUAGUAUAAUGAAGCAAAUAACCACUUAGGUAUGUGGGGAACGUAGUAUUUCAAAAAAAUUCCUACCAUCACGCAAGAUCUAUCUAGGAGAUGCAUAGCAACGAUAGGUGAGAGUGUGUCCACAUACGCUCGUAGACCGAAAGUGGAAGCGUUUAGUAAUGCGGUUAAUGUAGUCGAACGUCUUCGCGAUCCAACCGAUCCUAGCACCGAACGUACGGCACCUCCGCGUUCAGCACACGUUCAGCUUGAUGACGUCCCUCGAUAUCUUGAUCUAGUUGAGGAUGAGGGAGAGUUCCAUCAGCACGACGGCAUGGCGAUGGUGAUGAUGAAGUUACCAGCGCAGGGCUUCACCUAAGCACUACAAUGAUAUGACCGAGGUGUGUAAUUGUGGAGGGGGGGCACCGCACACGGCUAAGAGAAGACUUGGUGUGCCUUUGAGGUGCCCCCUCCCAUGUAUAUAAAGGGGGAGGAGAGGUGGCCGGCCUAAGGGGGGCGCGCGCCAUAGGGAGUCCAACUAGGAUUCCCAAUCUUGGUUGGAGUCCCCUUCCUUUCCAAGAGAGGGAGAGACAGGGAAGGAGGAGAGGGGAGAAGGAAAGAGGGGGCACCGUCCCCUCCCUAGUCCAAUUCGGACUGGCCAUGGGGGGCGCGACCUCCCUUGUGGCCCAUCUCUCCUUUCCACUAAGGCCCAUGAAGGUCCAUGAACUUCCAGGGGGACGGUUUUGGUAACCCUCGGAACUCCGAAACUUGUCUGAAAUGACCCGAACCAUUCCGGUGUCUGAAUGUAACCUUCCAAUAUAUGAAUCUUUACCUCUCGACCAUUUCGAGACUCCUCGUCAUGCCCAUGAUCUCAUCCGAGACUCCGAACAAUAUUUGGUCAUCAAAUCACAUAACUCAUAAUACAAAUCGUCAUCGAACGUUAAGCGUGCAGACCCUACAGGUUCGAGAACUAUGUAGACAUGACCGAGACACAUCUCUGGUCAAUAACCAAUAGCGGAACCUGGAUGCUCAUAUUGGCUCCUACAUAUUCUACGAAGAUCUUUAUCGGUCAAAACUGCAUAACAACAUAUGUUGUUCCCUUGGUCAUCGGUAUGUUACUUGCCCGAGAUUCAACCGUUGGUAUCAUUAUACCUAGUUCAAUCUCGUUACCGGCAAGUCUCUUUACUCGUUCCGUAAUGAAUCAUCUCGUGGCUAACUCAUUAGACACAUUGCUUGCAAGGCUCGUAGUGAUGUGCAUUACCAAGAGGGCCCGAGAUACCUCUCCAAUAGACGGAGUGACAAAUCCUAAUCUCGAUCUACGCAAACUCAACAAACACCAUCGGAGACACCUGUAGAGCAUCUUUAUAAUCACCAGUUACGUUGUGACAUUUGAUAGCACACAAGGUGUUCCUCCGGUAUUCAGUAGUUUCAUAAUCUCAUAGUCAGAGGAACAUGUAUAAGUCAUGAAGAAAGCAAUAGUAAUAAAACUAAACGAUCAUUAUGCUAAGCUAAUGGAUGGGUCUUGUCCAUCAGAUCAUUCUCUAAUGAUGCGAUCCCGUUCAUCAAAUGACAACACAUGUCUAUGGCUAGGAAACAUAACCAUCUUUGAUAAAUGAGCUAGUCAAGUAGAGGCAUACUAGGGACACUUUGUUUGUCCAUGUAUUCACACAUGUACUAAGUUUUCGGUUAAUACAAUUCUAGCAUGAAUAAUAAACAUUUAUCAUGAUAUAAGGAAAUAUAAAUAACAACUUUAUUAUUGCCUCUAGGGCAUAUAUCCUUCAGUCUCCCACUUGCACUAGAGUCAAUAAUCUAGAUUACAUAGUAAUGAUUCUAACACCCUUGGGGUCUUGGUGCUGAUCAUGUUUUGCUCGUGAGAGAGGCUUCGUCAGCGGGUCUGCAACAUUCAGAUCCAUGUGUAUCUUGCAAAUCUCUAUGUCUCCCGCAUUGACUUGAUCGCGGAUGGAACUGAAGCGUCUAUUGAUGUGCUUGGUUCUCUUGUGAAAUAUGGAUUCCUUUGCCAAGGCAAUUGCACCAGUAUUGUCACAAAGUAUUUUCAUUGGACCCGAUGCACUAGUUUUGACACAUAGAUCGGAUAUGAACUCUUUCAUCCAGACUCCUUCAUUUGCUGCUUCCGAAGUAGCUAUGUAUUCCGCUUCACACGUAGAUCCCGCCAUGACGCUCUGCUUGGAACUACACCAACUGACAGCUCCACCAUUCAAUAUAAAUAUGUAUCCGAUUUGUGACUUAGAAUCAUCCGGAUCAGUGUCAAAGCUUGCAUCGAUGUAACCAUUUACGACGAGCUCUUUGUCACCUCCAUCAACAAGAAACAUAUCCUUAGUCCUUUUUAGGUAUUUCAGGAUGUUCUUGACCGCUGUUCAGUGAUCCACUCCAGGAUUACUUUGGUACCUCCUUGCUAAACUAAUAUCAAGGCACACAUCAGGUCUGGUACACAACAUUGCAUACAUGAUAGAACCUAUGGCUGAAGCAUAGGGAAUGACUUUCAUUUUCUCUCUAUCUUCUGCAGUGGUUGGGCAUUGAGUCUAACUCAACUUCACACCUUGUAACACAAGCAAGAAUCCUUUCUUUGACUGAUCCAUUUUGAACUUCUUCAAAACUUUAUCAAGGUAUGUGCUUUGUGAAAGUCCAAUUAAGCGUCUUGAUCUAUCUCUAUAGAUCUUGAUGCCUAAUAUAUAAGCAGCUUCACCGAGGUCUUUCAUUGAAAAAUUAUUAUUCAAGUAUCCUUUUAUGCUAUCUAGAAAUUAUGUAUUAUUUCCAAUCAACAAUUUGUCAUCCACAUAUAAUAUUAGAAAUGCUACAGAGCUCCCACUCACUUUCUUGUAAAUACAGGCUUCUCCAAAAGUCUGUAUAAAACCAUAUGCUUUGAUCACACUAUCAAAGCGUAUAUUCCAACUCCGAGAGGCUUCCACCAGUCCAUAAAUGGAUCGCUGGAGCUUGCACACUUUGUUAGAACCUUUUGAAUUGUCAAAACCUUGUGGUUGCAUCAUAUACAACUCUUCUUUAAGAUAUCCAUUAAGGAAUGCAGUUUUUACAUCCAUUUGCCAAAUUGCAUAAUCAUAAAAUGGGGCAAUUGCUAACAUAAUUCAGACAGACUUAAGCAUCGCUACGGGUGAGAAGGUCUCAUUGUAGUCAACUCCUUGAACUUGUUGAAGACCUUUCACAACAAGUCAAGCUUUGUAGACAGUAACAUUACCGUCAGCGGCAGUCUUCUUCUUGAAGAUCCAUUUAUUCUCUAUUGCAUGCUAAUCAUCGGGCAAGUCAACCAAAGUCCACACUUUGUUCUCAUACAUGGAUCCCAUCUCAGAUUUCAUGGCCUCAAUCCAUUUUGCAGAAUCUGGGCUCAUCAUCGCUUCCUCAUAGUUCGUAGGUUCGUCAUGGUCAAGUAACAUGACCUCCAGAACAAGAUUACCGUACCACUCUGGUGCGUAUAUUACUCUAGUUGACCUACGAGGUUUGGUAGUAACUUGAUCAGAAGUUUCAUGAUCAUCAUCAUUAGCUUCCUCACUAAUUGGUGUAGGAAUCACUGGAAGUGAUUUCUGUGAUGAACUACUUUCCAAUUCGGGAGAAGGUACAAUUACCUCAUCAAUUUCUACUUUCCUCCCACUCACUUCUUUCGAGAGAAACUCCUUCUCUAGAAAGGAUCCAUUCUUAGCAACGAAUAUCUUGCCUUCAGAUCUGUGAUAAAAGGUGUACCCAAUAGUCUCCUUUGGGUAUCCUAUGAAGACACAUUUCUCCGAUUUGGGUUCGAGCUUAUCAGGUUGAAGCUUUUUCACAUGAGCAUAGUAGCCCCAAACUUUAAGAAACGACAAUUUGGAUUUCUUGCCAAACCAUAGUUCAUAUGGUGUCAUCUCAACGGAUUUAGAUGGUUCCCUAUUUAAUGUGAAUACAGCCGUCUCUAAAGCAUAAUCUCAAAACGAUAGCAGUAAAUCAGUAAGAGACAUCAUAGAUCGCACCAUAUCUAAUAAAGUGCGGUUACGACAUUCGGGCACACCAUUACGCUGUGGUGUUCCAGGUGGCGUGAGUUGCGAAACUAUUCCGCAUUGUUUCAAAUGAAGACCAAACUCAUAACUCAAAUAUUCACCUCCACGAUCAUAUUGUAGAAACUUAAUUUUCUUGUUAUGAUGAUUUUCCACUUCACUCUAAAAUUCUUUGAACUGUUCAAAUGUUUCAGACUUAUGUUUCAUCAAGUAGAUAUACCCAUAUCUACUCAAAUCAUCUGUGAAGGUCAGAAAAUAACGAUACCCGCCGCGAGCCUCAACACUCAUCGGACCGCAUACAUCAGUGUGUAUUAUUUCCAAUAAGUCUGUUGCUUGCUCCAUUGUUCCAGAGAACGGAGUCUUAGUCAUCUUGCCCAUGAGGCAUGGUUCGCAAGCAUCAAGUGAUUCCAGAAGUCCAUCAGCAUGGAGUUUCUUCAUGUGCUUUACACCAAUAUGACCAAAACGACAGUGCCACAAAUAAGUUGCACUAUCAUUAAUAAACUUGUAUCUUUUGGCUUCAAUACUAUGAAUAUGUGUAUCACCACUAUUGAGAUUCAAAAAAAAAUAGACCACUCAUCAAGGGUGCACGACCAUAAAAGAUAUUACUCAUAUAAAUAGAACAACCAUUAUUCUGUGAUUUAAAUAAAUAACCAUAUCACAUCAAACAAGAUCCAGAUAUAAUGUUCAUGCUUAACGCUGGUACUAAAUAACAAUUAUUCAGGUCUAAUACUAAUCCCGAAGGUAGAUGUAGAGGUAGCGUGCCGACGGCGAUCACAUCGACUUUGGAACCAUUUCCCACGCGCAUCAUCACCUCGUCCUUAGCCAAUCUUCGUUUAAUUUGUAGCCCCUGUUUCAAGUUGCAAAUAUGAGCAACAAAACCAGUAUCAAAUACCCAGGUGCUACUAUGAGCAUUAGUAAGGUACACAUCAAUAACAUGUAUAUCAAAUAUACCUUUCACUUUGUGAUCCUUAUUAUCCGCCAAAUACUUGGGGCAGUUCCGCUUCCAGUGAUCAGUCCCUUUGCAGUAGAAGCACUCAGUCUCAGGCUUAGGUCCAGACUUGGGCUUCUUCACUUGAUCAGCAACUUGUUUGCCGUUCUUCUUGAAGUUACCCUUCUUCCCUUUGCCCUUCUUCUUGAAACUAGUGGUCUUGUUAACCAUCAACACUUGAUGCUCCUUCUUGAUUUGUAGCUCCACAGCCUUUAGCAUUGCGAAGAGCUCAUGAAUUGUCUUAUCCAUCCCUUGCAUAUUAUAGUUCAUCAUGAAGCUUUUGUAGCUUGGUGGCAGUGAUUGAAGAACUCUGUCAAUGACACUGUCAUCAGGAAUAUUAACUCCCAGUUGAGUCAAGUGGUUGUGGUACCCAGACAUUCUGAGUAUAUGUUCACUGACAGAACUAUUAUCCUCCAUCUUGCAGAUGUAGAACUUAUUGGAGACUCCAUAUCUCUCAAUCCGGGCAUUUGCUUGAAAUAUUAACUUCAACUCUUGGAACAUCUCAUAUGCUCCAUGACGUUCAAAACGUCAUUGAAGUCCCAGUUCUAAGCCGUAAAGCAUGGCACAAUGAACUAUCGAGUAGUCAUCAGCUUUGCUCUGCUAGAUGUUCAUAACAUCUGGUGUUGCUCCUACAUCGGGCUUUGCACCUAGCGGUGCUUCCAGGACAUAAUUCUUCUGUGCAGCAAUGAGGAUAAUCCUCAAGUUACAGACCCAGUCCAUGUAGUUGCUACCAUUAUCUUUCAACUUAGCUUUCUCUAGGAACGCAUUAGAAUUCAACGGAACAACAACACGGGCCAUUUAUCACAACAACAUAGACAUACUAUCAGGUACUAAGUCCAUGAUCAAUUAAAGUUCAAUUAAUCAUAUUACUUAAGAACUCCCACUUAGAUAGACAUACCUCUAGUCAUCUAAAUUAUCACGUGAUCCAUAUCAUCUAAACCAUGUCCGAUCAUCACGUGAGAUGGUGAAGUUUUCAAUGGUGAACAUCACUAUGUUGAUCAUAUCUACUAUAUGAUUCACGCUAGACCUUUUGGUCUCAAUGUUCCGAGGCCAUAUCCGCAUAUGCUAGGCUCGUCAAGUUUAACCUGAGUAUUCCGCUUGUGCAAAACUGGCUUGCACCCGUUGUAUGUGAAUGUAGAGCUUAUCACACCUGAUCAUCACAUGGUGUCUCGGCAUGACGAACUGUAGCAAUGGUGCAUACUCAGGGAGAACACUUAUACCUUGAAAUUUAGUGAGAGAUCAUCUUAUAAUGCUACCGCUGUACUAAGCAAAAUAAGAUGCAUAAAUGAUAAACAUCACAUGCAAUCAAAAUAAGUGAUAUGAUAUGGCCAUCAUCAUCUUGUGCCUUUGAUCUCCAUCUCCAAAGGACCGUCAUGAUCACCAUCCUCACUGGCUUGACACCUUGAUCUCCAUCGUAGCAUCAUUGUCGUCUCACCAACUAUUGCUUCUAUGACUAUCCCUACCGCUUAGUGAUAAAGUAAAGCAAUGACAUGGCGAUUGCAUUUCAUACAAUAAAGCGACAACCAUAUGGCUCCUGCCAGUUGCCGAUAACUGUUGCAAAACAUGAUCAUCUCAUACAACAAUUUAUAUCUCAACACGUCUUGACCAUAUCACAUCACAACAAGCCCUGCAAAAACAAGUUGGAUGUCCUCUACUUUGUUGUUGCAAGUUUUACGUGGCUGCUACGGGAUUAUAGCAAGAGCCGUUCUUAGCUACACAUCAAAACCACAACGUUUUUCGUCAAGUGUGUUCUUUUAACGUUCAACAAGGACUGGGCGCAGUCAAACUCGAUCAACUAAAGUUGGAGAAACACACACCCACUAGCCACCUAUGUGCGAAGCACGUCAGCAGAACUAGUCUCAUGAAUGCGGUCAUGUAAUGUCGGUCCGGGCUGCUUCAUCCAACCAUACCGCCGAAUCAAAGUAAUACAUUGUUGGUAAGCAGUAUGACUAUUAUCGCCCACAACUCUUUGUGUUCAACUCGUGCAUAUAACAUCUACGCAUAGACCUGCUCAGAUGCCACUGUUGGGGAAUGUAGUAUUUCAAAAAAAAUCCUGCGAUCACGCAAGAUCUAUCUAGGAUAUGCAUAGCAAUGAGAGGGGAGAGUGUGUCCACGUACCCUCAUAGACUGAAAGCGGAAGUGUUUAGUAACGCGAUUGAUGUAGUCGAAUGUCUUCGCGAUCCAACCGAUCCUACCACCGAACGUACGGCACCUCCGUGUUCAGCACAUGUUUAGCUCGAUGACGUCCCUCGAUAUCUUGAUCCAGUUGAGGACGAGGGAGAGUUCCGUCAGCACGACAGUGUGACGACGGUGAGGAUGAAGUUACCGAUGCAGAGCUUCACCUAAGCACUACGACGAUAUGACCAAGGUGUGUAACUGUGGAGGGGGGCACCGCGCAUGGCUAAGUGAAGACUUGGUGUGCCUUUGGGGUGCCCCCUCCCACGCAUAUAAAGGGGGGAGGAGAGGUGGCCGGCCCAAGGGGGCGCGCACCAUAGGGAGUCCAACUAGGAUUCCUAAUCCUAGUUGGAAUCCCCUUCCUUUCCAAGAGAGGGAGAGAGAGGGAAGGAGGAGAGGGGAGAAGGAAAGAGGGGGCGCCGCCCCCCUCCCUAGUCAAAUUCGGACUGGCCAUGGGGGGCACGGCCUCCCUUGUGGCCCUUCUCUCCUUUCCACUAAGGCCCAUGAACUUCCCGGGGGGAGGGGUUCCGGUAACCCCUGGUACUCCGAAACUUAUCUGAAACGACCCGAACCAUUCCGGUGUCGGAAUGUAACCUUCCAAUAUAUGAAUCUUUGCCUCUUGGCCAUUUCUAGACUCCUCGUCAUGUCCGUGAUCUCAUCCGGCACUCCGGAAAAUCUUCGGUCAUCAAAUCACAUAACUCAUAAUACAAAUUGUCAUUGAACGUUAAGCGUGCGGACCCUGCGGGUUCGAGAACUAUGUAGACAUGACCGAGACACAUCUCUGGUCAAUAACCAAUAGCGGAACCUGGAUGCUCAUAUUGGCUCCUACAUAUUCUACGAAGAUCUUUAUCGGUCAAAACCGCAUAACAACAUACAUUGUUCCCUUUGUCAUCGGUAUGUUACUUGCCCAAGAUUCGAUCGUAGGUAUCAUCAUACCUAGUUCAAUCUCGACACCGGCAAGUCUCUUUACUCAUUCCAUAAUGCAUCAUCCCGUGGCUAACUCAUUAGACACAUUGCUUGCAAGGCUCAUAGUGAUGUGCAUUACCGAGAGGGCCCAGAGAUACCUCUCCGAUGCAUUGAGUGACAAAUCCUAAUCUCGAUCUAUGUGAACUCAACAAACACCACCAGAGACACCUGUAGAGCAUCUUUAUAAUCACCCAGUUACGUUGUGAUGUUUGAUAGCACACAAUGUUGGGGAUAUUACUACUAGACAUAAACCGGCCAGGAGAGUCCGGGUUAUCCCCAUGAUGAUCACCUUAUUUGAAGCCCAUGAAGAUAUGAAUAAUGGCGCUUCAUGAAGGCCCAAGGCCCAAAGGCAGGUUAAAGCCUUUAGAUAUAAACCGACAUUGAUGUAUGCUUGUAAGAUAAGAUAGGAGUAAAGACCAAGCCGGACACGUUUAUGAUCCGGCCUCGGGACUCUGUAAACCAGCGGGCGUCAGCCUAUGUAUAUAAAGGGAUGACUCGACGGCGGUUUAGGGACAACACACAACAACUCAAGAGCCAGGGAAAGCGGAUUCACUCCCUGGUCAUCGAAACCCUAGCAAUUCCAUCACAACUGGAGUAGGCUUUUACCUUCAUCGUAAGGGGCCGAACCAGUAUAAACUCUCGCAUCCUUUGUCCACUUUAAACCCCUUUAAGCUAACCCGUCGUGAUGGCUCCACGACUAAGUCCUUUCACAAGGACAUCUGCCGUGACAAAACCGCGACACACAAGGUGUUCCUCCGGUAUUCGGGAGUUGCAUAAUCUCAUAGUCAGAGGAACAUGUAUAAGUCAUGAAGAAAGCAAUAGCAAUAAAACUAAACGAUCAUUAUGCUAAGCUAAUGGAUGGGUCUUGUCCAUCACAUCAUUCUCUAAUGAUGUGAUCUUGUUCAUCAAAUGACAACACAUGUCUAUGGCUAGGAAACAUAACCAUCUUUGAUUAACGAGCUAGUCAAGUAGAGGCAUACUAGGGACACUCUGUUUGUCUAUGUAUUCACACAUGUACUAAGUUUCAAGUUAAUACAAUUCUAGCGUGAAUAAUAAACAUUUAUCAUGAUACAAGGAAAUAUAAAUAACAACUUUAUUAUUGCCUCUAGGGCAUAUUUCCUUCAAGGUAUUGUUGUGAACUCAUUCUAAAUUUAUAUUGGUGUUAUAUAUAAUGUAUUCCAACUUCUCCAUGGUUCAUACCCUCCGAUACUACCCAUAAAUUCAUCAAAAUAAGCAAACAACACAAUGAAAAUAGAAUCUGUCAAAAACAGAACAUACUGUAGUAAUCUCAAAAAAACUCGUAUACUUCUGUAACUCCAAAAAUUCUGACAAAUUAGGACAGUCUGGGUAAUUUGUAUAUCAAUCUUGUGCAAUAUGAAUCAUGAUUUUAUCACGCUUAUGUAUUAAAUGAAAAUUAUUUCACUAGGCACAAAAUUUUCUGUUUUUCAGCAAGAUCAAAUCAACUAUCACCAUAGACCAUCCGAAAGGUCUUACUUGGCACUUUAUUGAAACAAAAGCUAUAAGACAAGAUUACUACAGUAUCCUAAUCAUGUGAACACUCAAAGAAAGUAGGGGUAAAUGUUGGGUUGUCCCCCAACAAGCGCUUUUCUUUAAUGCCUUUCUAGCUAGGCAUGAUGAUUUCAUUGAUGCUCACAUAAAAGAUAAGAAUUGAAAUAUAAUGGGAGCAUCAUGAAGCAUAUGACUAGCACAUUUAAGUCUAACCCACUUCCUAUGCAUAGUGAUUUGGUGAGCAAAUAAUUUUUGGGAGCAAGAAUCAACUAUCAUAGGAAGGCAAAAUAAAGAGAGGAAACUUGAUACUAUUGAGAUAUGUAAAAGCAUAAGUUCCUCUUUAAUAAUAAUUUUCAGUAGCAUCAUGAAUGAAUUCAACAAUAUAACUAUCACAUAAAGCAUACUUUUCAUGAUCCACAAACAUAGAAGUUUUAUUACUGUCCACAUAAGCAAAUUUAUUCUCAUGAAUAGUAGUGGGAGAAAACUCACCAAAAUAACUAUCAUGUGAGGCAUAAUCCAAUUGAAAAUUAAAAUCAUGAUGAAAAGUUUCAUGGUUAUCAUUAUUCUUUAUAGCAUACAUAUCAUCACAAUAAUCAUCAUAGAUAGCAACUUUGUUGUCAUAAUCAAUUGAAACCUCUUCCAAAAUAGCGGAUUCAUCACUAAAUAAAGUCAUGGCCUCUCCAAAUCCACUUUAAUCAACAUAAUCAUCAUAAAUAGGAGGCAUGCUAUCAUCAUAAUAAAUUUUCUCAUCAAAACUUAGGGGACAAAAAAUAUCAUCUUCACCAAACAUAUCAUCCCCGAGCUUAUGGCUUUGCACAUCAUUAAUAUCAUGGAUAUUCAAAGAAUUCAUACUAACAACAUUGGAAUCAUGCUCAUCAUUCAAAGAUUUUAUGCCAAACAUUUUAUUGAAGAAAUUUUAUUGAAUUCUUCUUCUAUCAAUUGAGCACGAUUUUACUUUCCAUCAUUUUCAUGAAAGACAUUAAAAAGAUGAUGCAUAUAUAUGAGGCAACCUAAAUUCCAUUUUUUUGUAUUUUUAUUUUAUAGACUAAAAUAGUGAUAAGACAAGAAACUAAAAGAUUCAAUUGCAAGAUCUAAAGAUAUACCUUCAAGCACUCACCUCCCCAGCAAUGGCGCCAGAAAAGAACUUGAUGUCUACUACGCAACCUUCUUCUUGUAGACUCGUGGUGGGCCUCCAAGCGCAGAGUUCUGUAGGACAGUAGCAAAUUUCCCUCAAGUGGAUGACCUAAGGUUUAUCAAUCUGUGGGAGGCGCAGGAUGAAGAUGGUCUCUCUCAAACAACCCUACAACCAAAUAACAAAUAGUCUCUUGUGUACCCAACACACCCAAUACAAUGGUAAAUUGUAUAGGUGCACCAUUUCGGUGAAGAGAUGGUGAUACAAGUGUAAUAUGGAUGGUAGACAUAGGUUUUUGUAAUCUGAAAAUAUAAAAACAGCAAGGUAACUAGUAGUCAAAGUGAGCAAAAAACGGUAUUGCAAUGCUUGAAAACAAGGCCUAGGGUUCAUAGUUUCACUAGUGCAAAGUUUCUCAACAAUGAUAACAUAAUUGGAUCGUAUAACAAUCCCUCAACGUGCAACAAAGAGUCACUCCAAAGUUCCUAUCGUGGAGAACAUACGAUGAAAUUGCUUGUAGGGUACGAAACCACCUAAAAGUGAUUAUUUCCGAUCAAUCCAUUAAGCUAUUCCUAUAAGUGUCACAAACAGCCCUAGAGUUCGUAGUAAAAUAACACCAUACGAUACACAUCAAUCAUCCCUAAUGUCACCUAGAUACUCCAAUGUCAUCACAAGUAUCCCUGGGUCAAUUAUACGAUAUGUAUCAAACAACUUCAGAUUCAUAAUAUUCAAUCCAACGCAAAGAACCUCAAAGAGUGCCCCAAGAUUCCUAUCAAAGAAACAAGGAAGAAAACAUGCAUCAACCCCAGUGCAUAGAUUACCCGAAUGUCACCUCAGGAAUCCGCGAGUUGAGUGCCAAAAUAUACAUCAGGUGAAUCAAUAGAACACCCCAUUGUCACCAUGGGUGUCCCACGCAAGACAUACAUCAAGUGUUCUAAAAUCCAUAAUAGUAUUCAAUCCAAUAAUAGUGAAACCUCAAAGGUAAAACUCAAUUCAUCACCAGAAGGUAGAGGGGCAGAAACACCAUAUGAUUCAACUAUAGUAACAAAGCUCGUGGUACAUCAAGAUCGUGCCAAAUCAAGAACACGAGAGAGAGAAAGAGAGAGAGAGAUCAAACACAUAGCUAAUGGUACAUACCCUCAGCCCUGAGGGUGAACCACUCCCUCCUUGUCACGGAGACCACCGUAAUGAUGAAGAUGGCCACCGGUGAUGGUUUCCCUCUCCGGCGGGGUGCGAGAACGGGCUCCCGACUGGUUUUUCGUGGCUACAGAGGCUUUCGGCGGUGGAACUUCUGAUCUAGGUUUCUUUCUGGGGCUUUCGUGAUUUAUAGGAAUUUUUUGAGUCGGUCUCACGUCAGGGGGGUUCCCGAGGGACCCACAAGCCAGGGGUGCGCCCUCCACCCUUGUGGUUGCAUCGGGACUCCUUUGUUCCAUCUCCAAUGCCCCGUGGGUCUCUUCUGGUCCAUAAAAAAUCAUCAUAAAGUUUCAGCUUGUUUGGACUCCGUUUGAUAUUCCUUUUCUGAAAACUCAAAAACAAGGAAAAAAUAGAAACUGACACUGGGCUCUAGGUUAAUAGGUUAGUCCCAAAAAUAAUAUAAAAUAGCAUAUGAAUGCAUAUAAAACAUCCAAAACAGAUAAUAUAAAAGCAUGGAACAAUCAAAAAUUAUAGAUACGUGCAUAUAGAUAGGUAUGGUGGACUCAUCUGGAAUAACUUGGUUUUCAGGAUUUUUGAUGCACAAGUAGUAUUCCUGCUUAUUACAUGCGAAGGCUAGAAAAUAGAUUGAGAAGCGGCCAGCUAGAGAGCGAAAACGGUCAUGAACAUGCAUUAUGCAUAAGUAACAUUGGAUACUAGCAUGAGUAGGUGAUACGUCUCCAACGUAUCUAUAAUUUGUUAUUGUUCCAUGCUAUUAUAUUAUCUGUUUUGGAUGUUUAAUGGGAUUUAUUAGGCACUUUAACAUUAUUUUUGGGACUAACCUAUUAACCGAAGGCCCGGUGCAAAUUUUGUUUUUUGCCUAUUUCAGUGUUUCGCAGAAAAGGAAUAUCAAACGGAAUCCAAACGGAAUGAAACCUUCGGGAGGAUCCUUUUUCGAACAAACGCAAUCCAGGAGACUUGGAGUGGAGGUCAAGAAAGCCACGAGGCGGUCACGAGGUAGGGCGGUGCGCCCCCAGCCUCGUGGACCCCUUGUAGCUCCACCGACCUACUUCUUUCACCUAUAUAUACUAUUAUACCUUGAAAACAUCCAGGAGAGCCACGAAACCACUUUUCCACCACCGCAACCUUCUGUACCCAUGAGAUCCCAUCUGGGGACCUUUUCCGGCGAUCUAUCGGAGGGGGUUCGAUCAUGGAGGGCUUCUACAUCAACACCAUAGCCUCUCCGAUGUUGUGUGAAUAGUUUACCACAGACCUUCGGGUCCAUAGUUAUUAGCUAGAUGGCUUAUUCUCUCUCUUUGGUUCUCAAUACAUAGUUCUCCUCGAUGUUCUAGGAGAUCUAUUCGAUGUAAAACUUUUUGCGGUGUGUUUGUCAAGAUCCAAUGAAUUGUGGGUUUAUGAUCAAGUUUAUCUAUGAACAAUAUUUGAUUCUUCUCUGAAUUAUUAUAUGCAUGAUUUGAUAUCUUUGCAAGUCUCCUCGAAUUAUCAGUUUGGUUUGGCCUACUAGAUUGAUCUUUCUUGCAAUGGGAGAAGUGCUUAGCUUUGGGUUCAAUCUUGCGGUGCUCGAUCCCAGUGACAGAAAGGGAACCGACACGUAUUGUAUUGUUGCCAUCGAGGAUAAAAAAUAUGGGGUUUAUAUCAUAUUGCUUGAGUUUAUCCCUCUACAUCAUGUCAUCUUGCUUAAUGCGUUACUCUGUUCUUAUGAACUUAAUACUCUAGAUGCAUGCUGGAUAGUGGUCGAUGUGUGGAGUAAUAGUAGUAGAUGCAGAAUCGUUUCGGUCUACUUGACAUGGGAGUGAUGCCUAUGUUUAUGAUUAUGCGUAGAUAUUAUCAUAACUAUGCGCCUUUCUAUCAAUUGCUCAGUAGUAAUUUGUUCACCCACAUUAAUAUAUGCUAUCUUGAGAGAAGCCACUAGUGAAACCUAUGGCCCCGGGGUCUACUUUACAUCAUAUAAGUUUCUAAUCUACAGUUCUAGUUUACUAUUUAUUUUGCAAUCUUCACUUUCCAAUCUAUACAAAAAUACCAAAAAUAUUUAUCUUAUUAUCUUUAUCAGAUAUCACUUUUGCAAGUGGCCGUGAAGGGAUUGACAACCCCUUUAUCGCGUUGGUUGCAAGGUUCUUAUUUGUUUGUGCAGGUACUAGGCGAUUUGCGUGUAGUCUCCUACUAGAUUGAUACCUUGGUUCUCAAAAACUAAGGGAAAUACUUACGCUACUUUGCUGCAUCACCCUUUCCUCGUCAAGGGAAAACCAACGCAUGCUUAAGAGGUAGCAAGAAGGAUUUCUGGCGCCGUUGUCGGGGAGAUCUACGCUCAAGUCAAGACAUACCAAGUACCCAUCACAAACUCUUAUCCCUCGCAUUACAUUACUUGCCAUUUGCCUCUCGUUUUCCUCUCCCCCACUUCACCUUUGUCAUUUUUUUCGCCCUUUUUCCGUUCGUCUCUUUUUGCUUGCCUCUUGUUUGCUUGUGUGUUGGAUUGAUUGUUUGUCACGAUGGCUCAAGAUAAUACCAAAUUAUGUGACUUUUCCAAUACCAACAAUAAUGAUUUUAUUAGCACUCCGAUUGCUCCUACUACCGAUGUUAAAUAUUGUGAAAUCAAUACCGCUUUGUUGCAUCUUGUUACGAAAAAUCAAUUUUCUGUCCUUCCUAGUGAAGAUACCGCUACCCAUCUAAACAGCUUCGUUGAUUUGUGUGAUAUGCAAAAGAAGAAAGAUGUGAAUAAUAAUAUUGUUAAAUUGAAGCUAUUUCCAUUUUCGCUUAGAGAUCGUGCUAAAACUUGGUUCUCUUCUUUGCCUAAAAUUAGUACUGAUUCAUGGAAUAAGUGCAAAGAUGCUUUUAUCUCUAAGUAUUUUCCUCCCGCUAAGAUCAUCUCUCUUAGAAACGAUAUUAUGAAUUUUAAGCAACUUGAGCAUGAGCAUGUUGCACAAGCUUGGGAGAGGAUGAAAUUAAUGAUACGUAAUUGCCCUACACAUGGUUUGAAUUUAUGGAUGAUUAUACAAAACAUUUAUGCUGGAUUGAAUUUUGCUUCUAGAAAUCUUUUAGAUUCGGCCUCGGGAGGCACUUUUAUGGAAAUCACUUUAGGAGAAUCCACUAAACUCCUAGACAAUAUUAUGGUUAAUUAUUCUCAAUGGCACACCGAAAGAUCCACUAGUAAAAAAGUUCAUGCUAUUGAAGAGAUUAAUGUUUUGAGUGGAAAGAUGGAUGAACUUAUGAAAUUGUUUGCUAAUAAGAGUGUUUCUUCUGAUCCUAAUGAUAUUCCUUUAUCCACUUUGAUUGAGAACAAUAAUGAAUCUAUGGAUGUGAAUUUUGUUGGUAGGAACAAUUUUGGUAACAACGCGUAUAGAGGAAAUUUUAAUUCUAGGCCGUUCCCUAGUAAUUCCUCUAAAAAUUAUGGUAAUUCCUACAACAACUCUUACGGAAAUUUUAAUAAUAUACCCUCUGAUUUUGAGACUAGUGUUAAAGAAUUUAUGAAUUCGCAAAAUAAUUUCAAUGCUUUGCUUGAAGAAAAAGUGCUUAAGAUUGAUGAGUUGGCUAGGAACAUGGAUAGAAUUUCUCUUGAUGUUGAUUCUUUGAAACUUAGAUCUAUUCCACCCAAGCAUGAUAUCAAUGAGUCUCUCAAAUCCAUGAGAAUUUCCAUUGAUGAGUGCAAAGAAAGAACCACUAGGAUGCGUGCUAAAAAAAGAUUGCUUUUUGAAAAUGUGUUCUUCUAGUUUUCAUGAUAAUAUUGAUGAAGAUCUAAAAGUGAUUGGUGUGUCUCCUAUUAAGUCUUUUUUUGCCAAUAUGAAUCUUGAUAAAGAUGAGACUGGAGAUGAGUCAACUUUAGUUAGAAGGCGUCCCAAUGAUUCAGAGUUUUUAGAUCUUGAUGCAAAAAUUGGUAAAAGUGGGAUUGAUGAGGUCAAAACUUUACAUAGCAAUAAACCCACUAUUUUGGAUUUCAAGAAAUUUAAUUAUGAUAAUUUAUUUUUAAUAGAUUGUAUUUCCUUGUUGCAAUCCGUGUUAAAUUCUCCUCAUGCUUAUGAUCAAAACAAAGCUUUAACUAAACAUAUCGCUGAUGCCUUAAUGCAAUCCCAUGAAGAAAAGCUUGAAUUAGAAGUUUCUAUCCCUAGAAAACUUUAUGAUGAGUGGGAACCUACUAUUAAAACUAAGAUUAAAGAUCAUGAAUGUUAUGCUUUAUGUGAUUUGGGUGCUAGUGUUUCCACGAUUCCAAAAACUUUCUGUGAUGUGUUCGGUUUCCGUGAAUUUGAUGAUUGUUCUUUAAAUUUGCAUCUUGUCGAUUCCACCAUUAAGAAACCUAUGGGAAGGAUUAAUGAUGUUCUUAUUGUUGCAAAUAGGAAUUAUGUGCCUGUAGAUUUCAUUGUUCUUGAUAUAGAUUGCAAUCCUACAUGUCCUAUUAUUCUUGGUAGACCUUUCCUUAGAACGAUUGGUGCAAUUAUUGACAUGAAAGAAGGAAAUUUUAGAUUCCAAUUUCCGUUAAGGAAAGGCAUGGAACACUUUCCUAGAAAGAAAAUUAAAUUACCUUAUGAAUCAAUUAUGAGAGCCACAUAUGGAUUGCAUACCAAAGAUGACAAUACCUAGAUCUAUUAUUGUUUUUAUGCCUAGCUAGGGGCGUUAAACGUUAGCGCUUGUUGGGAGGCAACCCAAUUUUAUUUUUGUUCCUUGCUUUUUGUUCCUGUUUAGUAAUAAAUAAUUCAUAUAUCAUAUGUUAUUAUUGUGUUUUAUGUUUUAAUUAGUGUUUGUGCCAAGUAAAGCCUUUAGGAUCUUCUUGGAUGAUUGUUAUUUGAUCUUGCUGAAAAAAACAGAAACUUUGCGUUCACGAGAAUAAUUUUCGUUUUGUACCAGAGAGCGAUAAAAUACCGAUUCCAACUGAACUAGAUCAAUAUAAAAAUUAUUUAGGACGUCCUAAUUUCUCAGGAUUUUGGACUUACAGAAGUAUUCGAAACCUAUAGAUUACUAUAGACUGUUCGUUUUUGACAGAUUCUGUUUUUCGUGUGUUGUUUUCUUAUUUUGAUGAAUCUAUGGCUAGUAUCGGGGGGUAUGAACCAUAGAGAAGUUGGAAUAAAGUAGGUUUAACAUAAAUAUAAAUAAAUAAUUAGUUCAUUACAGUACCUUAAAGUGGUGGUUUGUUUUCUUAUACUAACGGAGCUCAUGAGAUUUUAUGUUGAGUUUUGUCUUGUGAAGUUUUCAAGUUUUUGGGUAAAGAUUUGAUGGAUUUUGGAACAAGGAGUGUCAAGAGCCUAAGUUUGGGGAUUCCCAAGGCACCCCAAGGUAAAAUUCAAGGACAACCAAAAGCCUAAGUUUGGGGAUGCCAUGCCCCAGAAGGCAUCCCCUCUUUCGUCUUCGUCUAUCGGUAACUUUACUUGAGGCUACAUUUUUAUUCACCACAUGAUAUGUGUUUUGCUUGGAGCGUCUUGUAUGAUUUGAGUCUUUGAUUUUUAGUUUACCACAAUCAUCCUUGAUGUACACACCUUUUGGAGAGACACACAUGAAUUGAAAUUUAUUAGAAUACUCUAUGUGCUUCACUUAUAUCUUUUGAGCUAGAUAAUUUUGGCCUAGUGCUUCACUUAUAUCUUUUUAGAGCACGGUGGUGAUUUUAUUUUAUAGAAAUUAUUGAUCUCUCAUGAUUCACUUAUAUUAUUUUGAGAGUCUUUUAGAACAUCAUGGUAAUUUUCUUUGGCUACGAAAUUAGUCCUAAUAUGAUAGGCAUCCAACAUGGGUAUAAUAAAAACUUUCAUAUAAAGUGCAUUGAAUACUAUGAGAAAUUUGAUACUUGAUGAUUGUUUUGAGAUAUGAAGAUGGUGAUAUUAGAGUCAUGCUAGUUGAGUAGUUGUGAAUUUGAGAGAUACUUGUGUUAAAGUUUGUGAUUCCCGUAGCAUGCACGUGUGGUGUACCGUUAUGUGAUGAAGUCGGAGCAUGAUUUAUUUUUUGAUUGUCUUCCUUAUGAGUGGCGGUCGGGGACGAGCGAUGGUCUUUUCCUACCAAUCUAUCCCCCUAGGAGCAUGCGCGUAAUACUUUGUUUCAAUAAAUAAUAGAUUUUUGCAAUAAGUAUGUGAGCUCUUUAUGACUAAUGUUGAGUCCAUGGAUUAUACACACUCUCACCCUUCCACCAUUGCUAGCCUCUCUAGUACCGCGCAACUUUCGCCGGUACCAUAAACCCACCAUUUACCUUCCUCAAAAAAGCCACCAUACCUACCUAUUAUGGCAUUUCCAUAGCCAUUCCGAGGUAUAUUGCCAUGCAACUUUCCCCCGUUUCGUUUAUCAUGACACGCUCCAUCAUUGUCAUAUUGCUUUGCAUGAUCAUGUAGUUGACAUCGUAUUUGUGGCAAAGCCACCAUUCAUAAUUUUUCAUACAUGUCACUCUUGAUUCAUUGCGCAUCCCGGUACACCACCGGAGGCAUUCACAUAGAGUCAUAUUUUGUUCUAAGUAUUGAGUUGUAAUUCUUGAGUUGUAAGUAAAUAAAAGUGUGAAGAUCAUCAUUAUUAGAGCAUUGUCCCAGUGAGGAAAGGAUGAUGGAGACUAUGAUUCCCCCACAAGUCGGGAUGAGACUCCGGAUGAAAAAUAAAGAAAGAAAAAAAAGAGGCCAUAAAAAGAGGAGAAGAAAAGGCCCAAAUAAAAAAUGAGAGAAAAAGAGAGAAGGGGUAAUGCUACUAUCCUUUUUCCACACUUGUGCUUCAAAGUAGCACCAUGAUCUUCAUGAUAGAGAGUCUUUUUUGUUGUCACUUUCAUAUACUAGUGGGAAUUUUUCAUUAUAGAACUUGGCUUGUAUAUUCCAAUGAUGGGCUUCCUCAAAAUGCCCUGGGUCUUCGGGAGCAAACAAAUUGGAUGCACACCCACUUAGUUUCUUUUGUUGAGCUUCCAUACAUUUAUAGCUCUAGUGCAUCCGUUGCAUGGCAAUCCCUACUCACUCACAUUAAUAUCUAUCAAUGGGCAUCUCCAUAGCCCAUUGAUAUGCCUAGUUGAUGUGAGACUAUCUUCUCCUUUUUGUCUUCUCCACAACCACCAUUCUAUUCCACCUAUAGUGCUAUAUCCAUGGCUCACGCUCAUGUAUUGCGUGAAGAUUGAAAAAGUUUGAGAACACCAAAAGUAUGAAACAAUUGCUUGGCUUGUCAUCGGGGUUGUGCAUGAUUUAAAAUAUUGUGUGUGAUGAAGAUAGAGCAUAGCCAGACUAUAUGAUUUUGUAGGGAUAGCUUUCUUUGGCCAUGUUAUAUUGAGAAGACAUAAUUGCUUCGUUAGUAUGCUUGAAGUAUUAUUGUUUUUAUGUCAAUAUUAAACUUUUUUCUUGAAUCUUUCGGAUCUGAAUAUUCAUGCCACAAUAAAUAAAAUUACACUGAAAAUUAUGUUAGGUAGCAUUCCACAUCAAAAAUUAUGUUUUUAUCAUUUACCUACUUGAGGAUGAGCAUGAAUUAAGCUUGGGGAUGCUUGAUACGUCUCCAACGUAUCUAUUAUUUUUGAUUGUUCCAUGCUAUUAUAUUAUCUGUUUUGGAUGUUCAAUGGGCUUUAUUAUGAACUUUUAUAUUAUUUUUGGGACUAACCUAUUAACUAAAGGCCCAGUGCAAAUUGUUUUUUUUGCCUAUUUCAGUGCUUCGUAGAAAAGGAAUAUCAAACGGAAUCCAAAUGGAAUGAAACCUUCACGAGGAUCUUUUUUUGGAACAAACGCAAUCCAGGAGACUUGGAGUGGAGGUCAAGAAAGCCACGAGGCGGCCACGAGGUAGGGAGGCGCGCCCAGGGGGCAGGUGCGCCCCCACCCUCAUGGGCCCCCCGUAGCUCCACCGACCUACUUCUUUCGCCUAUAUAUACUCUUAUACCCUGAAAACAUCCAGGAGAGCCAAGAACCCACUUUUCCACCACCGCAAACUUCUGUACCCGUGAGAUCCCAUCUGGGGACCUUUUCCGGCGAUCUGACGGAGGGGGGUUCGAUCACAGAGGGCUUCUACAUCAACACCAUAGCCUCUCCGAUGAUGUGUGAGUAGUUUACCAUAGACCUUCGGGUCCAUAGUUAUUAGCUCGAUGGCUUCUUCUCUCUCUUUGAUUCUCAAUACAAAGUUCUCCUCGAUGUUCUUGGAGAUCUAUUCGAUGUAAUACUUUUUGCGGUGUGUUUGCCGAGAUCCAAUGAAUGGUGGGUUUAUGAUCAAGUUUAUCUAUGAACAAUAUUUGAUUCUUCUCUGAAUUCUUAUAUGCAUGAUUUGAUAUCUUUGCAAGUCUCUUCGAAUUAUCAGUUUGGUUUGGCCUACUAGAUUGAUCUUUCUUGCAAUGCGAGAAGUGCUUAGCUUUGGGUUCAAUCUUGUGGUGCUCGAUCCCAGUGACAGAAAGGGAACCGACACGUAUUGUAUUGUUUCCAUCGAGGAUAAAAAUAUGGGGUUUAUAUCAUAAUUCUUGAGUUUAUCCCUCUACAUCAUGUCAUCUUGCUUAAUGCAUUACUCUGUUCUUAUGAACUUAAUACUCUAGAUGCAUGCUGGAUAGCGGUCGAUGUGUGGAGUAAUAGUAGUAGAUGCAGAAUCAUUUCGGUCUACUUGACACGGACGUGAUGCCUAUGUUUAUGAUCAUGCCUAGAUAUUCUCAUAACUAUGCACCUUUCUAUCAAUUGCUCGGCAGUAUUUGUUCACCCACCGUAAUAUAUGCUAUCUUGAGAGAAGCCACUAGUGAAACCUAUGGCCCCCCGGUCUACUUUACAUCAUAUAAGUUUCCAAUCUACAAUUCUAGUUUACUAUUUAUUUUGCAAUCUUUACUUUCCAAUCUAUACAAAAAUACCAAAAAUAUUUAUCUUAUUAUCUUUAAUAGAUCUCACUUUUGCAAGUGGCCGUGAAGGGAUUGACAACCCCUUCAUCGCGUUGGUUGCAAGGUUCUUAUUUGUUUGUGCAGGUACUAGGCGAUUUGCAUGUAGUCUCCUACUGGAUUGAUACAUUGGUUCUCAAAAACUGAGGGAAAUACUUACGCUACUUUGCUUCAUCACCCUUUCCUCUUCAAGGGAAACCAACGCAUGCUCAAGAGGUAGCAGUAGGAUAUGAACAGCAUGAACAUAAAUAUCAGAGAGGCUAUGUUGGUUUUGAUUCAACUACAUGCAUGAACAUGUGCCAAGUCAAGCCACUCAAACAUUCAUAGGAGGAUACCAUAUCAUUAUACUACAUCACAAUCAUUUUAACGCAAUGCUGACAUCCAAGAUAAAUCAUUAUCCACUCAUAGCUACUUAAGCAUGGCAUGAGAAACAAUAAUAUCUAAUUGUCAUUGCAAACAUGUUUGAUCAUAAUAGGCUGAAUCAUGGAUACUAGGUUAAACAUAUGUACAAAAACAGAAUAAGUUGAGUUCAUACCCGUUUCUCCCUGCCACAGCCAAUUCAUCAAAUAUCAUCAUUAUUGCCUUUCACUUGCACGACCGAAUGAUACAAAAAUGAUAAUAGUGCAAGAGUGUUGUGGACUAAGCUGGAAUCUGCAAACAUUUUAUUCAAAAGGAGAAGACAAAGUAAUAUGGGCCCUUUGUUAGAUCAACAAUAAUGCAUAAGAGAGCUACUCAACAUUUUCAUCGUGGUCUUGUCCUCGGUAUGACUCAAUAAACGGAAAAAAAAUUAGAGAAACACACUGAAAUAUUUUUAGAGUUUUUGGUUUUUCUAGAAGAAAUAGAUUAAAGAAAAAAACAAAAGCGAGAAAAGCUAUUUACACGGGGAAGCUUCCAACAAGCAAAAGAAGAACAAGGAAAUCUUCUUGGGUUUUCUUUUUAAUACUACAACUAAUUAAACUAGAAAGAAAAACCAAAAAAAACAGGAAAUAUUUUUGGAUUUUCUCAAAGUUUUUCAAACACACAAGAAGGAAGCGAGGAAAUAAAUCUAGCAUGGAUAGUACAAUGAAAAAGUGUUGACACCGGCAACUGGAAUGAAAAUGUGUGAACAUGAAUGUAAUGUCGGUGGAAAUACGUACUCCCCCAAGCUUAGGCUUUUAGCCUAACUUGGUAAUCACCAUCAGUAGCCUACAUAGUGGUCGGAGUGGUAGCUCGUGGAGGCUCUGGGUGCAGACGCCUUAGCCCGUCGCGCGGCCACAACCGCUGCGUUAUGUGCUCGGGCCUCGCUCUCAAGAACACAAUAUAUUGCCUUGCUGUGAACAUCAAAGAGAGUAGGUGCAGGCAAAAAGGUGUCCACAACGGACCUUUUAUUAAACAACAGGUUACAAGUAAAAUCAUGAGGUUCACCACUGAGGAUCUUAUGACGUUUCAUAGCAUCAAAGUCCAAGUACUGCGUGGGAAGGAUGGGGUCAUAAGGCCAAGGUGAAACACCCAGCUCUCUUGCUAAGUGUGCGGCAUAAAUUCCACCAUGAAAAUAUCCACUACCAGCGUUGUGUUGCAACCUGCAUGCAACAAUUGCUCCAAGGUUAAAACUUUUGUCACCGGUGAGAGCGGUGCGUAUGAGGCUCAAGUCUGGAGCACAAAGUGUACUACAAUCUUGUUUGCCUGCAAUGCACUUUCCAUUAAAUAGUGCAAAGUAUUGAAUUGAGGGAAAAUGAAUGCUCUUUAUUCUACCUUGCGUCACUCCUCUAGUCUCACCAUAGCAAAGACUAGUCAAGAAUAUCUCAAACUCAGAUAUUGGUGGUUCGUCUAACGAACCCCAAAAUGGAAUUUUAUAGUAGUUAGAAAAUUUCUCUAAGGGUAGAGUGAAAGGAUAGUCUUACCGUUUAAACUACACUCUAGACUCACGAGGAUGGAAUUUAAAUUCUUUAGUAAAUGAUUCAGUGAGGCUGAGGUGUUGGUUGCACUUAUCUGCAAUGUAGGGACCGAGCUCGGCAUUGUGAACAUAUUGCUCAAAUUCUUCUUUAAUGCCCACACACACCAUACAAUCAUUGCAUGGCCAUAAUAACAUGAUUUGGUGGCGGUGUCUCAUAUGGAAUUUUCACUUGGUUCAACAUAAGACCGACGAACGAAGCUGCUACUAGAAGAUGCCUCUGUGGACCUCCUCCUCGAAGAACUCCUCCCAAAGAAGUUCAUCAUAUUUGCGUACAAUUUUUUGAAAAAAUUUGGGUCACAAAAUCUUUAUCAACAAAAUUUCACAAGAUUGAUAGCAACUACUCAUAGGGAUGCAUAGAGGCUGUAUGAAGCAUUCAAACUACUUAGAACUCUAAGAAUUCAACAUGCAAGCUCAUCUAAAGCAGCACCAAGAGUAGCUAAUUAUUCAGGAUAUAAACCACUAAAGUAAAAACUAACUGGACCAAUGGAGGAGUCACAUACCAAGCAACAAUCCCCCGAAACAGUUUCGGAAACGGAGCUUCGAGCAAAGAAAUCAAAAUCCGUGGGUUAGAGAGAGAGAGCAAUGGUGAUUUUUUUCUGGAGGUAGGUGAUGACAUGGGAUGACUAGAUAAGUGAGAGGGCCCACGUGGGGACCACAACCCACUAGGGCGUGCCUAGGGUGCUGGCGCACCCAGGUGGGUUGUGCCCACCAGGUGCAACCCCUUUGAUGUUAUUUGCAACAAAAAUUUAUAAAUAUUCAGAAAAAAAUCAUAUUGAAAUUUUAGAGCAUUCUGAGAACUUUUAUUUUUGGGUCAUUUUUUAUUGCACGGGAAAUUCAAAAAACAGAUAGAACAUGGCAUUUUAUUUUAAUUAACUAAUAAAAACAGAAAACAAAAGGUAAGGACAGAAGGUAGUGCUUACUAAAUUCAUCAACUUCAUACCUCUCAAAAAUGAUUCAUUAAUAAGAUUGAUCAAGUCUUAUUACAACCACUUUCGAUUAGUAUGAAACCGAAGAACUUUCGUAAAACACUAAGUUACCUCAAAGGGGAUAUGAAUGUCCCCAACAAUAAGCACUUCAUAUUUCUUUUUGACAAUAGGUAGAGGUAGUUGAAAACUUCCAAUGGUGAUUGUCAUAGAUUUUUUCAAUAACAUUAAUACCAUUCACUUGGAAUUGUUUCUUCGGAAAGUGCAUUACCAUUGAUAUGAAAAGUGACCUUUCUUUUAUUGCAAUUAAUAACAGCCCCUGCAGCAUUCAAAAAGGGUCUACUAAGGAUAAUCGACAUGUUGUCAUCCUUGGGCAUCUCAAGUAUAACAAAGUCAGUUAAAAUAGAAACGUUUGCAACAACAAUGGGCACAUCUUCACAAAUACCGAUAGGUAUGGAAGUUGAUUUGUCAGCCAUUUGCAAAGAUAUUUCAGUAGGUGUGAGUUUAUUCACAUCAAGUCUUUUAUAUAAAGAGAAAGUCAUAACACUAACACCAGCUCCUAGAUCACAUAAAACAAUUUUCACAUAAUUCCUUUUGAUGGAGCAAGGUAUAGUUGGUAUUCCCGGAUCUCCAAGUUUUUUAGGUACUCCAUCCUUAAAAGUGUAAUUAGCAAGCAUGGUGGAGAUUUCAGCCUCCGGUAUUUUUCGCUUGUUGGUGAUGAUGUCUUUCAUGUACUUUGCAUAAGGAGGAAUUUUAAGAUAUAUAUCAAUCAAGCGGGUACGCAAAAAGACUGGCCUAAGCAUUUCAGCAAAGCGUUCAAAUUCUUCAUCAUCUUUCUUCUUAGUUGACUUAGGCAGAAAAUGCAUAGGUUUUUGAACUCAUCGUUCUCUUUCCUUACCAUGUUUUCUAGCAACAAAGUCUCUUUUAUCAUACCUUUUAUUUUUGGGUUGUGGGUUAUCAAGAUCAACAGCUGGUUCUAUUUCAACAUCAUUGUAUGGUUCUUUAUUAUUUGUUUGAGUAUCUUCAUGAACCUCAUCAUUAUAUUUUUCAUUAUCAGAAGGUGAGUGUUCAUUACCAGAUUGAGUUUGAGCAUCAGAAAUAGAAACAUCAUUAGUAGCAUCAGCAGGUUUUUCUACUUCAGGUUCACUAGAGGCAUGCAAAGUCCUAUUAUUUUUCUUCUUCUUUUUCGUUUUGGAAGGACUAGGUGCACCAUUGUUAAUUCUUUGAUAGUCUUGUUCAAUUCUCUUUGGGUGUCCCUCAGAAUAAAGUGAUUCCUGAGUCAUUUUACAUCCUCUAGUUGCUACUCUAACAGCAAAGUCAUUUAUAUUAUUGUUCAUUUCAUCAAGUAAUUCUGUUUGAGAUUUAGCAACUUGUUAAAAUUGAGUUUGAAUUAUAGAGGCAUGCUUUCCUACACCUCUAACAUCAUUGGUAAUUCUAAAUAACAAGUCACUCAAGUGAGCAAUCAUAUCAGAAUUGUAUUUCAGUUGUUUCAUAACAUUUGCAUUGAAGUGAUCUUGUUUUCUAAUGUAAUUAUCAAACUCAUAAAGGCAUUGACUAGGAUGCAUAUUAUAAGGAUUGUCAUUGAAUUUCAUUAAAGAAUUUACCUCUACCACCUUAGGCAGUGGUGGUAUAUCUAGGCCAUGUAUUUCUUCAAUAGGAGGUAAAUUUUCGACAUCCUCGGCUUUAAUACUACCUCUGUCAAUAAGAACGUUUUUCACACUACACUAGUGUCAAAAACGUUCUUAUAUUAUGGGAUGGAGGGAGUACCUUUUUCCUUCAUUGAUUUCUUUGCCUCUUGCAUAUCUUCAGGACUAAGAUAUAAGAUACCCCUCUUCUUCGGAGUAGGUUUAAGCGGUGGUUCGAGAAGAGUCCAAUCAUCAUAAUUUUUCAAUAUGUUAUUCAAUAGUUCUUCAGCUUGUUCAAUAGUUCAUUCCCUGAAAACAUAACCAGCACAACUAUCUAGGAAAUGCCUAGAAGCAUCGGUUAGUCCAUUAUAGAAGAUAUCAAGUACUUCAUUUUUCUUAAGAGGAUGAUCAGGUAAAGAAUUAAGCAAUUGGAGAAGCCUCCCCCAAGCUUGUGGGAGACUCUCUUAUUCAACUAGAAGAUACCCCGCACGUUGCGGCGGGAAUCCUUGAGGGCUUAUAUGAAAAUUCUGAGAAGCAAAGGAAAGUUAUCUACAAAAAAAGAAAAAUAAAGGGAAGUUUAACAUGCAUAGUGCAAUAGUUGCAAUAUGAAUUUUUUUUGUUUUUAUUAUUUCUUGAUGCAUUAUGUUAUGUCUAGGAAUCAUCGGGUGAUCAAAUAGAGGUACCAAUCCGCAUAGAUUACAUUUUAAUCAUGAGAAAAUGUAUUAUUAUUUGCAAUGGUUACACUGAGCGAACAAAAUCAAUGGAAUAUGCCAAAGGGUAGAUAAAACGCAUCAUAAAUAGGAGGUGAAGCGAGGAGUGGAAGUGUCGAUGACCCUUGUAGUUCCAGUUGUGACGACAUGAUAUGGCAAGUUCGCAUGGGAAGGAAAUACAGUUAGUCCAGAUCAACUUAUUGUUAUAGGAUAUGAUAUAGGGGUUGUGUUGUGUUAUAAAAUUUUAGAUGUAUGCAUGUAUCAGUGCAUUAUUCAUCUCCAAAAAAAUAAAAUAAACAAAUGACUUCUACAAUGAAAGAAAGUUGUAGGGUUUUUAUGAACAUAACUGAUAGAUAAGAACAUUGUCACUUUGUAAUAACAUAAUCAAUAGUUAAAAAAUCACACCGUAUCUUUUUUUUGGCCCUUUCUUAUUCCACUUUAAAAAAAUUGAAGUACAAUAUAUGAUUCGAACUGAAAAGAAAACACACCGAGCACACUAGUAAAGAAAUGAACAAUACCAAGGGCAACCAAAGUGAGUUGAUAUCGGCAUACAUAUUACAUAGAUGUAGCUUAUUAGAUGUAAUGAAAUGAUCUACUCAGAUUUGCAAGCAUGAACAGAUCACCUGGAUAAAGUAAGAGGCCGUGAGAAAUUGUAGAGUAUCACCAUUUGAGAAUAAAACUGUCUGUAGCACCAUCAGACUGAGAAUAAAUGGUCAUAAUCUAAGAAGGGAAAGAAAAUAAACAACAUGACCAGUAGGUGAUCAUACAGAAUACAUGCAAAUAAUAUGUACAAUACAAUUUGUCUGUCUGCACCUUGAAUAAUAAACACCCAGCUUUAAUCUUUCUGGGUACAUAACCUGUUCAAUCUACAUAGCAUCCACAUUACAAAACAAUUUUGACAAUAGUUUGGAAGAGGUCCAACUCGAACUGUUGCUGCCUGGAUCAAGACAGAGGAAAAGAAGAGAGAAUAAAUUUGCCUCUCGGAUGUCUGUUUGAUGGAGUGCAUCUAGGAGAGGAAUAAGGAAAAGUAGACACUGGAAACAUACAAAGGAAUCAUUGGAUUGAAGAUCCGAACCUGUAUGCUCUUUCAAUGGUUCUUCUACCCCGUAUAACAUGUGGAUGUGUUGCGGCUGCGUGAAGAGCUGCUCAUGUACGGGAUAAAAGUCCAACAUAUGUGGAUAGAGAUCCGAACCUGUAUGCUCUUUCAAUGGUUCUUCUACCCCGUACAACAUGUGGAUGUGUCGCGGCUGAGUGAAGACUUGCUCCUGUACGGGAUGAAAAUCCAACAUAUGAGGAUAGAAAUUGAGAUCAAGAUCAAGAGAGAGCCCGUAGAUGGGGGAAGGGGGCCUCGUCCAUUCGUCAUCACGCUAGAGGAAGACGACCAGCGGGAAGCCCUAGCGGCGGAGGAACACCUCAUUCUGGCUGGUUGAAGUAGAUGUCCAGUUGUGUGUUGCCGCCUGGUGGGGAAGGGAAACGACGAGUUCCCAAGGAAGGUCGUGCCCCUCGGUUACAAACUGUUGCCGCUCUUCACUGCUGAAACGAAAAACAUGGGAACGGCUGUUACGUUUGGAGACGGACCUGAUGGGAAUUAAAUGUAAGUAUAUAGUGGACCGUGUCUUGAAAAACAAAGGAAGCAAUGCAUUGAUAAAAAACCUUCGAGGGGAAGAAAAAAAAACCUUCGAGGGGAAGAAAAAAAUACCGAAGAAAUGAAGUGACGUGGCUGGAAUUUGCUGAGGUGGCUAGACAAUGAUGUGGACGAGCUGCAUGUUGAGAGAAUAGGUAGUAGUGGGGAUCAACUUCUUCAGAAUGUAAGAUUUGUACAAAGUUAAAAUAUUUCGUGUAAGGCAGCUUGUUUCUUAUGGGCAGGAAAAUAUUUUUCAGAGAAGUAAUAAAUCAUAUCCUGGGGACUACGCACACAACCAAGAGCAAGAGUAUUAUACCAAGUAUUAGCAUCACCCUUUAAUGAGAACGGAAAUAAUUUGAGAAUGUAAUAAUAGUGAAUCUUCUCAUCAUGAGCAAAAAGGGUGGCUAUGUCAUUUAACUUAGUAAGAUGUGCCACAACAGUUUCGGUUUCAUAACCAUGGAAAGGAUCAGAUUCAACCAAAGUAAUUAACUCUGGAUCGACAGAGAAUUCAUAAUCCUUAUCAUCAACAAAGAUAGGUGAAGUAGCAAACUUAGGAUCACAUUUCAUUCUAUCAUUCAAAGAUUUUUCUUUUAGUUUGCAUAAUAAUUUCUUCAGAUCAUCCCUAUCAUUGCAAGCAAAAAAGUCUCUAGUUGUCUCCUCAUCCGUAACAUAACCUUCCGGUAUCUUAGGCAAUUCAUAUCUAGGAGAACUAGAUCUAAUAGGUGUUUCAAGAUUUUCAGUUUCAAGAUCCUCAUCAGUUUCAGCAUUCUCAAAAGCUUUAGUUCUAGCAAUUUUUUCAUCAAAAAACUCACCUAGUGGCACAUUAUCAUCAAGCAAGGUACUAGCAUCAUCAUGAGUAGCAUCAUCAAUAACUUGUGACAUAUCAUGAUUAAUAGCAUGUGCUGGUGUUGCAAGUCUACUUAUAACAGAAGGUGAAUCAAGUGCAGAGCUAGAUGGCAGUUCCUUACCCUCGUCUUGGAGGGAAAAAUCUUAGUCUUAGCAUCCUUCAGAUUCUUCAUAGUGAUAAUUUGAUAAUAAUCCCAAGUGACUCAACAAAUAUAGCUAUGCUCCCCAGCAACGGAGCUAGAAAAAGGUCUUGAUAACCCACAAGUAUAGGGGAUCACAACAGUUUUCGAGGGUAGAGUAUUCAACCCAAAUUUAUUGAUUCGACACAAGGGGAGCCAAAGAAUAUUUGCAAGUAUUAGCAGUUGAGUUGUCAAUUCAACCACACCUGGAGAUUAAUUAUCUGCAGCAGAGUGAUCAGUAGCAAAGUAGUAUGAUAGUUUUGAUAGUAGUAGCAACAUCAAUAGUAACAGUAACAGUGAUAGUAAUGAUUUUGUAGCAAGUGCAACAGUAACGAUAGCAGCAGUAACUUAGCAAGAACAAUAUAAGAUAAAUUCGUAGGCAUUGGAUCGGUGAAUUCUUUGGAUGCUAUUCAUCAUAUAACAGUCAUAACCUAGGGCAAUAUGGCACUAGCUCCAGUUCAUAAAUAUAAUGUAGGCGUGUAUUCCGUAAAUAGUCAUACGCGCUUAUGGAAAGAACUUGCAUGGCAUCUUUUGUCCUACCCUCCCGUGCAGCGGGGUCCUACUGGAAACUAAGGGAUAUUAAGGCCUCCUCUUAAUAGAGAACCAGAACAAAGCAUUAACACAUAAUGAAUACAUGAACUCCUCAUACUACGGUCAUCAUUGGGAAGUGUCCCGACUUCUGUCACUUCGGGGUUGCCGGAUCAUAACACGUAGUAGGUGACUAUAACUUGCAAGAUCGGAUCUAGAACAUAGAUAUAAUGAUGACAACAUAAACGGUUCAGAUCUGAAAUCAUGGCACCCGGGCCCAAAGUGACAAGCAUUAAGCACGGCAAAGUCAUCGUUACAUCAAUAUCAGAAUAUAAUGGCAACUAGGGAUUACAUGAUGAAUCUCAUCCAACUCCUCACUGACCAGCAAGCCUACACUAGUAGAAAAAGGGCCAUUUGUCCCGGUUCUAGAGGGCCUUUAGUCCCGGUUCUAGAACUGGGACUAAAGGGUCGUUACUAAAGCCUCCCCCUUUAGUCCCAGUUCUUACACGAACCGGGACUAAAGGCCGUCCAUGUGGCCGCUGUCUGGAGCUCCACCUUUAGUCCCGGUUGGUAACACGAACUGGUACUAAAGGUAUUUUUACGAAAAAAUGAAUUUAUUUUAUUUUUUUCAAUUUUCAAAAUUUUGAAUUAUUUUCCAAUUUAAUCUCUAAUCACCCCUCAUCAGCGCUCUAUUUAACCUUUAAUCUCUAAUCACCCCUCAUCAUUCCAAAUCAUCUAACUUCCCGGCCGGUCACCCAUCCUCUCACUACUCUAGCCUGAGCACGCUUAACUUUUAGGUUCUAUUCCCCCUCGUUUCCAAGUCUGCACUUGAUGUUUUCCUGACAAUAGUACGAUGUCAAUCCUAUUAACCCUCAGGAGUUUAGCUUGAGUAUGAAGUCACACGUUUCACUGUUGGAGUUUGAAACUAUUAUUCUAAAAAACAAUAAUUAUUUAGUAACACUAAAAUUUCUUAAAUAAGUAGUUUGACCAUAGUUUGACUAGAUUUGACCAAAAUUCAAAAAAUUGAAAUAAUUAUUUAGUAACACUAAUAUUCUUGAAUAAUUAUGUAGUAACACUAAUAUUUCUUGAUUAAGUAGUUUGACCACAGUUUGACCAGAUUUGACCAAAAUUCAAAAAAACUGUAAUAAUUAUUUAGUAACACUAAUAUUCUUGAGUAAUUAUUUAGUAACACUAAUACUUCUUGAAUAAGUAGUUUGACCUGAUUUAACCAAAAUUCAAAAAAAAACUGAAAUUUGAGCAUAACUUUUUUUCCUUUUAGAAUUUGAGGAUUCUAAAAAUUUGCAAACAGGCCAUAGGCCAUCAAAAUUAGAUGCGAAUUUUCUGUGUUGAACAUUUUGAUAUAUUAUACGUUUUUUUCGACAUCGUAUGCAAAAGUUAUAGUCGUUUUACUUUUUCAUGACACUUUUUUGCAAAACAUGUCCAAAUUUAAGUUUUUAAAUUUUCCUAACUAAUAGAUGUAUUAAUAUAACUACAUCUCGAAGAAUUUUAUUUUUUGAAGUUUUUAUCAUUUUCUUUUCUUUUUACAAAACUGAAAAGGCGAUCCACGAGGGGGGUAGAAUUUGAAAAUGGGACGUUUAGUCCCGGUUUGACACACGAACCGGGACUAAAGGGCUCAUUUGAACCGCGACUAAUGCCUUUAGCCGCAUGAACCGGAACCAAUGCUCACAUUAGUCCCGGUUCGUGACUGAACUGGGACUAAUGGGCUUAUCUGGCCCGAACGAAAGCCAUGUUUUCCACUAGUGCUAUGAAGGAAUUACUUACUCCCAGUGGGGAGCAUCAUGAAAUUGGCGAUGGAGAAGGGUUGAUGAUGACGAAGAUCAAAGAUCCCCCUCUUCGAAGCCCCAAACGGACUCCAGACCUGGGCGCGCCUGGAGGGGGGGCGCCCUAGUGGGUUGUGCCCACCCAGGUGCCCCCCUUCGGUGGUUCUUGGCUCUAGAAAUUCUCUUUUAUUGUAUAAAAAAUCCUCGCAAAGUUUCGAUGUCUGACCUGGAUAACAACAUUAUAUACAGGACAAGAAAGCAUGUGGAGUUCAAAUGGGCUGCAGAUAAUAUGGCCCAUUUUGCACGCGCUAUUUUUAAAGAUAUUUGCAAAAUGUAAGUACAAUUUUUAUUUUCAAAUAUUUGUGUGUUAAAAAUAUUUUACAUACAUACGAUGAUUAGUAGAUAUUGUUUUAAAUAUAAAUCUAUUUAUUAUGAAAAACAAUAUUUUAAUAAACAUAAGACAAAAAAAUUAAGAUAUUUGUAAAACUUAAGNNNNNNNNNNNNNNNNNNNNNNNNNNNNNNNNNNNNNNNNNNNNNNNNNNNNNNNNNNNNNNNNNNNNNNNNNNNNNNNNNNNNNNNNNNNNNNNNNNNNNNNNNNNNNNNNNNNNNNNNNNNNNNNNNNNNNNNNNNNNNNNNNNNNNNNNNNNNNNNNNNNNNNNNNNNNNNNNNNNNNNNNNNNNNNNNNNNNNNNNNNNNNNNNNNNNNNNNNNNNNNNNNNNNNNNNNNNNNNNNNNNNNNNNNNNNNNNNNNNNNNNNNNNNNNNNNNNNNNNNNNNNNNNNNNNNNNNNNNNNNNNNNNNNNNNNNNNNNNNNNNNNNNNNNNNNNNNNNNNNNNNNNNNNNNNNNNNNNNNNNNNNNNCAGACAUUGAUUUUUUUAUUAAGUAAAUAUGUUUAAUGAAUCCAUAAAAAAUAUACACUCUUGUAUUAUAUUUAAACUAUACAAAAUGAUGAAUAAAAAAUUUACUAAAUAUUUAUUACUUAAUAAUAUAAUUUAAAUAUUAUAUAUGAUUUAAUAUUCAUAUCAACACUUUUAAUUUUAUAUUAUGAAUAUUUUUUAUCAUACAAAUAUUUUUAUAAUUCAUAGAUUUUAAUAUAAAUAUAGAAAUAUUUUUAGAUAAUAUAUAAUGUUUUUUGAAAGUAGGUUAUUCAUUUGUAUGUACAAUUUUUAUUACACACAGAUAUUUAAAGAUCAUGAUUAUUACUGAAAUUAUAGUUUACAUACUGUCUACCAAUUUUUAAAAUACCAAACAGGUGCAAAAUGGGCUGCAUGAGCGCCUUUGUCCUAUUAAAUUCAUAUCCUUCACUAAAAAAAGAAAUUUAAAUUCAUAUCUCGCUAGUUAUCAAUUAUCGACAUAUACAGGUGCAUGUUGUAGUGGCCAGGGUUUCUUUUGUGCUAGCCUCUGGUUGUGAGUUGGAGACUGAUAGCUACACUUAUUUAUGUUAAUUUCCAUUCUAUAAUAACAGGUGGGACAUGUACAUAUAGACUUUUUAUCCUUAGCAGGCAUCUGAAUGUGAUUGGUGUAGUGGCUACACUUGCUAGUGUGGUAAUCCCGGGUAGUGCGUUCCAGACCUUGUGCGCCCAACUUUUUGCGUUAAAUUUCGCAUUACAGUGUUUGACUUUCCUGCAAAUAAAAAAUGAAGUGGUUUUGUGCAAAAAUACAUCGUGGUGGUCGACUUUUCCCACGGAUAAAAAAUUACAAGGGUGUUUUGUGCAAAAAAAACUCUCGGUCAAGCACCUCCAGUCAAUGACAGGCGGGGCCAACACACCAAUACGCCAGCAUGCGUAUUCUAUGACCGUAUGUGCACACUUGAGUCAAGUUGAGUGACUACAUUUCUGUAUUUUCAAAGUUCUAGCACCAAACUGAAUAUCGAGUGCAAGUUCUAUGACUGCCUGUGAUAUUACAUCAGGGAUCAAACUCAGGACCUUUCGAGUCUCUCAGCGACAACAACCAACUGAGCUACAAAUUUUGAUGUUGAUUAGUCCCACCUCCAAUUUUUGAACCGGCUUGCACCGAGUUUUUCUUUGAGGGGAACCGACUCAGACCGGAUAAUAUACCGGUCCCAGGAAUCAAUAAAUAGAUGGAUUUUUUGCCGGAUAAAUAGAUGGAUUUUUGAAUUAAAGAAUGGAUUGUGGGCUUGAAAGAAGGAUUGUGGUAAAAUAUGGGAUAUUUAAAGGAAAGAUUAUGGGCUUAGAUACGGAUGCAGUUGAUUUAAAGGAAAGAUUUUGUAUUAAACGCAUGUGACAAGGCUGAUCGUAAUGAGAGUAUCAAGUAUGUCAACUAGGUGAUUUUAAUGAGGUAAAUGAAGAAAAAGAGGAUUGGGUACCAUAUCAUGAUACCGUAUCAUAAUAAAUAAUGUACUAGCAUGUGUCUUACAUGGCAAUAAAUAAUAUCAUCUAAGAUACUAAUAUAUAAUACUAUGCAUUACGAAGAUGGUAUCGUACACUAACAUAUGCAUGAUACUAACUUAUGAUACUACCCAUUAGGCUGCCCAUAGUGGGUGGUCCAAAAUGACAAAAAUUCCCUAUGUUGUCCCCUCCCUCCUCGCACUAUUUAUUUCCCCUCUCAUCUCCGUUUUUUCUUUCAUCGAUUUUUCUCUAAAAACACCUCAACCGUCCCACGUCUUAUUGACUUUCUUUCUAUCUAUAUCUAUAUCUACAUCUAUCUAUCUAUCUAUCUAUCUAUCUAUCUAUCUAUCCAUACCUAUAUCUAUAUAUCUAUAUAUAUACCACCUGAAAAGGACACGAGGUUUCCGUUCCACUCUUUCUUCGUCCAUACCUAUAUCUACAUAUCUAUCUAUAAUAUUGCCUUUGUAUUAAAUUAAUUAUCUUAUAUUUGUCUAGAUACGAAGAACCUAAGACAAUUAAUUCGGCUCCAAGAUUCAAAGCAAUAUAGGUUGUUGGAUCGACAUGGGUGGACGGGUGAGAUCUGUUGAAUGUAGAUAUGGAUUUAUAUCUAGUAUGGAUAUGAUAAGGCUGUGACCUCCAAAUGCUAGAUAGAUAACGUUGAAAUAGGCGCACACCUGAAGCCUAUAUAUAUAGACCGCAAGAGAAAAGAGUACGUGCACUUGGUUUAAAAGACCUAUUCUAGCGUCAAGAUGGUUCAUCAGGAUCAGGGAAAGCUGGUGCAGGUGGUAGCCGCGGACGUUGGACUUGUGGCUCCGCCGAGCAGGUACGUGCUAAGCGAGGAGAACCGACCGACCACCGUCGAUCAGCAAGCCAAGCUAGUUAUCCCUAUCGUGGACGUGAGCCGUCUGGCCAUGCCCGACGAUGUUGAGGAGGCGGCCAAGCUUCGCUCUGCACUGCAGUCAUGGGGCCUCUUUGUGGUGACGGGCCAUGGCAUGUCAAAGGAGUUCCUCGACGAGAUCCUCGAGGCGACGAGGAAGUUCUUCCACCUGCCGCUGGAGGAGAAGCGGAAGUGCGGCAACAUGAUCGAUGGCGUCAAGUUCCAGAACGAAGGGUACGGCAUCGAUCGCAUCGACUCCGACGAGCAGAUCCUCGACUGGUGUGACCGGCUCUGGCUCCAGCUCCAGCCGGAGGACGAGAGGCGGCUCCAGUUCUGGCCACAGAAUCUAAGGCACUCAAUCAACACAUUAAUUGUUACCCUUGGUGAUUUAAAAUAUUUUUUUAUUUGCAUUUAUAUUGGACAUCAUAUAUAAUCUACAGGGAUCUCCUACAUGAGUACACCUUAGAGAGUGGGAGAGUGACCAUGGAUGUGCUGAAGGCCAUGGCAAAGCUUCUGAACCAGGAGGAGGGCUUCUUCAUCAACAUGGUGGGUGAGAGGUUCAAGUCAUACUCGAGGUUCACCUACUACCCUCCCUGCCCAUGCCCGGACCUCGUGAACGGGCUGAAGCCGCACACCGACAACUCUGUCAUCACACUCCUCCUCAUGGACAAGGACAUCGGCGGCCUCCAGGUGCUCAAGGACGGCCACUGGGUUGAUGUCCCCGUGCUCGGUAAUGACUUGUUGGUCGUCGUAGGCGAGGGCAUGGAGGUAUGCAUACACACAUACAAUUACUUUAGGACUUCUACAAUGGACAAAUAUGCAACGGUUUGCAGUGAUCAUGAACAAGACUCUCAUUUCUAUGUAUACAGAUAGUUAGCAAUGCAAUCUUCAAGGCACCAUGGCACCGUGUGGUGACGAGUGCUAACAAGGAGAGGCUGUCACUGGCGAUGUUCUACCAGCCGGAGCCGGAGAGGAUCAUAGGGCCGCCAGGGGUGCUGGUUCAUGAGAAGCGCCCGGCCAUGUUCAAGAAGUGCCUAGUCCAGACCUUGGCCGAUGGAUACUGGGAUGCGUUUGCAGUGGGAGAUCGCACCGUCGACUUUCUUAAUGUCAGGAUCAAUGCUGAGGCCGACGCCUAACUGGAGGGGCGCGCAGUGGUUGCAAACAACUAAAUAAUUUGCUGUAGGGAGUGAGUGCAUGAUGUUCCUCUCUCCCUCCCAUAAGUGUAGUGUGAAUAGGAGUUGCUCGAUGUACUUCGUAUAUGAUCACCUCCAUGCAAUAAAAUAAAGAGCCGAGUGCACAACCGGUGCUUAAACUUGACGAAAAUGGUCACGUUAAUACUAAAACGUGCGGCUUAUAUUAAACUGGUGAACAUGCAAAUACAGUUUUAAU
rnacentral:lncRNA from 1 species